rnacentral:lncRNA from 1 species
GAGAAACUUGGCAACAGUAACAAUGUCAUUCCUCCCCCCCCACUGGGCCUUUAGCAAAAAUUUUCUGUGUACCCAGUUUGCUAUAAAUGGUUUAUGUGAAAGGUAUGUAUCUGUGAAGGUUUUGGCUUCUUACUACAAGAGUAGAGUUCAAGGCACAAUUAAAAUUAUUAGCAGGUAGAGAAAAGAUGAAAUGGAACUUCCAUCCCAAAAACUAAUGAAUGAAUGAACAGAAUGUACCCUAAAAAAGUCGUAGAAAAAAUUGUGUUAUUUCCAUUGUCUAUUCUUUCUUUCAACAGCCCCAUAUUGUUGUAUGGUCUGAGAACUGGAGCAGAACAAUCUAUCAUUCUUUGCUUUUUCACAUUGUCUACUCUUGCUGUUUUGCAUCUUUUGCAUAACAAAUCGGUACCAUGGAUUUCCACUGCCCACAAGUCUUUUUGAAAUAUUAUAAAUCAUUCUCUCUUUCUCUGUCUUUUUGCAACUUAAAGUUAUUCUGGAAGUUAAACAUGCAUGAAAAGUUAGUGUUCAAGAAAAGAAUAUGACUGUUUUGACGUAAUCCAAACUUCUUAGAAGUAUUGCAAGGACUGCAACUACUCAACAUCAGGCUGUAUAAAAUUUUUCAUUGCUGUAACAAAUGGUAACUCCUCUUGUAUUCAUUUAGUGGUAAUACUAUGCAUAGAAGUGCAUCAGGGAGAUUGUUUGCUUUUCACCUCUAUGUUACUAAUAAUUUCCAUAGCCAUUGACAAUUACAAAUAGUUACUUCUAUUUGGUCAACCAACCAUGUAGUAUUCUGAGGCAGCAACAAUGAGCUCAUGCUUGAUUUUUUCUCUAUUCAACCAAAAGCAUAACUCAAUUUAUGCUUAUUAAAAAUUGAAAGUGACUCAUUAUCCAAGAAAAUUAAUGAUGGAAAAAAUUAAGAUAAACUGAAAACAAUAAGAUCGUCCUGCUAUUGACCUCAUAAUCACCAUUUUUGAGAAUGAGAUGCCAAAUAACACAAAAAAACAGAAAUUGAGUCCUCUUAUUCUAAUUCAAUGUCAAGCAACAAAGUAAACAUCUUCAGAAUUUUCAAUUUGGAAAGUUCAUAACUCUGGGUCCUAAACUGUCAUUAUAAAUAGAAAUGCCCAAUGAAAUGACUUUCACUGAAGGCAUUGGAAAGUUCAUGCCUCUGGGUCUCAACAGUUAACAGAAAUAUCCAAUGAAAUGACCUUCACUGAUGUUAGGCACCAUUGAAAUGCAUUAUUAGAAAAUAAAACCUGCCAUCUUUUUUUAGUAGACAGAAAUGCAAUCUUCUGGAUAAUAAAUAGCAAGUCUAACAAUUCCUUCAGCGUACUGACAUUGGUAUGAGAAACUUCUGUAGUCUUCCUUGCUGUUUCUUUAAGUACAAAAAAGAUGUUUGAAAAGUUUUUUCCUGGAUUUGGAUGCAUCAAGUUCUCUCUGCUUUCGUAACAUGAGAAAUAAUAUAAGGUUUUAUGGAUAAAAGAGUAAAAGGAACAAGGACAAAAGGGCGAAAUUCCUAUAGGAUCCUCACAUCCCACUUUCAUAUCAUAUAAAGUACAAAUAUUUGAAAGCACAUUUGUCGUCCAUAAGCAUUUUAGUGCAAAAUUUCUCAAACUUUACAAUGACUAUAGUAAUUCUAACUCUUUUGCUUUUACGUCUUCUGAAAUAACUGUCCACAACCUGUUAUGUCAGGUAAAUGCACAGAAAACUCUUACUCGCUCCUUCCAGAUUCAGUUAGAGAUAAUAUAAGUGACACUGAAACAAGUAAUACACUUUUGCUAGUCUAGUUAACCAGGAGCUCUUUACUCCUCUUCGUAUUUCCUAAGGGGGAGGACCCUGCCAUUGUUGAUAUUGUGCAAAACAUCAUUCCAUUGCAGGAAAGUGGGAGUCUAAAGUCAGCACAGUAAGAUUCUUACUUCUUACCUUGAAUGUUCUUAGCUUUAUCCAGAUCUCUGUACUUAAAGCCUGUUUUAUUAGCAAGAGAUUGUAACACAUGCAUUACAAUAUUUGUUUUAAAUAGUUGUUACAUAUAUUUUGAUUUUGGGGCAUAUUUGAACAAAUCCUUCUUAUGUUUGAUCUUUUACCUCUAUGUUAAUUGAUGUCUUCUAAUUGGUAUGGCGUUUGUUGUAACAUGGUUAUAUUGUUCGACAAAAAGUGCUUAUUUGAUAGCAAGAGAACCGAGUGAACAUGUGGUAAAAAUGUAAAAGAAAUAACAUAGUGGAGAUAUUGCUAGAAGAUUAUGGUAGUAAACCAACAUACAAGAAGUUCACAACAAUUUCUGGUAUAUUGUUGUUGCAGUGUCAAAUCUACUGUCUUAAGAAGCUUUAAAAUAAAAGAUAAAUAAUAUAUCAUAGGGGAAAGUCGCAGAUGCAGUUUUCAAGGGUUGCUUCAAAUGCACAUUUUUCUUAUUUCUUCUUUUACUUGCAAUAUUCCCAGAUUAAUUUCAGCAUAGAGUAUGGUGUUUUGCUUUCAAAAUUACUUGCUGUUGUAUUAGACUUACUCUCUGAUAUUGCUGGCUGAAAUUGUUUAGACUGAGGUGCUUGGAGGAUACAAAUGCAUCAUUGCAAUGAAGUUAGGCAGCAGGUAACCAAAAAAUGGUUGCAGCAUUCUAAAUCUGCCUUUUUCCCCUACCAAACCCUGAUUGAUGAGGCUAGAUGAAGUCUCUAAUUUUUCAUUUUUUUAAGGCAAAGAAUCUUGUCCAUUGGACACCCAACCUCUCUCUCUCUCCCCACCACCUCCAUUCCCAGUAGAAGGGCGAUCAUACAUUACAUCAUAUACGGAAAACAAAAUUAUUGUGAAGGAGUUGACUUUGCUGGUGAUUUCUGUUUAAAUUAUUAUUGAUUUUCUUCUCCCAAUCAGCUGUUUCCAAGGACCUUGUCUUCUUGUUUGGCAACAAUUUAUCUUUCGGGAUCCAACUGUCUGGCUUGUCGUACUGCAUUUUUGGAGAGUUUUAUUUUGUUUUGACAAAAGCACUAGUCAUUUAGGUAUAUCUAAACUUCAGAUGGAGUUCAUAGUUUGAUUAAGAACGGGAAAACAAAGAUUCAACAAAAGAUAAAAGCCAUGAAUCUAAAGAGAAAGCAGGAAAAUUUAGACAGUAUGUGCUUGUUUAAAUGGAUUUGAUAUUAUAACAUAUGAGCUUACAGCAUUUUGAGUCACUCUAUUUCAUAUCUGUUUUUCAUAUUAAGCUAUUCUAGGAUUAUCAAGGAAAUUGCUUGUUGGUCUCAGUCUAUUGCAGUAGCAUUUUAUUACCGGAGUCCCAUAUCAUGCUUAAUUUUCAAAGGUUAGUAGUGAUAUCUUGCCAGGGAAUUACAUAAUGCUAAUCAUUAGGACUCCAUUUUGUGCAAAGAAUUCAAGUCCUGAUUGUCAACAUAUUUUUUCCUUUUAAUGUUGUUUCUUCGAUUGGAUAGUGAGUUUCUUUGUAGGUGGAGAAAUUUGUUGUCAGCAUGCAUAAACAACUGACUCAACAUUACAUCUCAAGAAAACCACCCUCUGAGUUGGCUCCACCUAUCCUCUUUUGCAGCCUAUUAUAGCAUAGUUUUCAGUUAGCACAUUCAUUUGCUAUAGGAGUUUAUCUUCUGCAAGCUUCUUCUUGAUAAGCAAAAGCAUGUUACAGAAACCUAUGGAAAUUUUAUGGCUUUCUUUGUUUCUAUAAUUGCAUGUUGUCUGAUAGCUGAUGCAUUACUCAGAAGAGUUUGUGUGGCUAUACAUUUGUAAUUCUUUCUCACAAUAAAUGAGAGCAGUAGAUAGUGUACCUAGCGGAGCAUGAGCCUCAUCAAAAUCGUAAACUUAUGACAAAGCAACUGCUUGCUAGAAAAAAAAUUCUGGCAAAGAGAGAAAGUUGGUGUUAGGGGAUUGGGGGGCGGAUGGGUUUUAUUUCUUUUGCCAUACUCAACUGUUAUCUGGAUAAGAACUCUCCCAUAGCCUUUCUUGGGAUCAAAGAGGAAUGUAAAAGGAGAGAAUAAAGAAAAUAGUGCCCAAAGCAGGCAAAAGGAAAAAAAAAGAAGAAGAAACAGACACAGAAGAGAUAGUACAUAGGACUAAUCAGUGUAGUGGUAUUCCCAAACUAAUUGUCUUCCAUAAGUGUACAUUCUCACACAGAGCACUCACACAAAGAGAGGUCCACGUUUGAGAACUUUCUUUGUGAUAGCCAAUUCCUUCACCUGGCAUUUAUUUGGUUCUCUGUUCAUUCAACAUUUACUUUUUUCAGAAUAUCUUUGGUUGUGAUGCAUUUGGUUAUUAAUUGCAUCUUUAAUCAUCUGAUGCAGAUGGUGCCACCGCAUAUUCCCUAUCCAAGCCACUUGCAGGUUAGAUGAGAAGGUGGUACACUCUAUCGUGUCAAAGCUAGUCAAUCAGUUUCUGAAAGAUAAAAAGAACAAAGUUGCGCAGCCAGUAAAGGUAUGCCCUGAAGUUUAUUUUUGUGCAGGUUGAUCAUUAAUUCUGUCGCAUGAGCAUCUGCAAUUUCUAAGAUGCUGGGGCCAUGGGGAAGGGGGUGGUGGAGUAGGCAUAUGAAUGCCUAUGAGAGAGAUCUUUCACUUUAUGCUGUAUAAAUGUUUAUAGUAUGUCUUCAUGAAGAACUCAAAGCACUCAUGACGUUCCAGUUUGCAGUUGGGUACAAUAGAAGAGGAAUUGAGGAAACUCAGACGAAGGAUGUGAGAGUAACUCCAAAUGGUUCCAAAAUAUCUGUUCUCUUAGACCGUGGCAAAUGUUUUAGCAUUGUGGCAGCUGCUGUUAAAGAUGGUGUUCCAGAUUCACUUGUAGAUCUGAAAUGCUGUGAGGUAACAGCUAAAAUACAAACAUAAAGAGAUGUAAUUCCUUUACUUUUCCUGGCUGUUGUAGUUUCAUGUGCUAAUUCUAUCUACCUUUUUGCAGCUUGCUGUGCUGCUUGAGGUUCUGCCACACUCUGGGAUUCCUAAUGAGUGUGGUGGUUGGUGUGUCAGUUCUUCCACAAAUGCUUGUUAGUUCAAAACCACGUCUGUGUCUCAGGGCAUUGGUAAAAGGAUGCUAAGUCCAACACUGGGAAUAGAGGUCAAUGAUGAUAACCUUGCUUGUGAUGAUAAUCUCCACAAGCAAAGCUGAAGUGAGCAUUCUGUGUUACUCAGAAAGAUGGUGAUGUGGUUUGCUACUGCAGAAAUUAAUGCCAUGAUGAAUCAAAAUGUAUAGCUACUUGAAGAUGGAUAGUGCAAACUCCAGCAACUCAAGCUUCCCUGUAAACAGACCAUCCCACAGAAACAGAAAAGAGAGUAGCUCUUUUCUUACUAAUUGCUCUCAACUGGAAACUCCUGGUGGUUAAACUUGGAUAUAAUCAGGAUGCUCUAAUAUAGCUAACUGUUGCGAGCUAUGAUAGAAGAAUUGAAAAAUUAAAAAGUAAUCAGCAUCACUUGCUCUAAACAUCUAUUCUAACUAAAAUGGUGCUGCAAAUCUACCUAUAGCACACCAAUUUGGGAAAGAAAUUCAAGAUGUGAAAGCCACUCUACAGUCAAAUUUUGGCCACACCAAAUAGUACAACUUGUGUCUGAAGUAUCAGUAGUGGAACCUUUUUUUCGUAUCAUAUUUUGCCGAUAUAACCUAAACAUGUAUGAAAGAUCAGCAUGAAUAAAACAAAGUUCAUUACCUUUGCAAUAGCAAGUGAGCUUAAGAAAUAGCAAGUGAGCUUAAGAACAUAUUCUAACUCAAUUCAGGUGAAUCACUGAACAGAAGAGAACCAGCUUAAAAGUUCCUGUCAAUACGUACUAGUGAAUGUUGAUUACUUACAGUAAAAACAGUUCAUUGACAGCUCUAACACAACAGAUUUAUGUGAACAAGUAUACAAACUCUGAAAAAGUAAAGUGCGGCUGUAAAACAGAGCAAAGUAAAAGAAUCAAAGAAAGGUGAUUGGAUCAUAACCCGGGAUAGAUGCUAAAAUCCAGAUCAACUAUGAAAUGAAGACCAGCAAUUCAGCACUACCAAGAAGAAUGAAACAAAAAAACUCGCAUUCACCAACCUUUCAUAUAUAAUCUGCACAGAAGGAUUUUGAGAACGUACGCUAAGAGCUGCCUUCUAGAGCAUGAAAAAAAUCCCUCCUCCUUCAUCCGGACUUGGGACCGGCUGUGUGAUGUAUUGUGUCAACACAGGUGGAGUUAAAAAACUUCAUGUCUCUAGUGCCAAGCAUGAUAAGUCAUCUCUUCGCGAUCAUAGACAAGUCACCUUGGACAAUGAAUACCCCCUGUGCCAUUGAAUGCGAGGAAAAAUUGACGAAUACUCCCACUCAAAAACAUGUAGAGCAGGCUGUAUCAAAUAGCAAUAAUUGGUUAAUUCCCAGUCUUCAGCAUGUGUGAGGGAUGAAAUGUCAUCUAGCCUAGUAAAGGGAAUUUGUUCGAGCAUAACAAUUUGAUAUGAAUUCAACACUAAUUGGCCCAUAUGACAAUUAUAUUAAAGAAAGAUGGCGUGCUCACAGGAGUUGAGUUAAAAACGUCUAAAAGACUCGUCUCAACUUUCCAUCCGCAACCAAGUUUUUUGGUUUAAAAUCCCAAUAUAUCUAAAAGUCGAAGGUCCAAGUGAGAUCUAGGAUUGCUCACCAGAAUCAGGGCGUUAACAAUGGUAACGACAGUGGUUGGCCUGUACUAUAGUUGCGGUGGGGUUCCCCCCAUUGUCCCUCGCUGUGUGAGUGCAAGGACUUGGCUGCAGCUUGUUAAUAGAUUUUGUUUUUCGACUGCAAAGCUGUCCCUCUUGUGGCAAUUGCAAUCCCAAUUCUUUUCAGAAUCACCUUUUUUUUUUGUGCUAUUUUGUGCUCUUUUUGCACUUAUUCAUUUUUAGGUCUCCUGAGAAUCCAACUGGCUCACUCAGGAGAUGUUUGGCAUGGGAACCACAGCUGCACCCUCACUUAUUAUUUGGUAUAGCGAGACUCCCGACUUGGCUUACUCUGCAACAACCGAGCAGGGAACCACAACAGAUACAUGGCACUAACCUGCCCCUGAUUGCUUUAUCGCCUCAUCAACUUAUUAAGUAUAUUAAGAUGUCAACUCCAAUCACUAGGCGCAGAGUUCAAGUUUUAACUUAUACUUCUUCCAGUUUCUAAGCCAAGGUAGAAAUGGAAAGAGGCCAAUUAGCAUUUCAUUAACAUCAAAAGCUACACCGUCGCAUUAACACACAAUUACAGGGCUAGUUGUUAUACGUGCAAAGGUGUGUGAAGUAGCUUUAGACAGAUUCCCAAGUAUAGCUAACUUUGAUGCCUGAAAGUGGAAGUACCUAUCAUUUUCACCUCUGGUAUUUAGGCACAUUUAUAGGGAACUCACUUAGACAUACUAAUAGGAACUCAAGUGAUCAUCAGUAGCUAUUAAAAUGUUCACAAACAGUUAAAAAGUUAAGAAGAUAGCGUUUAUAGGCAGGCUAAAUAGGGCAAAAAAGAAUCAAGUGCUGUUUAACUAACAAAAGAACAGAAAUUUAAUUAUUGAUCGUGUAGAGUAUUUAUGAGACAUUAGAGUGGCAGAUUUAAAAUUAUGCAUUACCCUUUUUUUCCUUUUGAAAACAAUAACACCUCAUGCAUAGUUGAUAGAUACGUGUUAGGUAGAGCUAAGCGAAUUUUCUAUUUUUGGGGAAAAAAAAGACAUUCAAUGCCUUUUUUUUCAUUUUUAAAAUUUUUCUUUUUUAAAAAAAAAAAUUCUUUCCCUACUAAUAAAAAAGUAAAGGAAUAAAGAAACCAAAAUCCUUUAGUUUUUUGAAUUUUUUUUUGAAUUUUUUGUUCUUUACUUGCAAAUAAAAAAGUAAAAAGGAAACCAUAAUCAUUUUUCAAUUUUUUCUUUUUUUUAAAAAAUGCUUUUUCUACUAAAAAAAGUAAACCAAAAAAAAGAAACCAAAAUAUUUUUGUGCUUUUUUGGAUUUUUGGAUUUUUUUGGUCUUUUUUGUUUUUGUCAAUGUUUUUUGUUCUUUGCUUGCAAAUAAAAAAGAAACAAAAUCUUUUUUCACUUUUUUUGAUUUUUCAAAUUUUUUUUAAAAUUCUUUUCCUACCAAAGAAAAGUAAAUGAAAAAAAAAGAAGCCAAAAUAUUUUUAUGCUUUUUUUGAUUUUUUUGUCUUUUUUUUCAAUGUUUUUUGUUCUUUGCUUGCAAAUAAAAAAAAAAGAGACGAAAAUCUUUUUUCACUUUUUUGAUUUUUCAAUUUUUUUUGAAAAUUCUUUUCCUACCAAAGAAAAGUAAACGAAAAAGAAGAAGCCAAAAUCUUUUUUGCUUUUUUGGAUUUUUUGAUUUUUUCAAUUUUUUUUAGCAAAUAAAAAAGAAAAAAAAAAGAGGAAACCAAAAUCUUUGGUUUAAUUUUUUAUUUUUUUUUGUCUUUUUUGUCUUUCAUUGUUUUUUGAAAUUUCUGAUUCUCUUCCUAGCUACUAGCCUAAUUACUUAGCUAAUAAACAAAAAAACCAGCGAAACAAAUUGAAAAUUUCAAACCUGUUGUUGCGCUUUGCCCGCCAAAUCCUCAGCAACCCUGGAAAGGGUCCUCAAGUUCAGUUUCACGAUCGUAUGCACAAAGGCACACGUCUCUUCUUUCGUGUUGGCCUCAGCCGCAUCAAUCACGUAAGUCUCCACAACCACCGUCUCAUCGCCGCCAUUGGGGUGUAGGCUCAUGAUCGAGCGAUAGUUCGACAACCGGUGGUCGCCGCUGACAAUGCUGAACCCGAAGAUGCGCUGAUCAUGAUCAAGAAUCUCCAGCCGCUCCAUGCUAUAGGAGGCUGGAAGUCCUGAUGCGACAUCCACACGGCGUAAGCAUCCGACUUGGUUCGCCUGGCCAUCUAUGAUUCUGCAGGAUCUCACGAACGGCUUGUAGCGUUGAGGAUUUUCAAAGUCGGAAACCAGAGCCCAAACGAUGGAGGCAGGAGCUGCGAUAGUUUGGAACAAAGUAGAUGAACAUUCGUUCGGCUGCAAAAUAGGGUUGUGGUGGCUGGAAACGGUUGUGGGAAGCUGGAAAGCCAUGGUUGCAGGAAAUUUUUUUAACAAUAUCUUCAGUGAAAAUAACGAUGGAAGGAGUUUUUGUGAGGAAGUUAGAAGAAUAGUAACGUGUAUUUAUAUAUAGGCGUAGGAGAAAUUCCUCCAAUUCCUAAGAGGAGGAGAAGGAUUAGGAUUAUGAUUAUGAUUUCCUAUGUGGAAAAGGAUUGGAUAGCAUGUUCAAUAUAAAGACUCGUUAGAAGUUAGAACUGGCAGUGGCGCAAGUUGGCUGGAGAACCAUCCAAAUUUGGGCUAAUUGAAUUGCGCCAUUGCCGGCUUUUGGAGUAUGCUCUGGGGAUUAGGUUUGUUUAGUCAGUAAAAGUCAAUUGACUUCUUGACAAAAAAAAAAAAGAAUUGCGCCAUUAACAAUGGGGUAAAAUAUAGAAAAGCCCCUUGAGGUUAAGUGAAUAUACAGAAAACCCCCAUACAGUUUCUAAACAUAUACUCCGAUACCUCAUAGUUUGAACUAAUUUUAAAACGUAAUGCAAAUUGUUCGAAUUAACGGAUUUGAAAUACACGCGCUUGUUUUACGAAUAUUUGUACUGGAAACAAAUAAAUUUUCAAUUGAUAUACCUAUUAUACUUUUAGAGUUAUGAUACAGAAAAGCCUCAUGUGAUUAAUCAAACCUACAUAAAAUGCCUUUAUGGUUUCAAAUCUUACAAUCUAGUAUAUCGUGGUUUUGAAUUAAUGUGAAAAUCGGCAAAAAAUCAUUUAAAUUAAUGAGUUUCAGGUUGUUUGACAUGUAAAAUAAUUUUUUUAAAUCAAAUUUUUAGCUGAUAUACCUAUUAAACACCUUAGAACUCAUAAAAUUUUCAAAAACAACCCAAAACUCCCAAAUACAACUCACCUUUAUUUCUAUAUAUAAAAUAAAUAAAUAAAAAUUCUCAAAUGAAACUCACUUUGUUUCUAUACAUAAAAUAAAUAAAUAGAAACUUCCAAAUACAACUUAUCUUAUUCAUGUGCACAAAAUAAAUAAAUAAAUAAAAACUACAUGUAACCAUAGGGGGCUUUUCCAUAGAUUGAUUUAAUCACAAGGGAUUUUUCCGUAAGUUUGCUUAAUAGGAUGGUUGUUAGAACAUGUUUUAGUGCUUAUAUAUAUUAGGAUAAUUGUAUUAUUUUGUCUACCUCCGCUAGUUUUGACGAUUUUUGUUGCUGUCUUAAAUUAGUUCAAAUCAUGAGAGGUCAAAAUGUAUGGUAUGAAAUCAUAAAGGACUUUUCCGUAGGUUAACUUAACCACAGGGGACUUUUUUGCAUUUUACUCUACUUUCAAAGAUUGAACUGUUUCAUUUUUUUCCUAUUUUAUUAGAAGCAUAUACGUUACAAGUUUGAGCAUAACAAUUCAAUAUUUUGAUUAGAGAUCUUUUUUUUGGGAUAGUUUAAGCUAUAAAAAAUAAUAUAUUUAUAGAAAAGAGGUCAAUUUGCAGUAGUAUGCCAAUAUACUAGCUUUUUUUGGAUUGCUAUUCUCUGGUCAAAAAUCUCAUGUUUUUUGGGAAUAUUCCAUUGAUACAUUUUUCAAUGAUUUUUUUACUUCAUAUAAAUGACAUCUAAAAAAGUGUUACAAUAUACCCUUCCAAGAAAAUGCAAUCCAAACAAUAUACUUCCAUGAUCAAUCAUAGUAGUAUUGUGAUUAGGAACCUUUUUUGCAGUUAGAAUAAAAAAAAUAAAAAAGAAAAACAGAACCUAGACAACAAAAUCGAUUAUGUGACUUGACUUUCAUGAUUACUUGACAUAAUUCUAAUCUAGGUGAAGGUAACUUGUAGUAUUUUCGGUAAUUUUUUUCAAAGGUCAAAAGGCAGUUUGGGUAAAAAAGAAUACGAGUACUAAACUAUAGGUUUAAAUUUAAAUUCAUUUGAAUCAAAAAAGGGAAGGAUAUAGGCUUGUCAUUGGGCCAUCUGAAGUGAGGUUUAACAAACUCAGAUUUGACUCAUAUAGUUAGUACCACUUUUGGAUUUUGAAUUAUGAGAUUUGAAAUGAUAAAUAUGAAACUCAUACUUGACUCACAAAAUAUUCGGAUUAUAAGUUUAAUUCUGACUUAACUCAAGCUCGCUUAUAACUCCUUAAUUUCCUUAAUAUAAUUACUAUAAUUAUUAAGUUUUAAACUAAUUUAAUAUCCACAGAACCACAACAUUAAAACUAUAUAGGAACCAGUAACAGUUCAUUAAAAAGUAUAUAAAACCAAGAAUUUUUCAACAAUCAUAUAUCCAAUUAAUUUAAUGCACAUGAAAAAUAGUAAUAAAACAUUAUCAACAGUCAAUACAUCUUCAAAGGUCCUCAAUUUGCUCAUACUAAGAUUUGUCUUUCUAAUUCUUUUGACAUAAUUUUGUAUAUUUAAUAUUCCUUAAAUACAUAUAUGUAUUUUGACAAAUAACUCAUAAGUAUUAGUAUUAUAUAUUUAGAUAUAUAAUUAUAUAUAUAUCAAAAUAUGAAUAUCUUAUAUAUAAUUAUAUAGAUAGAUGCAUAUUAAAAGGUCGAACCUAUAUUGAAUUUGACCCUAAUAAGAUCUAAACUCUACUCAUAUUUAAUUCGGGACUAAUAUUUAGACCCAAAUUUAACCCAGCUCAGUGAAAGUUUAGGCUCAUUAGACUUUUUCUUGGAGCCGAGUUCAAACUGACUCGGCCCUAGUAAUGGUCCUAGAAGGAUUGCCUCAUAUUUUUGUGCUAAUUCAUUCCCUCCCAAAAUGAGUAAGAAAGGGAAUUUGGGAUCAGAUAAUUAGAGUGGGGGUUUGCUAAGUUGGACAGGUUAAUUUGGUAAUUUUGAUUAUGUGUGUUUUAUUAGAUAUUAGGAAUAUGUGAAUUUGCCAAAACUUGUAUGUCUUUAAGAAUUUUAAAUCUUUCUAUUACUACUUCUCAAAAUUUUUCCAAAGGGAGAAGCACAAAUUUGACUCUCAGUGUUUGACAUUUAUAUCAAACCGGUCUAUAAUGUAUCAGCAAAGCAAAUAUGGUCUCUAAAUUUUCUGAUUUUAACUUUACAUUUUUAGUCCCUAAUGUUUGAAGUUUCAAUCAAUAUGGUCUCUUAAGUUUCUUGUUAUAGUUAGGGGUUUUAAAAUGGAAAAAAAAAAGUGUGAAUUGAAUUAGAGUUAUGACAAAUGUCAUCCUAAACCCUAUAAAAUUUCAUAAAAACACUUAUAUCAACAUAAUAACAUCGUUGAACUUAAAGAGUUUUAUUUUUUUUAAUAAGUAACAAUCAAAUGACAAUAUAUACAUAAUAUAUAAAAUAAAAGGGAAAAUUAUAGUAUUAAUAUAAAAUUUAUUAUCAUUCAUGCUAGUUCUUGCAUGGCUUGUGCAUAUAGACCUUAAAUUGUUAUAGUUAGGAAUUGUAAUUAUAAAAACUAGCAAACAUAAAUACUAAUAUGAAGUGUUUUUACUCAUUAUGGGUUAAUUAUCAAUUAAUUACUAAUAGUAUAAAACAAUAAUUACAUAUAUAAUACCAAAUUUGAGACCAAUUAUACCAAAGGGAAGAAGUAUAUGAGACAUUAGUGGCAUGAAUAAGUGAAGUAAAAAAUAAAAAGUUUAAUUAGUAUUGCUAGUACCCAUUUAAGAUAAUUGUGCUGUAAUUCGCAUCUUAUUUUAUUCUAAUACCCUCAAUAUCACAAUGGAAAACUUAACCGACUAAAAUGAUUAAAAUUUCAAACAUUAUGGUCCAAAAGUACAAAAUCAAAAUUGUUAAAUAACAGUAAUUAAAUUUUGACUGUUAGUCAUUGUUAACUUUUCGUCAUUGUUGAAUGUACCUACUACCAAAAAUUUUAAGAACCAAAUUUAUUUUGGUCAGAACAUUAGAGACUAAUUUAGCACUUAUGCUAAAAAUUGGAGACUAAAAUUACAAUUCUCCAUUUUUAUAAAAGAAAAGUCUACACCUUUUUUUUGUUUUAUUUUUGUGCACACAUGUGAUUUUUUUUCACCUUUGAUAUCACACAACGGUCCAAACCGACUGACAUUAGUUAAUAGAUUCAAUUGUUAAAAUGACUUUGUGAAUUGUGAGGGUGGUAAUAUGUAGAAAAAUUCUAUUUGGUAGAAUUUGGGUAAAAUGAAGGUGCGUUUGAUAAAAUUAAAAUUUGAAAACUAAAGUUUGAAGUUUGAAUUCCAUUAAGUUAAGUUGUUGAAUUGUUAAGUUUUUGGCCCUAUUUGAUAACCUAAUUCAGCACUUAAAGUUAAUGGAUUCAGACAAUAACAUGUUUAGACGUAUUUGAUAACCAAAAAUUGCACAUCUGAAUUAAUUAAAUGAGACUGAAUUUUCUAAACAAAACUUGCUCCAAAAAAGUUUGGUAAAGUUAGUAACGUAGUUCAAAGUUUUGCUUUUUUUUUUUUAAUUUCAAAUUUUUGCAAAAUUUCCUAGUGUUUAAAUGGGUAAAUCAUAAGCUUUCUGUUGAGUUGUUCUAUGCUAUACCUUACUAUUUGAAUUAGGACCAUGCAUAUGGUUUUACAUAUUAAAAGUGAUCAAGGACAUGAGAUAGGAUUUGCAUAGAUGGAGCUUAGUCGUGACAAGUGUCGAGCAUGUACAAUAAUAAAUAUUUACUCGAGUAAAAUAUAAAUUUUGUAUAUAGUGGUGAGUAGGAUCAAAUUUAUAGUAACUAGAAAAAAUUCGUUUCUUCUAGAGCCCAGAGUUCGAGGAAUUUUUAUAAAAUUGAGAAUAUUAAACAACUCGAAUAAAAAGGACGAAAUUACAAUUAAUUGAAAUUGAAUCAAUAAUAAACAAACUCUAGCCAAGAAAUAACUUCAGAGACGGUUCACUCAAUUAAUCACUGAUGCAAUAAUAAUUUCAUUUACUCACUGAUAAGUAAGUUAAAACUGUCAAACAAGCGAUGACAAUCAAUUUCCCCUUAUGGUAUUGGAAAUUAAGAUACGACUGUUAACCACUGUCCUAUUCAAGAAAUAACCCUAAGUACGACUUUAGACCUAUGUUUUCAGAAUCGGACCGGAUAUUGACUCGGUCGAGCUUAGGGGUCAGGAAUCAAUGGGUUCAACCAGGUUCGAUCGGGGUUGAACCGGAUGAUGUCAUAAAUAAAAAUUAUUUAAAAAUUAAAAUAUUAUAUGUAAAAUACCUAAUAACAUGUUAAUAUUAAUAAAGAUAUAUUCAUAUAUAUAUAUAUAUAUAUAUAUAUUUGAUGUUUCAAAUAUAUUUAACAAGAAAAUACAAAAAAAUUAGAACAAUCAAGUAGCAAUUUAUAUUAUUUAAUGAGCAUUAACAAUUUAUAAUUAAAAUUAUGAACUUAAUUGAAAAAUGCACCAAACUUUAAGGCAACAUUUAUAAAGUAAGAAAUAUUUGAGGUAUAUUAAUAAUUUUUAACAACCUAGGAGUCAAAACAUAAUAUUAACAAUAUUUUACCUUUCAAAAAAAAGUAAAAAGAAAAAGAGUCUCUUGAUUUAAUCUUGUUGGUGGGAUAGGACCGUGUAGGAGUAAAUUCCCAAAAAGAGGGAGUUUUAAUGUAACUUCCCAGAGGAUGGUGAUUUUUGAGUCUCUUCCCAAAGGGUGAAAAAUGUAUCCAAGAAAUGCGUCUUUUCAAAUAAAAACGUAAUUUUCAAAUAUGUCAUUUUAAUUUUCAUAAAUUUAUUUAAAUAGGAAAAAUUGGUUAAAUAACGCAUUAGUGGAAUGCGUUUUUUAAUAAGAAAACGCAUUUCGGCAAUGCGCUAUUGUUUAAGAAACGCAUUAGAUGAAUGUGUUUUUCGUUUAUCAAUAUGUACCACUUUUUUCAUUUCUUUGAUCUUGACUUGGGUUAUGUAAGCUUUUUUUUUAAAAAUAUUAUCUUAUUAUUUUAUCGAAGUUAUUAUUAAUUUAGCUCACUAACACAAUUCAAGAUCCAAAAAAUUUGUUAUUUCAUAGUUUUUAUUAAUUUAUCUGGUAUAGAUUUCAUUUCAAGUUUGCAAAAGGCUUAAAGGUUUUUGAACUUUGGAUUUUACAUAUGCAUGCACAUAUUUUGUAUCUUAAAUGCUGGUAAUUUGCCUUAAAAAAUCGUAACACUUUUUCUAAAGAAAAUUUUACGACUCAUAAAAUGUUAAUCCUAAAUGUUUAGUGUAAAAAUAUGAUGGCCCAAAAUGAGUUAGAAUAAUCACAUAUCUUGAAAACUUUAAUCAAAGGGAAAAUUGCGGAACUCCUCUGAGGUUGUUGACACUUGCACUCACCUAUUUGUAAAUAAAAUUAAAAAUGCGUUACAGAAAUAUUUUUAUGAAAGGGAAACUAGUAGCUUUUGUAUUUAAUAUGAAUUAAGUAUUUGAAAGCGAAAAAAAAAUUACCCACAACAUACCAGUUAUUUGCUAGUUUUUUCCAUUAUAUGAAUAAAGUACUAGCUAUUUAUAAGCAUUUUACUCUGAAUCAUUUAAUUUAUGUUAAAUACAUAAAUAUUUAAAAGUAAAAUUCAAAAAGUGUUACACUUAUAUUAUUACGAAAAGGAAACUAGUAGGUUUUAUAUUUAAUAAAAAUUAAAUACGUGAAAGUAAAAAAAGAAAUUACCCAUUUUUUACCAACUCUUUAUAGGCUUCUUUUAUUACAUGAAUAAAGCACUAGCUAUGGGGGUAGGCAUUUUACUAUGAAUCAUAUAAUUUAUGUUAUAUACAUAAAUGUUUGUAAGUAAAAUUUAAAAAGUGCUACACUAAUAUUUUUACGAAAGGAAAACUAGUAGGUUUUGUAGUUAACAUAAAUUAAAUAUGUGAAAGUAAAAAAAAAAAAAGAAAUUGCCCAUAACAUACCAGUUCUUUAUGGGUUUCCUCUAUUACAUGAACAAAGUACUAGCUAGUUAUGAGUAUUUUAUUCUGCAUCAUUUAAUUUAUCUUAAAUAUACAAAUGGUUGUAAGUAAAAUUCAAAAAGUAUUACUCUCAUAUUUUUAUGAAAGGGAAACUGGUAGGUUCUGCAUUUAACAUAAAUUAAUUAUAUGAAAGUAACAAUUACAAGUAAUUUAAUUAUUUAAUUAGUUACUUAAUUUGUUGACAAGAAACAAGUUUCUUUUGCAAAAUUUGUUCAUUAAGUUUCACCAAAUAAUUAGGGUAUAAAGGUAAAUUUUCACAAUCUUUUAUUCGCAAUAGGCCCCAGUUUCCUUCUAGGGGAGGGCAGUGCUAUUUCUUAAAUCAUAAAAGAGGUGAGUGCCAUAAUCUUGGUGAACUUGUGAUUUUGAGAGGUAGAACCAGCAUCCCAACACAAUUUCUUUAGAUGCGUGUUACGAAACUUUGUGUUAAAAUUACUCCUAACAUGUCACAAGCAAAGUCGAUGAACAGCAUAUGGGGGUUGCCAAAGCCUCUGCAAUCUAAUUGCAUUUAAUAUUCCUUUAUGAUGAUCAGAAAUCAGGCAAACUUGUCUUUCUUUAAGAACAUGUUGUCGAAGAAGACGCAAAAACCAAUUCCAAGUUACAUUGGUCUCUUCAUCCACAUGCAAUAUGUAUUGCAUUUCAUUGUAGUAGCAGUAGUAUUUUGCUAGGUAUGAUUUUGGUGGGUACUUAGAAGGCAAGUUGUUGGACUGAUUAAGAAAAUCCCCUGCUCCUUUUCUAACUUUUGCAAAUAUUGUCCACGUUAAUAUGGAUAUAUAUAUAUGUAUAAUUUUCCAAAUAUUUUUCAAUUUAAUAUGCAACUAUAUUUUAAAACUUUAGAUUUUGAAUUCGCUUAAAGUGCUUAUGCUAUGUGCCUGAAUACUUCAACAUAUUCUUUUUUUUUUUAGAAUCCCCAUGUUUUAGAAUAAUUUACCAAGCAAUUAAUUGUAUGAUCAUGGAUUACAUCAUCUCCCAACUUCAUUGCUAGUUACUACAUUCAAUUUGUAUAUAUCCACUGGUUAGGAAAGAAAUAAAUAAUAAUAAUUUUAUAUAUUUGGAUUAAAGUAAAGGGGUCGGGAAAGCAAUGAUAGGGAAAAGGAGUAGCAGGAUUGCUAAUAAAGGAAUAAUUAAUACAUUUUAAUGCAUUUAAAUUAAACAGAAAAGAAAAGAAAACCACUGUAUAUAUCCACCGGUUAUUCAAAUGAAUAAUUAAUGCAUUUAAGUGAAACAAAAAAGCAAAGGAAACGCACUGGAAAAAAACAGCACGAUUGUGGUAAAUAUGGGCGGAGAAAGCGGCUGCGGCUUCUCUAAUCGUUGCUCGUGCUUUUGUAAGUCCUCUUUCCAGAAUCUCUUGCUUUGUCAAAUACUCUUGCCCUUCGCACGGUAUCUUCCUCUGUCAAUAAGCACCAAAGAAUCAUCUCAGAUUUGCUUUUUUGCUUUUAAAAUAAUUAAAUGCAUCCAUUUCAUAAACCCUAAAUUUGAAAUUGUAAGUAUUACCUGACAAUAUGCCUAAUUAGCUCACCAGUCUCCCAAUCACCACUCUUGCUCUUACGUUGGCUGCGAAUGUGGUAUAAGAUGUACAAAAAAAAUUGAAUAGGUGGUGUGCUUUGUUUGGCCUUGAAGAAGUUAGGGUAGAAAGAAAGGGAUUGAGGGGAAAUAGUUCUUAGUACCGGGGACUAGAAUAGACUCCUAGAUAUGCUAAAAAUUCAUUUAACAAAUGAGUUUUUUUAUUAAUAAACGCAUUUCCGAAGAGACUUUUUAAACUAGCGCAUUCCACUAAUGCGUUAUUUAACCAAUUUUUCCUAUUUAAAUAAAUUUAUGAUAAUUAAAAUAAUGUAUUUGCAAAUUGCGUUUUUAUUUGAAAAAACGCAUUUCUUGGAUGUAUUUUUCAUCAUUUAGGAAGAGACUAAAAAAUCACCACCCUCUGGGAAGUUAGAUUAAAAAUUCCCUCAUUUUGGGAAUUUACUCGACCAUGCGGCGGUGGAUGGUGGGACCUAAGCGUAUUGACUGGAAACGUGGCACAUGGUCAACGGCUUUGGGUUUGGCAGGUCCUUCACACCCGGUUCUUAUUUUUCGGUCAAAUCGGGUCAAACCUGGUUUUUGACCUGGUUUGACCGAAUUUUUAAUUUUUCGGUUUUUAGAGUUAACUCAGACCGGACAAUUGGCCGAUUCCCGAUUUUUCCGGCCAGUCCGGUCCGAGUUUAAAAACAGAGCUUUGGAGUUCAAUUUUUUAAUUGCUUUAACAAUUAGAGAAGCUGUGUUCUAACCAAAUAACAUGUUACGAGAGUUAUCAAUUAUUUUAAAUUAACCAAUCUAUUCCCUUGAUACAAAUCCAAUCAUGUCAGUUAUCAUUAAUUUAAAGAAAUUAAACAAUUACGGAUUUAACUGCUCUAAUUGGUUUUAGGUUAUUAGAUUAAUUCAAAUACCGAACCCUUGAUAUUCAAAUAACAUAAUAGACAUAAGAAAUUAAACCAGGCAACAUACAAAUACCCUAAAUAAAAGAAAUAAAUGUAAUCAUAAUUUUAGUUGAACUAAAUCCUCCGUUAUUUCUUGAUUAGAGUGAAAAGCUUAGUUCAUCUCCACCAAAGAAAUCACACGGGAAAUACUAGAAGUAAUUUCCACGGCCAUUCUUCAAAUAUGUGAUGAAGUCCAGAGGAAAAGAAAAAAAAAACAUUGUUUCUUAUUUCUUCUUACGAGAAAAGCAAAGAGUCUCGCGUUAAGCUGGCUUUUUUACGAAAGAAAAGAAUGACAACGAUGAUAUUUUGUUGCUUCAUUCCCUGUCUCUGCCACAACUACUACUCCUAAACAAACCCCGUUUGGUAAGUAAGAUUUUUGGGUGUUUGUCUAAAACUUUAUUGUAGUUUACUAUAGAAGUUUUUAACAAAAUUUUUGAAGUGUGUUUUUUUUUUUUUAAUAUUUUGAAGUUUAUAGUUUAAAAACUUUGAGAAAUUUUUUAAUGUUACUGUAGUUAAAGUUUUUAAAAAACUUAUAACAGACAAAAUUGACAAAAAACUUAUCUGCCAAACAAGGCCACAUCCUAAUAAAAUUGACCAACCUUUUUCAAAAAGGUGCUAAAAGAUAAAUAAACUAGUAUCCUAAUAAAAGUAAAAGACUAUCCAUUCGAUCAAAAGUUUGAUUAUUGCGACCUCAAUUUAAAAUUGGAGACUAUGUGCCAAAUUCCAAACUUCCCAAACAUGCAGGUUAAACUUUGACGGGGCAACGCUAAUUUGCAUAGUAGUUUUAUUAAAAAUUACAUCUUUAAUUCUUUUUUGCUCUAGAUCCCUACAGUCAUCACUAAUUACUAAAUAUAAGUAGAAUCCACCAAUUAAUGCAAUAUUGGCUAAAAUCAAGGGGAAAACAUUCAUAAAUUUAAUGACAAAAUUUGCAGCCUAUGAGUCGGGUGACUUCAAGAAUUUUUUUUAAGUAUAAAUGGAAGGUUUUGAAUUCAAGAUAUUUCAUUUAUAUUCCCUCCUUCAUCCUAGAUUUGACUUCUCUUUAAUGGAAUAUCUUUCCAUUUUUCACAAUAUAUAUUUAGAUGCAUAACAUAUAUUUUCAUUUAUUAGAAUAAGACUGAUCAAUUUAAAUUUGAUUAGGAUCAUUUUAAAUUUGACUAAUUCUAGUCCUUUUUAAUAAAUAAAAAUGCAUGUCGUGCAUUCAAAUGUGCACAAAAAAUAGAACAAGAAUUUUACUAGAGAUGAGUCAAGUUCCCUUCAACCCGCCCCUCUUCCUAGGUGAUUUUAAGAUUUUUUAUUUGAGUCAUUCUCUAUGCCCCUCUUCCCACCACCCCUACCCCCGCCCUUUAAAGAUUUAAAAUCUACCUUCAACCAAACAAAUAAAAUUGCUUCAUGCCAAGAAUAAACUGAAAAGAUCCCCGGUUAUGCUAAUGCUGAGUAAGGAACUGCAUUAUCCCUUCACUGAUAUCUAGAAUAAUUCUGUAGGGUUAGAAUUUGGCUAUAAGGACUAAAAAAUUUAAGAAUUAAACAGUAGUAUGCUUUUAGUAAACUAAGUGGGAGAACUAGGUAUAAAAACUCACUAACACAAAGAGGAGCAGAAGAAGCAGUGAGAGUGAAACUGAAAACCAAGGAGGAGCUGAAGCCCUGAGAGCAGCACUCUGCUAUGAAUGAUCAGAAUUCAUUGUUUUGACUACAACGCGCCUUCUUCUCUCCUCAAUCAUUCCCACUCCGGCUUCCUAUCUCCUGCCCCAUCAGUAAGGCCUCUCUUGCCGUCCCUCCUAUGCAGAAAGUUUUUUUUUUUUUUAAUUUUCUGUUUUGUUAUUUUCAUACUUCAUUCGCAUUUAUUUAUGGAAUUUGCAUCUGGGUUUUUGAAAAUUUUGAAUUUCAUUAUUUGGGUUAGUAUGGGCAAUAUGGUGAUUGGAAAAAAAAAAGCUUUCUUUGUUAUGCGGAGAGGGAAAAGAGUGCAACAAAAGAAGCCACUUCAAUUCUUGAAAGGGUAAUAACUUCUGCUGGUUUUAGUUCUUUCCAGUUUUCAAAAUCAAAAUAAGGAAAUUUUAGACAUAAAGAAAAUUCAUGCUGACUUAAGAAUCAGGACAGUUGAAUUGGUUUAUUGAACUUGGUUUUGUGGGAUUCUUAAUUUCUGGCCAAGUUUGGUAACUUGGGAUAUUUGUAAGUGAACAAGACUGUAGUGGACUUGAAUUGCCUGUAUAAUGUGUUUGCAGCUGUAAAUGCUUUGGUGCAAGAUGAAAAGCAGCAGUGUUAUGGAAUUUGUUUGUAAACAAAGAGAUGUUGAAUUAUUAAGCAUAAGCAAACCGCGAAUGGCACGGCGACUAAUGGAAAAACUUAUGAAGUUUGGAGAAGUGGGUGAGCUAUGCAGCAGGUAGGCACAGACAUAUUGUGUUGUUCAAAUGUGUUAGGUAUUAAGGAGGGGGAAAACAACAAACAAAUUAAAGUUGUUUACUGUUUUAAACGUGAGAAGUUUUUGGAACUGAAGUGUAAUGCUAAUAGCCUUCAUUUGAGAGAAAACUGAGAAAAUAAUGCGGUCAACACAGUUUCCUUCUGUUGAACUUAGUCUAGGAAAAACGUUUAUGAUUUUUGGGUUCUAAACUUGAUUAAGAUUUCAGUUGGCAGACAAACAGAAGGAUAAGAUGUCAAUCAUCCUGCCAAUAGGUUAUUAACAUCUAAGUCUAGUAACUGGCUUCAAAUUUUUUUGCUUAUGAUCUUCAACUUCAUCCAUUUAUUUGUAAUUAGUGCAUUGUUAGGUCACAGAUUAGUAUGGUUUAUUCCUUGUUUACAUGUCUUAUUCACCUUGCAUUGCUCACUCUGUCAUUUGUCACUUGGUUCAAUCAAGUGACUCCAUUUAAGUCUGCUGUGCCUUCUUGAGUAACUGACAUGAUUCGUCAUCCAAAAUGCAACACUGGUUAAGUUCUUUAUCACCCAUAUCUUUCCAGUGUAUAUAGAUGAAUUAGUUACCAUUUUCCUCAAAUUUGAAGAGGCUUAUGGAUACACAGUUAGCUUAAGCUUGUACAUAACUCAUUUCGGUUAAGAACAAAUUCACCUUACCAAUACGGAAGCUUUGCAUUGUUUUCUUUGAAAAUAAAACAAAAACAAUAGAUAGAAGAUAUGCUAUAUUUUCUACUGUAAGAAAAAAUUUAUAAACAUAAAAGCAAAUUAAUAAGGGCAUGAUUAUAGUUCUCUAGAGAAUGAUAUGGUCUUAAGUGAUCAUAAUUCUUGGAGGAGAAAACCAUGCGUCCAAUUUUGUAAGUCAUUUGAGACAUCAGAUAUUACGUGCAUGUAUUAUAUACUCCACUGAUUGCCAGUCAUGUAGCAUGAGGUCUUGAGAAGAAGAUAUGUAAGCAUCAUUUUUGCUUUUAACAAUAGAAAGGCAUUCUUCGUUGCCGCAGCUUUGGAUAAUUGUCCUUUGUUCAUACUUAAAGGAACUUGUAUAAGCAUGAGAUGUUGCACUAUUCUAGGGCUAUAAGGAACCAAAUAAUAGGCGGAUGAUUUAGAGUUAGAUUAAAAACUUGUGGCAGACGAUUUAGGAAUUGUUUUUGGAUAUAUUUACACCAGAAGCCAAGCAUUUCUGAGGUUUAUUACCAUGUGAAAGAAAUGAAUGAGUUUCAGUUUUAUUUGAAGUCCUCUACAAAGCCUGUAUCAUUUUUAUUUUUUGGACCUUUAUGUGUUGCAAAAGGGAGGCAAAGAGUGAACCGACUAGGAGAAUGGGAAGGUGUGCAUCUGGUGCUUGCGACAUUCUAUUCUUUUGACUUAAUGGAGUUUUUAUAAAAGCUGUGUGUGCUGAAUGUUUUCUUAGGGCUUCAAACUGAAUGUUUUCUUGGACAUUCUAUUCAAGACUGAUGUAACCAAUAAAGAGUUUAAGGGAAGAUUAGAUCUACACAAUCAUGGGAACUUGGCUGAAUAUUGAGUUUACCUACUUCGAACAAUGGGUAACCUUUUUAGGAUCUUGAGGUAUUCAUUAGAAGUUUAAGUUUUACGUAUUUCAGUAGACUUAAAAUUUGUGGUGCUUUAGUAGCUUAUAGGUAUUUACGUGUUUGAGUGUUUGACAAACUGGCAGUGGAGAACACUUCGGUCAUUGUUUGGGACCCUGGGCUUAUACAUAGACUUUGAUGGAAGGGCUCUUAAUUGAAAUGUUGGGGUUCGUUGGCCCAAGUUCCUGCCAUAAGAUAUUCUGGUCCCUGCAGCUGCUGAAGCCCAGUACAUUCUGCAUCUUCCACCGUACACGUACCCAGACACCCUGGUUUGUUAGGCCAUCCAUGAAGGAGUUAAAGUUACUCAUUGGUGAAUUUUUUAUGCUUGGCUAUUCUUGGUAAAUGGUUUUCUCAUGAAAACUGGCGGAAAAGUGGCAUCUGGUUUAGCUGAUGGUGAUCUAUUGUCAUUCUUUACGGUUUUUUUUUUCCAUUAAUUUGUACAAAAUCUGAUUGACUUUUAGCACUUUUGAUUUUAGAACAAUGCAUCUUGCAUUAGAACUUUUUUUCUAAUUAGGUUCCAUUUUAAUAGCUGUAUUAAUUUAUGAAAUCUUGUUUAAAAGAGUGACAAUUAGCACAAGGAUAAAUCAGAAAUUGAUUGUACAACAGAUGGUCUAGUGGCAGAAUACUCGAGUUUGGGAGCAAUUCUGACAUAAUUGUUUGAUGUGAUUGUUAGCAGAGAAAUUGCAGUUAAAUGAAACCCACUUAUUGAAGACAAUUGCCUUUGGCUUUUAUAUACUUAUGCAACUGAACUUGUGUAGAAUCAGCAUGAAUGAUAUUUUUCACCAUCAUACUUUUUUUUGGGGUUUAGUUGAUCUGAUCGGUUCAUCCAAUUUCAUAUAUAUGAAGUAUCUCAGUGGGAAAGCCAGCUUGCAUCUAGAGGGUGUAAAGUGUAGUAAUCAGCUUAGUGUCUUGUUACCUAACUGCAGUACAUUUUCUUCCAUGUGUUGUGUAUGUAAAGCUAUAUAGGUUAAUUCAAGUUAAGUCACAUUUAUGUUCUGUGAGAUGUUGACCAGUUUUAUGGUUAAAUACUCUUUGCAGUAUUUCAGAUCUUUGAGUGGUCUAAAUGCUGUAGGUUUUGAAAGUUUGGAUGCGAAUAUGUCAGCUAAAGGGAUGAGAAUAUCAGUAAGUACGGACGAGGAACUUGGCAGCAGUUAGAGGUGGCAAAAUGGGCGGGAUGGGCGGGAUUUGCUUGGGUUUAAGAUGAAACCGAGUUAUAUGGGUUUAGGCCCAACCUUACCCAUAUAUGUUUUGGGACUAACUUGGGCGGGAUCACUUUGGGAUGGGUUUAGAUUGAUCCCGCCCAAUAUCCAAAUCUAUUUUCUACAUAUUUUUUUCCUUUAAUUUAUUUUUUAUUUUUUAUAUAAUUUUAAUAUUUUUGAUUUAUUAAAUUUCUUUUAGUUUUAUUAAAUAAACAUGCAAGUGCUUUAUACUCAGGAUUAUCACCAAAAAUUGGAUUAACAAAUAAAGGAAAAGAUAGAUAUACAAUCAUGACUAUAAAAAUUGUUAAAGAUAAUUUUUGAAUCUAAGACUCCGUUUGGAUUGGCUAUUUUUUAAAAAAAUAAGUUUUUCAAAUACCAUGUUACAGUAAUAUACAAUAAGUCAAAAAGCAUCCCAUCCAUAUUAGUAUAUCAAAUAUUUCGAAAAUAUUUUAUAGUAAAAAUUUUUCAUAUACACUACUACAAUAAAAUAUUUCAAAAAUACCCCCCAAAAAUAGUUAAUCCAAACGGAGCCCUUGCUAUUUGAGCCCAAUGGGUACCCAAGCAUUUUCCAAAAUUUUCUAUCAAUUAAUGGGUACAAUUGGGAUUUGUCCCAUUUUAAACCCAAUAUCAAAUUCCAAUACCCAUCCCGCCCAAAGUCUCAAUGGGCAUGGGUAAUCCAUUGGGACUUGGGACAAAUUGCCACCUCUAGCAGCAGUAUGGAGAGGAAAGAUGCGGCCGAUGACUUUGGAGAACCUGAUAAUAGUUUAAGUCUGGUAUUUUAGUUUAUACACAUGCUUCUACAGAUAAUGCAAAUUAUAAAUGUAUAACUACGUACCUGCAAAUCCCUCAAAUAUAUAUAUAUAUAUAUAUAAGUACCUGUAAAUCUACAAAGAAAAUGAAGAGGCUGGGGAUUUGUCUGAAGAAUAGGUAAUAUGACUUCUAUGCAUGAAAUAAUAAGAACAAGUUUAGUUAAAAAAAAAUAUGUUACUAUAAAGUAGGGGUGGCAAUCGGGUCGGGUUCGGGUUGGCGGGUCGGGUUGAGGCCUAAGUAUAACAAAGAACCUGCUGAUCCGAACCCGACCCGCCAACCCGAAACGGGUCAGGGUACCUGACACGAACCCGAAAAUUUCGAGUUGGCGGGUCGAUCCAAAACUUAAUUUUAAUUUAUUAAUUUAUUACUGUAAUUUCUAAUAAAAUCAAUUUUUCACAAAAUUAAUUACAUAAUCAAGUAAUAAAAAUUUAAAUAAAUAAUUUCAAACCAAAUCUAAAAUAAAUUAAACACCAUAAAAGUAUUUUAUCCCAAACCAAAUAUAAAAUAAAUUAAAACAGCAUAAAAGUAAAAAAUAACAUAAUAUAUUAUUUGUCCAAAUAUAAUAAUUUUAACUUCACACAAGUUAAAUAAAUUCAUUUAGGAUUAAGUAAUUAAUGCCUUUGGAAAAAAAGAAUGAUUUAGUUUAGUUAGAUAAAAUAAUUUUUAUGUUUAUUAAAUUAGUUUUAAUUCAUAAACGGGUCACAUCGGAUCAUAUCAGGUCACCACGGGUUGACCCGAAAUUGACAUGUUUUCUUUUCGGGUUCAUCAGAUUCGACCCGAUUCUGACCCGAACUCCCGAAACCUCAACCCAAACCCAUUAAUUUCGUGUUAGGUUCGUGUCGCGUUUUCGAGUCGUGUCAGGAAUUGCCACUCCUACUAUAAAGAAAGGGAAUGAGAAGUUAAUAGAAGGGGAAGGGUAAAGAAAAUACCUUAUGAUAGCUCCAUCCCUGUGACAUACUUAUUUAGGCUAGUUUGAGUUUGUGUAAGGCUCUAUUACUGCCCAUACGCAUAAACUCUCAACCACCCCCGCCCCCCCUCUUCUUAAAAAAAAAAAACCUUUAGCAAAAAUUUUCUGUGUACCCACCCAGUUUGCUACAAAUAGUUUAUGUGAGAGGUGUGUAUCUGUGAAAGUUUUGGCUUCUUAAUACAAGAGUAGAGUUCAAGGCAAGAUUUUGGUGGAUUGCAAGUUACAAAGAAUUGCUGGAGAAAAAUUGUGCAAUCCAAAAUAUUAGAAGGCAGAGAAGGGAUGAAUUUCCCUCUAAAAAACUAACAGAUAGCUUCAUUUCAUUAGAAAAUUAAUUGUGAGUGCAUGAACAGAAUGUACUCUAAAAAAGUCGUACAAGUUUUAAGAACUCGUGUUGUUUUGCUGCCUAUUGUUUCUUUCAACAGCCCUAUAUUGUUGUACGGUGUGAGAACUGGAGAAGAACAACAAACAAUUCUUUUCUUUAUCACAAAAGUGAUGAAAGAAUAAGAAAGAUAUUGUAAUUCGGUACUUACAAUAAAAACAUGUAGAUAUCAUGGUGUCUUAACUUCCCCAUUAAGGUAGAUAGUGGAGCAAAAUAUCUUUGACCACACAGUACAUUCAGCUAGCUAGGGCUUGAUUAUUUAGUUAUCUAUGACUAUCAAAAUUACAGAAAUCAUGUUUAGAAAAUAAGUAUCAAAAUGCACUAAGAAUAGAGGAUGUAUUGUUCAUUAAUUAACUUGAAAAGCAAACAAAAUAUGACUGUGCUUCCUCUAUUCACAGAGGAUUAAAACAUAAAUUUGACCAAAAAAUGGAAGGACUUAAACUAUGUACCAAUUUUGGUAUGUAGUUGGUUUGGCAGAGAAUUUGAGUUGGUUUGGUAUGUAGUAAACUCUGCACUCGGAAACUCGAGAACCAAGCCUGGGGAGCAUGUUAAUUUCUUUAUUGACCCUGUUGCUGUAGUAUUUACUCAAACGGUGGUAGAUGGCAAGAAUAAGCAUAUGAGGAUGUGUAUCUUAAAAAGUGCUUAACCACAGCGAAUCUAUGAGGAUCACCUUUUGCAAUUAUAGGUGAUCCAAAAUUUAUAUUUAUAACAAAAAGAAUGAAAUCCAAAUCAAAUCGCGACUGUGGAGAAACAUCACUCUCAUGAUUAAGGGCAGAUUUUAUUUCGAUCACAUUAAGAGCUCCGUUGCCAAAAGAAGCCUUGAUCUCAAAGUUGGCUUACAGGUAACUCCGCGCUCGGAAAAUCGAGAAUUAAAUGCCAGCUUAGGCUUAGAGGUAACUUUUGGUUCCUGUGGAUCCCUAAUUUAUGGUUUAGGAGGCUUCCAUUAUUUUCCUCCUCAAUAUCAUGGUCAUAGUCCAAUGCCCCUACAGCAAAUUGGCCCAAAUAAGUUUGCUACCCUUUGGCUCGCAACUGUGGGGCAAAAACCACCACAUUGUGCUAGGUUGAGCGUGUUCACCACUUCACCACUUGAGGAGGAGGAGCAUUCUGCUACCCCUCUUUGGGAGGGGAAGAAGGAAGAUGAUUCUUCUUAUAGGAAGGAGAUGAAGAAGGAAUCUUGUUUUGUUCCCAACAUUGUAUUAGACAAUAGUCUUCAACUCGAGGUAGAGGAGCAUGUUCAUUUCUAUAUUGACGCAAAGACAGGAUACAAAUCAAGGACAGAUUUUAUUUCUAUCUUCAUGACAAUCCUCAUCUGGAAGAAGAACAAAAUCUAGUAGUACACAAGAAACUGCUGCAAAAAUCUGGUAGAGCUAAUCUGAAAGCAUCUAAGCUAAUUUGAUACAAACUGGAUGAGGUACUCAUCAAGUGUGGUGUAUUUAACAUCAGGAUAGAGCUCCGUUGCCUCCAUGCCAAAAGAAGCCUCGAUCUCAAAGUUGGCAAUUUCUCCCUUCACGAAAAAUGUGUAUGCCAAAGACAGGAGCAAUUUUAAUGGCAUUGAAGCCUCUGCGAAAGAUACAAGAAAAGAAAGCAAUUUGAUUAGAACGUGGAAUAGUAGAUGCUAUUGUAUUAAAAAUUAGCAACUUGUGCACUUUUUUCUUAUUGUUAGAUGACCUUGAAUUUUCUUAAGAACUUCGUCCCCUGGAACGUAGAUCUUUUCGAGGGUCUUGCCAAUUUUCUUUUCCCACAAUGAUACUAUUUCGUUGUAGGACAAGGUGUUGGCAGGGGGUGUAAUGUACACACUCUUGUUCAGAGUCCUUGGGUCAUCUGCUGCUUUGAUGGUGUAUGCAGCAAUGUCUUCUUCCUUGGUGAAAACAACUGCAACGAAACAUGAAAUUGAACAAAAAAUUGAGAACGAUGAACUCUAAAAGAUGAUACUAAACCAAUCAAGAUAUGCAGCAGACAAGCCCCUUUCGGAUACCUUUUGGAUUUCCAUCGCCAAGAAUGACAAUUUUGUCUCUGGGAGGGCUUGCAGAGAGAGAGUCUCCAAAGUUGUUGAGGAUAUAAUUCAAGUAACCAGCAAAUCCGUUAGAUACUAAAUAAGUGUAAGGUAUCCCUUCUGUUGGUAAUAGUUUGUAAUGAGUAUGUUGAAAUCCAUUGUCCCACAUUGAAAGAGGAUAAAGUGCAUGUUGCCUAUAUAUGAGUCAUUGUCCUAUUCCUUUACAAACUUGUUCCAAGAUAAUAGUUUGGAGGGAAAGUUUGGUGGGAAACUUAUUUCAAGAUAUAUAAAAUCUUGACAAGGGCACUUGGGCACUUGGGGCACCUUGGGGCUUUCUGAAAGGGUGUCAAUCAGAGGUAGUUAAUGGCGGUUGGCGGUUACAUUUUGCAGACAUAUCUGUUAAUUGGCUAACUACCCAAACGCCUAUUCAAUAAAGAUUGCAUCCUCUGAUAGUGCCUUGAAUAGGUGCUUCAAUCCUUUUAAAUAGUAGGAUUUCGACAGAAUUAAAUUACUUUUACUUUUCAUUUGAUAGUUCUUAGACUUUGUUGUAUCCUAGAGGUAAUUUGUCUAAUAGAGGCAAAUAACACCUUAAGGAAAGUGCUUUCACGCCUCAAAGUCUCUGUAUUUGUCUAGUAUAGUUUUGUUCUUUACUACAGUUUAAUAACAAUCUUAAGGUGUUAUUAUCAACAAUGGAGUCAAGUUCUGAAUCUGCGUUCAAAGUGAUGAAUCAGGACUUCGUGAAGUUGGACAGAUUCGACGGCACUAACUUCUCCCGUUGGAAGGAUAAGAUGAUGUUUUUCCUGACGGCUUUGAAGAUUGCUUACGUUUUGGAUCCUUCUCUUCCUGAAAUUCCAGAACCUAAAGAUGGUGAUUCUGAUGAAGUCAAGGCACAACACAGGAAACGCGCAGAGGACGAGUUGCUGUGCAGAGGACACAUCAUGAACACUCUUUCUGACCGCUUGUAUGAUCUAUAUACUGCAGUCAAGUCGCCAAAGGAAAUCUGGAAUGCGCUGGAAUACAAGUAUAAUACGAUGAAACAAGGUGCGGAUAAAUUUCUGAUUAUGCAAUAUUUUGAUUUUCGUAUCAUUGAGAAUUCUUCUCUUAUGGAUCAGAUUCAUGAUCUCCAAGUGAUUGUGUCUAAGUUACAUGAUCUGAAAGUGGAGAUAUCUGAAUCCUUGCAAGUUGGAGCAAUUAUAGCCAAACUUCCAACUAGUUGGAAUGACUAUAAGAAAAAGUUGCUCCAUACUACUGAAUCAUUCACUACAGAUCAGAUUUUAAAACAUUUGCGUAUUGAAGAAGAUACCAGAAAUCUUCAAAAGAAGCAAAUAGAAUCUGAUGUCAAAGUGAAUGCUUUAAGUGAGAAGAAUUCACAGAAUUUUUCUGGUUCCAAAAGAAAGUCUCCAGAUGCAAGUACAUCUAAGGACAAGAAGAAGAAUAGAAUCUGCUAUAAGUGCGGCAAGAAGGGACAUUACAAGCGUGAGUGCAAAGCAGAUAGCAACAAAAAGCAAAAGAAAGACAAUGCCAAAAAUGCAAAUCUGGUUGAACAAGAUGUUGCUGAGAUUGUUGCAAUGAUUUCGCAUUGGAACAUUGGCAUGAUUUCUGAGUUGCAUGUGGCUGCUGCAACCAAAUCGUGUGACUGGUGGUAUGAUUCUGGUGCCACCGUGCAUGUUUGUAAUGAUAAGUCCCAAUUCAAGACUUAUGAAGAAGUUCCUGAUGGUCAUAAAGUAUUGAUGGGAAACCAUGAUACAGCAAAGGUCAUUGGCAUAGGAAGUGUAGACUUGCAGUUUACUUCCGGAAAGAAACUUAUACUGGCCAAUGUACUUCAUGUUCCAGAAAUUAGGAAAAAUCUUGUGUCGGCUGAUGCCUUAAACAAAAAGGGGCUAAAGGCUGUAAUAGAGUCUAAUAAGCUUAUCUUCUCUUUGAAUGGUGUAUUUGUAGGCAAGGGAUACUCUUGUGAUGGAAUGUUCAAGUUAUGUAUCAAUAAAAAUAAUGUUUCUGUGUAUAUUGUUGAUGCUUCAUAUUCUCUUUGGCAUGGUAGAUUAGCGCAUACUAAUCAUAAAACUUUGCAGUUUAUGUCUAAACAUGGGCUAAUUUCGUUCAAAGAUAAUGUUGAAAAAAGGUGUGAAACAUGCAUACAAGCAAAAAUGACCAGAUUACCUUUUCCUAAAGCAGAAAGAAACAAUGAAUUGUUGGAUCUUGUUCAUUCUGACGUUUGUGAAUUUAAUGGGUUUCUAACAAGAGGAGGAAAUAAGUAUUUCAUCACAUUCAUUGAUGAUUAUUCAAGAUAUGUGUAUGUUUACUUGAUGAAAACGAAAGAUGAGUCAUUUCAUAUGUUUAAGUGUUACAAAAAUCUGGUGGAAAAUCAACUAGGAAAGAAGGUUAAAAUUUUGAGGAGUGAUAGAGGUGGGGAAUAUCUCCCUGCUGAUUUUUCUCAAUUUUGUGAAGAAAAUGGAAUUAUACACCAAACUAGUGCACCUUAUACUCCGCAACAAAAUGGUUUGGCAGAAAGGAAAAAUAGAACUUUAGGAAAUAUGGUAAAUGCCAUGAUUAUAAGUUCUGGACUGCCUAAAAAUUUGUGGGGAGAGGCCUUACUGGCUGCUUGUCACAUACAUAAUCGAGUAACUUCGCUUAAAUCGAAGGUAUCACCAUAUGAAUUAUGGAAAGGUAGAAAACCAAACUUGAAGUAUUUUCGAGUUUGGGGUUGUAUAGCCUUUUAUAGAGUCCCUGAUCAUAAAAGGACAAAAUUGGGACCUCGAGCACUUAAAAGUGUGUUUGUAGGCUAUGCUGAAAAUUCAAAAGCAUAUCGGUUGCUAGAUUUAGAUUCUAACGUCAUUGUGGAAUCUAGAGAUGUCGAAUUUUUAGAAGAUAAAUUUCUUUAUAAUUCGACAAUGAGUACAGAUCCAAGCCAAGAGCCACCGCCUGUUUCCAAUGCUAGACCCUCCAAUAAUAAUAAAAGGAAUGCAGGGGACAUUCCAAGUGAGUUAAGGAGGAGUCAAAGGCAACGGAAAGAAAAACAUUUAUCCUCUGAUUUUAUAGAUUCACAAGCUAUUGUUUUCCUAGUUGAAGGCGAUAGACAGUUUCUACUUGACAAGAUUCCUAUCUUGUUAACUGUAGAAGAUGACCCUAAAACUUUUAGUGAAGCUAUGAAAUCGAGAGAUGCAUCGUUUUGGAGAGAGGCAAUUAAUGAUGAAAUGGAUUCAUUAUUAAGUAAUAAUACUUGGAUCCUAGUUGAUUUGCCUCCGGGUUCUAAACCAAUUGGCUGUAAGUGGGUAUUUCGAAAGAAAUAUGCUACUGAUGGAUCUGUACAAACUUUCAAGGCAAGAUUAGUAGCAAAAGGAUUUAGGCAAAAGGAGGGAAUCGAUUAUUUUGAUACUUAUGCACCAGUGGCUAGAAUUACAUCUAUAAGAGUACUAUUAGCAUUGGCUUCAAUGUUUGAUUUGUGUGUACAUCAGAUGGAUGUGAAAACGGCCUUUUUAAAUGGUGACUUAAAUGAAGAGGUGUAUAUGGAUCAACCAGAAGGUUUUGUUCUACCAGGGAAUGAAAAGAAAGUUUGCAAACUAACAAGGUCUUUGUAUGGUCUAAAACAAGCGCCUAAACAGUGGCAUCAAAAGUUUGAAUCUGCUAUACUCUCUAACGGUUUUAAAUAUAAUAAUGCUGAUAAGUGUAUUUAUUCCAAGUUUACUAGAGAGUAUGGUGUGAUAAUCUGUCUAUAUGUAGAUGACAUGCUAAUUAUUGGUACUAAUUACAAAGGCGUUGAAGAAACUAAGAAGUAUUUGUCUUCUAUAUUCAAGAUGAAAGAUCUUGGAGAAGUAGAUACUAUCUUAGGAAUUAAAGUUAAGAGACAUAGUGGGGGCUAUUCUUUAAGUCAAUCUCAUUAUGUUGAGAAAGUUUUGAACAAGUAUCAACAUUUGAAGAUAAAAGAAGUAAGCACUCCUUAUGAUCCUAACUUUAAGUUGUUUGAAAAUUCUGGAAAGCCAAUUGCUCAAUUAGAGUAUGCUAGUGCAAUUGGUAGCCUAAUGUAUGCUACACAUUGUACUAGGCCAGAUAUUUCAUAUGCAGUUUGUAGACUCGCUAGAUACACUAAGAAUCCUGGUAUAGAGCAUUGGAAAGCUAUAGGUAGAGUGCUUGGAUAUCUUAAAAGGACAAAAGAUUUAGAGCUUUCCUAUAACAAAUUUCCGGUUGUACUUGAAGGUUAUUCCGAUGCAAGUUGGGUAACCAGUGUAUGUGACAAAGUGUCUACUUCUGGAUGGAUUUUUAUGUUGGGUGGAGGAGCUGUUUCUUGGGCAUCAAAGAAACAAACAGUCAUAACUCAUUCCACCAUGGAGGCUGAGUUUGUAGCCUUAGCAGCUGCAUGCAAAGAGGCCGAAUGGCUAAGAAACUUACUGUUAGACAUCGAGUUGUGGCCAAACCCGAUGCCAGCCAUUUCUUUGCAUUGUGAUAGCGAAGCCACUAUGUCUAGAGCGUUAAAUAGAAUAUAUAACGGCAAAUCUAGACAUAUAAGUCUAAGACAUGAAUAUGUCAGACAAUUAUUGAACGAUGGCAUAGUCACAGUAGUGUAUGUUAGAUCAUUCAACAAUUUGGCGGAUCCAUUCACUAAAGCUCUCUCAAGAGAUGUAGUGAAAGCAACGUCAUUGGGAAUGGGGUUAAAACCCAUUGUCUAAAACCACUAGUAAUGGUAACCCAACCUCUCUUCUAGCACUAACACUAGGUGAAAGGUUUAAAGGGUAAUAACAAGUUACUAAUAAGUGGUUGUGAGCACUAGAAAUUGUAUCAUACCAUUCCAAGGUACUAGUGCAGUUUGAUACAUAAGAGGCUGAGUAUCAUACUCUUAAUGAAGUUAAAUAUGGUUUCAUAGUGCCUUGGUAAUAAAGGCUAGAAAUGUACUUCACCUAUAUGAUCAUGGGAGUGGUGCCGCUCCCAGCAAAAGUGGGGGUUUUCUUUUGUAAAUGAUCAUGAAUCUAGGAUGGAGCACACGGCCAGUAAAAGUGCUAAAAUCAUUUCGUGAACUAUUCUCCGAAAAGGUAUAAUCUUGUGUGUGCUAUUUCUGUUUUAACUUUAAAGUUAUGGUUUAAGCAAUGUAGCCACCAUAACUUGUUAGAACAAGUGAAAUAUUUACACUAAGAGAAGGGUUUAAGUUCACAAACACCUUUCUCUAUGCAAGAUAAUAUGAGUGCUGAUUUGAUUUCAUUACAAACUAAGUGGGGGAUUGUUGGUAAUAGUUUGUAAUGAGUAUGUUGAAAUCCAUUGUCCCACAUUGAAAGAGGAUAAAGUGCAUGUUGCCUAUAUAUGAGUCAUUGUCCUAUUCCUUUACAAACUUGUUCCAAGAUAAUAGUUUGGAGGGAAAGUUUGGUGGGAAACUUAUUUCAAGAUAUAUAAAAUCUUGACAAGGGCACUUGGGCACUUGGGGCACCUUGGGGCUUUCUGAAAGGGUGUCAAUCAGAGGUAGUUAAUGGCGGUUGGCGGUUACAUUUUGCAGACAUAUCUGUUAAUUGGCUAACUACCCAAACGCCUAUUCAAUAAAGAUUGCAUCCUCUGAUAGUGCCUUGAAUAGGUGCUUCAAUCCUUUUAAAUAGUAGGAUUUCGACAGAAUUAAAUUACUUUUACUUUUCAUUUGAUAGUUCUUAGACUUUGUUGUAUCCUAGAGGUAAUUUGUCUAAUAGAGGCAAAUAACACCUUAAGGAAAGUGCUUUCACGCCUCAAAGUCUCUGUAUUUGUCUAGUAUAGUUUUGUUCUUUACUACAGUUUAAUAACACCUUCUGCCUCAAUAGCUCUGCGGAUCUCAACCUUGGUCCUGUUUAAGCUAGCAGCAGGCUCAACAGCGUUCGCACGAUCCACAUCAACCCCAAAUUCAGAAGGUAAAAAUCUCUGAAACCAAAUACAGCUCCUUCUUUAGGAAUAUGGAAGUCACAACUCACAAAGGGACAAACGCAAAAAAUAAAAAUCAAGAAAGAAUUUGUAACACUGUAUUGUGCUUACUUUGAUGUUUCCAGCUUCUUUAAUUGCUUCAAUAAUCUUAACUUGAUGAGCUACCAAAUCUCCCCCGACUGCAGAGAUCACUAUGUCAACUUGUUUGAUUGCAUUUACCAACUGCUGAUGAUUGUGUAGAUCUCCCUGUUCAGCCCAUACGUACAUGUCAGUUUCUAUAAUUUAUUGAAAAAAAAUUGAAACACUAUUUAGACAACGAAGAAAGAAAUAACAGCACACAUGAAGAAAUAUGACUCCCAAACUCUUGAAACUCUCGAUGAUGGCUGCCCUCUUAGGAUCUGAAAUUGUGCUUUCUCGGACCAGUGCAAACGUUGGGUGCCCUGCUUUUGCGCUCGCUUCCACUAAAUAUUUCCCGAUGUUUCCAGUGCCGCCAAUGAUCAAAAUCUUGCUUUUCACAUCCAUUUCCAACUCUAGGAUAGUAGACUACUGCUGCAAAAUUGGAUGGAAACCGUAAAUUGAUUAGCUGAACAGAUGCAGAAAUGUGCCUAUAGGCUGCAGCUUCGUGCAGGGUUAAUUUAUAGAGGAAAAAGUAUUGAAACUGGCAAGCAACGCUGUCGCUGCAGUUUCCUUUUGAUGCUCUAUUGGCUUCUGAAAUUUCUAAAGUGCUCCAAGAACCAAUCAACGGAAGUUAGACAGUUGAACAUUAUCACGAGGUUUCCCAAAAAAUCAUAGCACUAACGGAUUCUUAUUGGCCAAGAUGCGCAAUGUGUAGGGGUGCCUGGCAAUUGCGAAAGAGGAAGGUCAAAGUCAAUUGAAUGUCCUUGUGAAGUGAAACUACUCAUACGGGAGAUUUAGUGGUAGGAUUUCGUCCCUGAAUUAGUGAUGACCAAACCUGAAGUAAGUGCUGAUGUUGAACAAAAUGUUGAAGUGAACAAAAAGAGCAUAAACUUAGUACUAAACGUUAACAAUGUGCUAGAAUCUCUUCAUUUGCACCGAUACCACGAGAAAAAGAAAAUGAAAAGAACAACAUUUUGUUUAUAUUUCAUCAUAUACUGAUAGAAGCCUGUAUUCAUAGGCAUUUAAUCCAGACAAUACAAUUAAUAGACACAGUUUGCUUAGACACUACAAUUCAGAAACUAGUCAAGGAAUGGAGUCAAUCAAGAGAUUUAUUAAUUUUUUUUGUCACAAUCUAUGGAUGAGGAUGGAAUUAGCCAUAAAUCUCUCAUUUUUAAGGGUCUCUUUUUUCUUUUUCUUUUUUUUUUAAUUUCUUGCUCAUUAAUGUUUGUUGGGGCAGGUGGUAUUUUGAGCUAACUUCUGUGCAUUUUGGAUUAGUCCAACUUCCAACCCUUAAAUAUUCAUCCCAAGGACAUAAUUAAAGAUGGUAGAGCUUCGCUAAUUAAAAAUCUAGUUAAUUUGUUUAAUAUCCGAUUUGGUAAGCUUGUCCAAUUAGUGCUAAACCCUUAGGGCAUGUUAAAAUAUAUUUACAAGGCACUGUGCAGUGUGCACUAGACCAGCCUUGGGCAUGUCCUAACCUAUGGACAAUGUGAUUUUUGAAAGCUAGAUCCUCAAAUGAUGAUAUAUAGUCAAUUUGUUCAUUUAAGUUCCAACGUCUUUUGCUUAUAGCAUUAAGAGCAUAGAUUGUAAAAUAUGGUAUGGGUAUAAUACGAGGUAUAUGUAUGCCUAUUAUACAAGAUUUAUUUUCAAAAGUACAAUUAAAAAUUUGGCAUGUUCGGCAAAAUUACUCAUAUAAAUUUGUAUGUGUAUAGUACGAACAUAUUUGAAAAUUAUGGAACUAAAAAUAUAGAUAAAUUUAGUAUAAUUUUCAAAGAAUAUGCCACUUCUAUACCAAUCUUAAACUUAUUUUAAUGUAUGAGAUGUUAAAUUUAUUAAAAUUUUGUUAUCAUAUUAUUUAAAUAUGUAUAAAUCUACAAUUGUUACAUUAUAUGUUGUUCUUAUUUUGUAUAUAACUCAUGAACAUGUCAUUAUCAUUAAAUUUUAAUUUUUUUUAAAAAAUUGAAAUAUAAUUCACGAAGUAUAAUACAUAACAAAAAUUUAUUAUGUGUUUCGUCUAGUUAAUUGAAAAGUAUGAGCAUUUUUCAAAAUAUUUUUGAAAUCUAGGAAAUAUGGAGUUUUUUGAAUGAGACGUAAGAAUGAGUAUUAUAUAAAUAUACUACAAAUGCCUCCUAACUAGGACUAAGAGAAAACAACCGGAACAAACUAACAUCUUCAAAUCAUUUGCACGUAUUACAUCCCUUCUUUCUUCAAGUAUACCUACCCAUAUUAAUAUCCUACCAGAAAAAAAUCAAUUCAGAUUAAUAUCCUACCCAUAGUUUCCUUUUGAUGCUCUAUCGACUUCUGAAAUUUCUAAAAUACUUCAAGAACCAAUCAACGGAAGAUUAGACAGUUGAACAUUCUCACGAGGUUUCCCAAAAAAUCAUAGCACUAACGGAGUCUUAUUGGCCAAUUGCGAAAGAGAAAGCUGCUCAAAGUCAAUUGAAUGUCCUUGUGAAGUGAAACUACUCAUGUGGGACAUUCAGCGGUAGGAUUUCGUCCCCGAAUCAGUGAUGACCAAACCUGAAGUAAGCGCUGAUGUUGAACAAAAUGUUGAAGUGAACAAGAAGAGCGUAAUAUUGGCCACCACAUUAAUUGGGGGAUGGGAAGUUAAGGGUUCAAACCUUGCCUCCCAUCAAUGUGCCUCAAUAUGAGAUUUGUUCUAAAUUCAUAUGAGUGUGUGGUGCACCCGUCUGAUCUGAUAGUGGUUCAGUCCCCGUCAGAUUCCUCCGACUCAGUUGGGCCUUCCCAAAAAAUAGAUUCCCCUCUCUCCCGCUCCAUAGGAGUAGGAGUAGGUUAACAUGUGCCAUUAAGACAAAAAAAAAAAAAAAAGAGCAUAAACUUAGUACUACUAGGGGGAAAGCCGCGCUAAGCACGGGAGUUUUGACCUAUGUGAUAAUUGAUUUAAUUAGAACUGCAUGGUAAUUAGUUUAAUUGAAUCAGUUGAAGUGCAUGAAAUUAUAAGUAAAUUGGCCAAAUCAACAAACUUAUAAAGGAAAAAAAUUUAUAAGUAAAAUAAAUAGGAUUGUAGUAGAUAAUCACACCAUACCAUAAUAACAAUAACAAAAAUAUUAUUAUCCUUGUCCCUAUACCAUUAUAACAUAAUCAUAGCCAUAUUUAAUCAACAAUUAACAUACUUAAACUAUAAGGCUAAAUUUAGAUCCUACCUUGGUCAUGAAAUUAUAGUCAAUAGAUAAUCUUUAGUCACAGUUUAACCACCUAUAGCCACGAACAUCGGAUUUUGGAAAUAUAGUUAAAAGAUAUAAAAAGUUUCCUAUGGAUAUUGAUAUGUAUGUAUCAAGUAUUCCAUAAUGAAAUUUCCAUAUUCACACAAUAGCUAUUAAGAAAAUAUUGCAGUAGAAAACUCACAAUUUUUAUUAUAUUAGCUAAACAUCCAAAACUCCAGAAAAAGAUAAAGUAAAUGAGCAUACCUGUCUAAACACCCACAACAAAAAAUUGAGCACAUGCACUUGAAGCAACAUUCUUCAGGAUUAAAAGCCUCAAUUACUAUCAAGUUGAAGAGCACUACAAUUAUACUUGUAAUGGAUUGAAAAUAUGAACCAAAAUCAAUCUUGUUCAUUAUUAAGUGCUUCCUGAACCAACCAUCUUUAGCAUUAAGACCCUCUAUUAUUGUAGUUAUAAAAGUUACCCAACAAUUAUAAAAGAAGAUGGAGAGUGUUGCAAUUACAUUUGUAAGUGGUUUAAACACCACUUAAAUGCUUGAUAAUCACGUGGAAUAUAAGCCAAUUGUAAAUGGGAGAACACAAUAGUCAAACCCAACUCAACUAUACAUUAUAAUGUUGCAUGUUUGGCUUAAUCACUUGUAUUUGAUUUUUUUCCUACCUAAAUUAUCUCUAAAGAUAACAGAUGAAAAUUUUUCAACAAUCACUUACAAACUCCUUUUUAUAUAUAUAGGAAACAUUACAAUGUGCUAGGAAAAAAAUGAAAAGAACAACAUUAUUUUUCUUUUUAUAUAUUCAUCGUAUACUGAUAGAAGCAUGUACUCAUAGGCAUUUGGGUACAACGAAUCCGGAAAAUGCAAUUAAUAUAAUUGAUAGGGAAAAUCGUUCAAAUUGUUACUCAUAUUUUUGUAAAAUGAUUUUUUCCGUCUCUCAUUCUAAAAAAGUAAUUUUACGUCUUUUAUAAAUUUAUAUCAGCUAAAUUUUGUCCCUACCUAAGUUUUCAACUAAUUUUUUUUCGUAAUUCACCACGUGCCCUGCACGUGAUCAUGUUUGAGGGAAAAAAUUGUCAAAUCAUAUUUCACAUAAUCUGAUUGAUAGUCCUUCACAUUUAAUAAAAUGAAUUUUUUUCAACCCUCACAUUUCACAAAAUCACUAAGAAAAAUCAUUGAUGACAAUUAAAAUGUAGCAAUAAUUGUUAGGAGGAUUAAAAAGUAGAAGCCAUGAGGACACCUUACUCAAUCAAACCAUAGCUCGGGCAAUGUCAUUCCAUCAAUUUUGGUUUAUCAUCUUUUAAUUCCAUGAAAUUUGCUUUUUUUAAUUGUAAUGUUAUUAUUUAUUCAUUAUACUUUGAUUUCAUAAAAUCAAAAUAGCUAAUCUUAGUUGAUCAUAAUUCAGACAAGUUUGGAGCACGUGCACUUUCUAAAUAAGAAUAAAUAUCCAUUUAUGCUUUGCAUGACAUAGAUGAAAUUUUGGUUUACGAAGUGGGGAAAAAAAAGGUAUCUCUCACAGAUAAUCCAACAAUACAUUCUUGGGUAAUUUAGAAUUCCAUUUUGUGUUGUUCCAAUUAAUUGUCUCUAAAAAUUAUAUCUAUGAGGCUAAAUAAAACCAGCGGCAGAGGAGAAAUUUGGCAUGGAAUGACAAUCUUGAGAUUGUCAUGAGAAUGACAAUCAAAUUCUUACAAUCUUGAAGUGUACGAAUUUGGCACAUUUAAAUUGCCAACGAAAAAUGGAUAAAUCAUGGCAAAAUUUGAUACAAGAACAUGAUCGUCUACAUGAAACCCUUCACUUUCUUCCUUCUUUUUUCGCUUUGGGUUUUGUUUUGUUUUCUAUAUUUCUCUUUUCAAGUCGGUGGUCUUAUUAUUAUUUUUUAUUAUGUUUCUUGAUCGUAACUUUUUGUGUGAUAGAGAAAAGUGUUAUAAUUUCCUUUGAGUAAGGUGACUGUAAUUUCACUUCGUUAGAAAGCAAUAAGUUGUAAAUAAGUUUAAACAGUUUUAUGAUUAUUUUGCAUGUUUUUCUAUUGACAUAUCCCUUAUUUUUUUUUGAAAAAUUAUUUCAUUUGCAAAUCCACAAUUGAGAAACUAGCUGAAGAAUAGAAUCAUAUAUAUUCUAUAGUCAAGCAUUUGAGAAAAAUAUGCAUACAAACCGAGAAUUUAGAAGGAAAAAAAAUGCAACUGAACCUUCAAGUUUGGACUUUGAAAAGGUGUUAUCGAAGCUUCACUAAUUUCAUUAACUUCAUCUUUUAUGCUUCGUACACUUCAGUAUUAACUUAAUGAAGACUGCCUUCUUAAUAAAGACCUGCUCUAUUUCGUUCAUUCCAAGUCCUACAUUAGGGUUUUUCGAACGACACGUAGCAUCCACCUAACCUACCAUAUAUAUAUAUAUAUAUAUAUAUAUAUAUACUAACAAUUAUUAUUCUCUUUUAUAUUUAUAUAAUUUUUCUAUUUAAUCUUACCUAUUACCCCUUAUAUUUAUUUAUUUUUCCAAAUUAAUAUUAUAUUAUUAAAAAUAUAACACCUGAAAUAUAUCCUUAUACUAUAUAAGAUUAAGUUUUGGUGAAAGAGGGGGUUGCAUUUUGACAGGUCGUCAGCCUGUGCAAUAAUAAAACCUGCUCAAACUAAAAGUAAUUUCUGUAGAUAGCAGUAAGCAGGGUCGAAUCCACAGGGACUGGGAGUAAUUGUUCCUUUCCAAAUUCACAGUGACAAAGGGGGGUGUUUUAUAUCUCAGGGGUGACAAUUUAAGCAAUCCAACUAAAAGUAAAAAAAUAAAAAUAAAAUAGGCAACUAGAAAUUAAAAUAACAAUUUACCAAAAUCAAAGGAUCUAGCCAAAGAAUAACUUCAGCAAUGGUUCACCUAAUUGAUCAUCGAUAAGCAAAGGGAAUUCCAAUUAUUUACUAAUAAAUAGGUUAUAACUGCCAAACAAGCGAUGACAGUCAACCCCUCCUUACUGUGUCGGUGAUCAAGGUACGCCCGUUAAUCACUGCCCUAAUUAAGAAAUAAUUCUAGGUACGCCCGUAGAAUUUAAUUCCCCAAUUGCCUUACAUAUUAGAGGAGCCCUAUUCUAACCAAAUAACACACUACCAGGGUUAUUUUAGAUUAGCCCGCGUAUCCCCCUGACACGAAUCCAAUCAUGCCAGUUAUCACUAUUUUGAGACAAUUAAACAAUUACGGAUUUAACGUCCCAAUUGACAAUAGAUUAUUAAAUUAACUAAUUAUCCGGAUCCAAGACAAUCAAUUAAUUAAACAACCAUAAGCACUACAACCAGGGAAUAUGCAAAUACCAAUAAAUAAGAGAAAAAGAUAAAAUUAAAUCGAUCUCACAAUUUUAGAUGACCCAAAGCAUCCGUUGUCCCUUGACUAGAGUGAAGAAAUUUAGCUCAUAUUUGAUGAACAAAAUCCGCGAGAAAUUGGAGCGACACUAGCGGCCAUCGGCCUCGUUCGUGAGAAAUCAAAUUAUGCGAGUGAAUAAGAAGAAACCAGCAACUACAAACAAUGAUGCAAUUCCUCGUAAGGCUCCUGACAUGCACAGGAGAACUCCACUAUCAAAAGCUAAGGAGGAAAAGUUCCUACUAGAUGACGAAAAGAUGGAAAAGUCAAAGAAACUAGGCUAAACUAAAAGAUGAGAAAUCAAAAGCUAAGCUAUUGCUCCUAUUCUAAUGCCUACUGUGCGGCGUCCGCCGCCCAGCCGAGAGAGAAAAGAAGACUUCGGCCUCCUCCUUUUUAAUGCUGUCCUCGGGCCAAUUACCAAGAAGGGUUGUGAUCUGAUAUUCCAAAAAUGUCCCUAGAUGCCUGCUACUUGAACUCUUUCUUGAUAAUUGUCAAAUUGGCCCUGAUUGUGAUAUUUUUGUUCUACUCCCUGAAAUAAAUAUAAAUUACGAAAAGUGAGUAGAAUCUAAUAAUUAAUUCACAUCAGGUCAAGUAAUAGGGAAAAUUAAUAAUAAAAUAAAUGAUAAAAUUGCAACCUAUCAAUUUCCCCCACACCUAAACCAUGCUUGUCCUCAAGCAUAAGAAAAGUACACAGACACCAAAAUUUGAUAAUGGUCAUUGCUCUAUCCAACAAAUUGCCAAGGUACCAAGAAAAAUAAUAAUCAAGAAUCAAUGGUCAAGUCCAAGAAACAUCACCUCGGUUAGCUUCUAAACCACAAACUCCUCUAAUUUCAUGUUAACUAAUUUAAGAAAAAGGAAUAACGCAUAACAUUUAUCAGCAAAUGGUCCAACUAUUAACCAAAAUCUCAACAUUAAGUCCAUAAUUCGGCAAGCUGACUUUUAUUACACACUAACACAAUCUCCACUUUUUUUCACAUUUUUUUUCCUCUUUUUCUCUUUUUUUUCUUUUUUUUUUCAAUAGUAACAAAAGACUUAGUCGCUAGCCAUUAGAGCCUUUUGACGCGAACUCCAACAUUGGCCAGAUGAAAGAGCCCGGUUACUCAGCUUUUAUCGCCACGUGACCACGUACUCAUAGCAAUUACUACCUUUUGACGCGAGAAUCAACACUUUUGGUGAAGAUCCCCGGUUACUUAGUAGUAAAGACUAGCGGAGUACAGUCAAAUUUAUUCAUAGCUAAAAAAUCACAAAAACUCAAUAUAACACAAGAACCAAAAGAAAACUUGCAUCAGCUAGCCUCAUUUUCAAACAUGGAGAACUAAAGUUAAUAACCGAACCAAUUCACAUGAAAAUGUCAAUAAUCAUUCCCUAUGCCUAGGAAAGUUAACCAAAAAUUAUAAGAGUAAAACAAUCAUCGAUAUUCACCAAAGAGAUAUUCUUGGAUUCAACCACAUGAACUUGAUACCUUUUUAUUAUUAAAACUUGGCAAAAGUAGAAAUAGAGGCAAUAAUCCAACAUCAAACUUGGUAGAGCUAGACAGAUAAAUGACAAAAAAGUAGGCGAAAACUAGACAAAUAACAAACUAAAAAUAAAAGAAAAAUAUCUGAAAACUAAAAACUAGAAAAAGAAACUAGCACAGCUGCCCCCCCCCACACCUAGACCCUACAUUGUCCUCAAUGGAGGAAUUAAAGCAAUUAAAGUGAAGAGGACAACGAAACUUCCCUCUCAAGUGGCUACGGGGUAGGCGGGGACGAUGGAGGGAAACCGAUGUGGUGGAAGUACGCGCCCAAGUUCUGAGACAUCAUAACUCAAUUCAACCAACAAAUGCCAAACUCUGUCCACCCAAAAUCUCAACAAAGGCUCCAAUUGGUCAGUGAGUAUCUCAACUCAAAAUCGACAAUUCUAGCAAUAGUAGAUCCAAAUUUUGACAAGAACAAAACAGGCCAGCUACCACAAUUGAAACCACAGCCCACCAAUUCAAAUGUACUCUACCAAUUGCUAUCAAGCAAUUCAAGGAAAAUCCACCCAACCACUAGUUGCGAACAUUCCCAUAAAGCAUAACCGCUCACAGUAAUAAGCAUAUGACCUUCGAAACCAACAUAAUCCAGCAAAGUAGCGCACAACUUUGACCUCAGUAUCUCAAUUACAAACUCGUAGCUAUUAGGCAGGCAACCAACCAAAUAAAAGUAACAAAUCCAGGUCCAAUUACUCCAACCAGUACCACUGGUGGAGGCACAGGGAAAAAUUAAAGCAAAUGACCAACCCAAAGUAUUGAUAAUUCCAAGCAACGCCAAGCAGUACCAGAAAUCGAAAAGACCAAAAUGGUAGUCAAUUGGGCAAAUAACUCCCAAGGCAAAUAGAGGCAACCUACUUCAAUAAGCAACGGAAAUGGCACAGGAGCCGUCCAAUGCAUCAAUUAAAUGCAAUAAACCCCAACCAAAGGCAGCUCAAUAGACUCCAGGCAAAAAGUACCAAAUGAUACUCGAUUGACACCAAAAACGAUCCCAACAAAGCAGAAAGAUCGAAGGAUACUCAGUCACAGAUGCUCAAUCAUAUCGAAAUAAGAAAUUGUAAGCAAAUUAGCACAACCAGUACCACUGGUGUAUACACAGGAAAGGAGGGAACCACAUGGCCAACCCAAUGAAUAAAAAGCACAACUGAGGCACCCCAAAGGCUAGAAAAGUACCCUAACAACACCGCAAAUUGAAUGAAUAUGCACUGGGUCACCCAUUCAGUCAAAAUAAGAUUAAGGGGCAUGAUACAGAAACUAACAAAGCAGAACUCAAGUGAUACCAACAGGGACCCCAACAGAGCAAAGAAUUCAACCAAUUGGAGCAAGUGAAAUUCAACAAAUGUCACCAAUUGGACAUUUAAUUACCCAAUUCAACCGACCAAAAUUAUUAAUUGAGCCAAGCAACUGGCAAUUCUAGCAACCACCGUUUAGAAUUUGAGAAACAAUUUAAGCACUAAAACCCAAGAAUCAAGUAGGCAGUCAAGCAUAAAGGAUUAAGAAAUUUUAGUCAACACCACAACCAGUACCACUGGUAUACACACAGGGAGGAUUUAAAUCAAACAGCAGCAACUCAAUAAAUAUCAGGAAAUAUCCCCACGUAUGGCAGCAAUUAAACCCAAUUCCGUCCACAAUUUUACCCUAGAAUUUUCCCAAAACAACACCUUCUUCUAAUCAUCAGAAACCCAAACACAAAUUCCAGAAAUUUAUGCUAAUCGGGGAAGAAAUUACAAUACCUCCACCUGUCAAUUUUGACAGGUGAUGACGUGCGGCAAUGGAGGAGAACGGGAGAUGCGCUGCUGGGCAGGAGGAGAAGUGGUGGUUGUGGUCGUGGAGCCUGGGCAGAGUGGAGGAGAGCUAGGGGAGAUUGGUGGCGCGUCUUGGCUGCGAGGGUGACCGCUGGUGUGGGCGAUGGCAGCGUGGACGUCGAGUGAGGGAGAGGCGGCGGCGGACUGGUCAGCGAAGGGGGAGAUGGGCGGCACUCUGUCUGGCUUGCGGCAGCUCCUGGCCGCGAAGUGAAGCUGCCCGUGGUGGAGGUAGAAGCUGCGAGGAGCUGGUGGCGGAGCUAGCGGAGAGAGAGAGAUGAGCGCGGGCAGCGGCUUGGGCCUGGCGAACUGGUUGUGGGCGACGAAGCUUCAUGGCCGCGUGCGGCGUGGUUGGUGAGCAGCGGCGGCGCACGAGUUGGUCGUCGCUGGUGGAGGCGCUGCCUCUGGUGCUGCUGGAGGCGGAUGAGCUGGGUGGAGCAGCGAGGUUGGAGGCGGACCGAGGAGCUGUGGAGGACGCCAGGGGGGAAAGGAGGCACACGUCAAUGGCGUCGGGCAGCGGCGUCUCCGUGGGCGAAGGAGAUGGCGGCGGCCAAGAGGUGUGCUCGGCCGAAAGAGAAGAAGAAACAGGGGAGAAGAAAGGAGGAAAAGAGAAAGAAAAAAGAAAGAAAAAAAAAGAAAGAAAAGAAAAGAAGGAAAAAGAAAAAGAAAAAAAAAAGAUUUUUUUUUUUUUUUUUAGGUUCCAUUGGAGCUACGGUGAGAAAUAUUUUUUUUCUUUCUUUUUUAUUUUUUUUCUUUCUUUUUCUGUUUUUUUCGUUUUUUUCGUCGGAAUCAAUGUUUUAAAAUUUUUGUUUUUUUUUGAAUUUGGAAACUAAAGCUACGGUGAUAAAAAAAUUCUCUUUAAUAUUUUUUUUUUUUUUUUUUUUUAGUCAAGAACAGCUACGCUCGGUGAAGGAAAAAUUUUUCUUCUUCUUGUUUUUUUCCUUUUUUUUUCUUUUUUUUCUUUUUUUUUUUGGUUUUUCUAUAUUUAAUUGAUUAUUAUUAUAAAAUUUUUUCUUUUUUUUUAAUUAAUUGAAUAAAUGAAAUAAUAAUAAUAGUUUUCCUAUAUUUUUUCUUUUUUUUUUUUUUUAUUUGAAUCCUUACCUUUCCCGCGAACGUGACGCGGGCACGUCAUGAGGGCAAGAGAGCUCCCAGAAGUUUCAGAAGUUUCUGUUCGUGAGCGUCCUACACAUCACCACGCGGGCACGUCAUGAGGGCAAGAGAGCUCCCAGAAGUUUCAGAAGUUUCUGAUCGUGAGCUUCCUGCACAUCACCACGUGGGCGCGUCAUGAGGGCAAGAGAGCUCCCAGAAGUUUCUGAUCGUGAGCUUCAUGCACGUCACCACGUGGGCGCGUCAUGACUGAAGGUCACCUACAAAUCAGCAAAAACGAAAAUUAACACCAAAAAUCAGUCAAAUUCAAGGAAAACAAAUUUAAACUAUGACACGAAACCAACAAACAACUAAAAGAAACAAUUGGGUUGCCUCCCAAUGAGCGCCUUUCUUUAAUGUCUUUGGCUAGACAUUAUCACGUUUUGCUCAUGGCGGAUAAAAUCUUGUAGCUCGUCUUAAUGUUUCAUCCUCUAUAUAGUCCUGAUAACCCUCGUAGAUGGAGUAAUUCUUGGGCACACGAGUUACGGGCUUCCAUGGAUUAAUAAAUGGCGCUAAACAAGUCAACAAUGAUCUGCAUUCUCCACUCACUCCUCCAUCACACGCAUUCAUUGGUUCAAGAUAUUUUGCCAUCUCCACUCUUAACUUAUUCCUGUCAUGAAAUUUUAAAUUUUCUGGUAUAAUAAAAUCAAUUUCAGUAACAGGAGUUGAAGAAUAGGAGUCAGGAAAAUAUUGAUUAAGGAGUGGAGAAGAUGUCACCGCAUUUGGAGAUUGUUCACUGGAAUCGUUCACUUGAAUGAGUUGAUCCUGGAGUCUCAUUUCUUGCACUUCAGCUUCCUUUUCAACUGCAUCUUUAAAUCCGUUUUCUUGAAACUCUUGCAGUUCCAUGUCAUUUGGCCGGACAAUUGCACUCUCAUCUUCUUCUAGAUCAACAAUGGUUUCCGAGGGCAAUUCUUCCCUUUGAGAAGCCAAUCGAUUCACUCUGGAUGUCAAUAGACAUAGUUGAUCUGCCAGAUAAUUCAUUGCAUCCUUCAUCAUCUCAUCCUCCAUUUGUGUCUCCUGUUGGAAUUGGUAUGUGUUAGUAGCUAUUGGUUCAACUAUUUCUUCAGGAUACAUACCUGACAUAGAUGACGAUUCUUGAGACUCAUACUGCUGAAAAUUCAUUGGCCCCGUUGAAUAAUUAUAAUUGGAGUUAUCCCACCAUCCUUGAUCAUACCCGUAUGGAUUAGGGUCAUACCACGUUUGAGACCAGGGUGAAAAAUCUCCGUAAUUAUUGAAUGGGACACUCUGAUUAUCUUGAUAUUCAGGGCACAUACCUGUUGAAUGAUCCCUGGCAUAACAAAUUUUACAGGUUGCAGCAGCCAUUCUUUUUCUAAUAGAGUUUACUGCCUCUGCAUAUGCAGACUCAGCAAUAAAACUAGUCAUAUCGCAUUUCCCGGAAAGAAAAUCCAGUAUUUCACCAAAAUACGAAGUGUUAGAAGCCAUAAAAAAAAUAAGAAAAAAAAUAAAUUAAAAAUGAAAACAAGGUGAACUCAAAAAGAAACAAAUUAAUCUGACACCAGUCCCCGGCAACGGCGCCAAAAAUUGACAGGUCGUCAGCCUGUGCAAUAAUAAAACCUGCUCAAACUAAAAGUAAUUUCUGUAGAUAGCAGUAAGCAGGGUCGAAUCCACAGGGACUGGGAGUAAUUGUUCCUUUCCAAAUUCACAGUGACAAAGGGGGGUGUUUUAUAUCUCAGGGGUGACAAUUUAAGCAAUCCAACUAAAAGUAAAAUAAUAAAAAUAAAAUAGCCAACUAGAAAUUAAAAUAACAAUUUACCAAAAUCAAAGGAUCUAGCCAAAGAAUAACUUCAGCAAUGGUUCACCUAAUUGAUCAUCGAUAAGCAAAGGGAAUUCCAAUUAUUUACUAAUAAAUAGGUUAUAACUGCCAAACAAGCGAUGACAGUCAACCCCUCCUUACUGUGUCGGUGAUCAAGGUACGCCCGUUAAUCACUGCCCUAAUUAAGAAAUAAUUCUAGGUACGCCCGUAGAAUUUAAUUCCCCAAUUGCCUUACAUAUUAGAGGAGCCCUAUUCUAACCAAAUAACACACUACCAGGGUUAUUUUAGAUUAGCCCGCGUAUCCCCCUGACACGAAUCCAAUCAUGCCAGUUAUCACUAUUUUGAGACAAUUAAACAAUUACGGAUUUAACGUCCCAAUUGACAAUAGAUUAUUAAAUUAACUAAUUAUCCGGAUCCAAGACAAUCAAUUAAUUAAACAACCAUAAGCACUACAACCAGGGAAUAUGCAAAUACCAAUAAAUAAGAGAAAAAGAUAAAAUUAAAUCGAUCUCACAAUUUUAGAUGACCCAAAGCAUCCGUUGUCCCUUGACUAGAGUGAAGAAAUUUAGCUCAUAUUUGAUGAACAAAAUCCGCGAGAAAUUGGAGCGACACUAGCGGCCAUCGGCCUCGUUCGUGAGAAAUCAAAUUAUGCGAGUGAAUAAGAAGAAACCAGCAACUACAAACAAUGAUGCAAUUCCUCGUAAGGCUCCUGACAUGCACAGGAGAACUCCACUAUCAAAAGCUAAGGAGGAAAAGUUCCUACUAGAUGACGAAAAGAUGGAAAAGUCAAAGAAAAACUAGGCUAAACUAAAAGAUGAGAAAUCAAAAGCUAAGCUAUUGCUCCUAUUCUAAUGCCUACUGUGCGGCGUCCGCCGCCCAGCCGAGAGAGAAAAGAAGACUUCGGCCUCCUCCUUUUUAAUGCUGUCCUCGGGCCAAUUACCAAGAAGGGUUGUGAUCUGAUAUUCCAAAAAUGUCCCUAGAUGCCUGCUACUUGAAAUCUUUCUUGAUAAUUGUCAAAUUGGCCCUGAUUGUGAUAUUUUUGUUCUACUCCCUGAAAUAAAUAUAAAUUACGAAAAGUGAGUAGAAUCUAACAAUUAAUUCACAUCAGGUCAAGUAAUAGGGAAAAUUAAUAAUAAAAUAAAUGAUAAAAUUGCAACCUAUCAAUUUCCCCCACACCUAAACCAUGCUUGUCCUCAAGCAUAAGAAAAGUACACAGACACCAAAAUUUGAUAAUGGUCAUUGCUCUAUCCAACAAAUUGCCAAGGUACCAAGAAAAAUAAUAAUCAAGAAUCAAUGGUCAAGUCCAAGAAACAUCACCUCGGUUAGCUUCUAAACCACAAACUCCUCUAAUUUCAUGUUAACUAAUUUAAGAAAAAGGAAUAACGCAUAACAUUUAUCAGCAAAUGGUCCAACUAUUAACCAAAAUCUCAACAUUAAGUCCAUAAUUCGGCAAGCUGACUUUUAUUACACACUAACACAAUCUCCACUUUUUUUCACAUUUUUUUUCCUCUUUUUCUCUUUUUUUUCUUUUUUUUUUCAAUAGUAACAAAAGACUUAGUCGCUAGCCAUUAGAGCCUUUUGACGCGAACUCCAACAUUGGCCAGAUGAAAGAGCCCGGUUACUCAGCUUUUAUCGCCACGUGACCACGUACUCAUAGCAAUUACUACCUUUUGACGCGAGAAUCAACACUUUUGGUGAAGAUCCCCGGUUACUUAGUAGUAAAGACUAGCGGAGUACAGUCAAAUUUAUUCAUAGCUAAAAAAUCACAAAAACUCAAUAUAACACAAGAACCAAAAGAAAACUUGCAUCAGCUAGCCUCAUUUUCAAACAUGGAGAACUAAAGUUAAUAACCGGACCAAUUCACAUGAAAAUGUCAAUAAUCAUUCCCUAUGCCUAGGAAAGUUAACCAAAAAUUAUAAGAGUAAAACAAUCAUCGAUAUUCACCAAAGAGAUAUUCUUGGAUUCAACCACAUGAACUUGAUACCUUUUUAUUAUUAAAACUUGGCAAAAGUAGAAAUAGAGGCAAUAAUCCAACAUCAAACUUGGUAGAGCUAGACAGAUAAAUGACAAAAAAGUAGGCGAAAACUAGACAAAUAACAAACUAAAAAUAAAAGAAAAAUAUCUGAAAACUAAAAACUAGAAAAAGAAACUAGCACAGCUGCCCCCCCCCACACCUAGACCCUACAUUGUCCUCAAUGGAGGAAUUAAAGCAAUUAAAGUGAAGAGGACAACGAAACUUCCCUCUCAAGUGGCUACGGGGUAGGCGGGGACGAUGGAGGGAAACCGAUGUGGUGGAAGUACGCGCCCAAGUUCUGAGACAUCAUAACUCAAUUCAACCAACAAAUGCCAAACUCUGUCCACCCAAAAUCUCAACAAAGGCUCCAAUUGGUCAGUGAGUAUCUCAACUCAAAAUCGACAAUUCUAGCAAUAGUAGAUCCAAAUUUUGACAAGAACAAAACAGGCCAGCUACCACAAUUGAAACCACAGCCCACCAAUUCAAAUGUACUCUACCAAUUGCUAUCAAGCAAUUCAAGGAAAAUCCACCCAACCACUAGUUGCGAACAUUCCCAUAAAGCAUAACCGCUCACAGUAAUAAGCAUAUGACCUUCGAAACCAACAUAAUCCAGCAAAGUAGCGCACAACUUUGACCUCAGUAUCUCAAUUACAAACUCGUAGCUAUUAGGCAGGCAACCAACCAAAUAAAAGUAACAAAUCCAGGUCCAAUUACUCCAACCAGUACCACUGGUGGAGGCACAGGGAAAAAUUAAAGCAAAUGACCAACCCAAAGUAUUGAUAAUUCCAAGCAACGCCAAGCAGUACCAGAAAUCGAAAAGACCAAAAUGGUAGUCAAUUGGGCAAAUAACUCCCAAGGCAAAUAGAGGCAACCUACUUCAAUAAGCAACGGAAAUGGCACAGGAGCCGUCCAAUGCAUCAAUUAAAUGCAAUAAACCCCAACCAAAGGCAGCUCAAUAGACUCCAGGCAAAAAGUACCAAAUGAUACUCGAUUGACACCAAAAACGAUCCCAACAAAGCAGAAAGAUCGAAGGAUACUCAGUCACAGAUGCUCAAUCAUAUCGAAAUAAGAAAUUGUAAGCAAAUUAGCACAACCAGUACCACUGGUGUAUACACAGGAAAGGAGGGAACCACAUGGCCAACCCAAUGAAUAAAAAGCACAACUGAGGCACCCCAAAGGCUAGAAAAGUACCCUAACAACACCGCAAAUUGAAUGAAUAUGCACUGGGUCACCCAUUCAGUCAAAAUAAGAUUAAGGGGCAUGAUACAGAAACUAACAAAGCAGAACUCAAGUGAUACCAACAGGGACCCCAACAGAGCAAAGAAUUCAACCAAUUGGAGCAAGUGAAAUUCAACAAAUGUCACCAAUUGGACAUUUAAUUACCCAAUUCAACCGACCAAAAUUAUUAAUUGAGCCAAGCAACUGGCAAUUCUAGCAACCACCGUUUAGAAUUUGAGAAACAAUUUAAGCACUAAAACCCAAGAAUCAAGUAGGCAGUCAAGCAUAAAGGAUUAAGAAAUUUUAGUCAACACCACAACCAGUACCACUGGUGUACACACAGGGAGGAUUUAAAUCAAACAGCAGCAACUCAAUAAAUAUCAGGAAAUAUCCCCACGUAUGGCAGCAAUUAAACCCAAUUCCGUCCACAAUUUUACCCUAGAAUUUUCCCAAAACAACACCUUCUUCUAAUCAUCAGAAACCCAAACACAAAUUCCAGAAAUUUAUGCUAAUCGGGGAAGAAAUUACAAUACCUCCACCUGUCAAUUUUGACAGGUGAUGACGUGCGGCAAUGGAGGAGAACGGGAGAUGCGCUGCUGGGCAGGAGGAGAAGUGGUGGUUGUGGUCGUGGAGCCUGGGCAGAGUGGAGGAGAGCUAGGGGAGAUUGGUGGCGCGUCUUGGCUGCGAGGGUGACCGCUGGUGUGGGCGAUGGCAGCGUGGACGUCGAGUGAGGGAGAGGCGGCGGCGGACUGGUCAGCGAAGGGGGAGAUGGGCGGCACUCUGUCUGGCUUGCGGCAGCUCCUGGCCGCGAAGUGAAGCUGCCCGUGGUGGAGGUAGAAGCUGCGAGGAGCUGGUGGCGGAGCUAGCGGAGAGAGAGAGAUGAGCGCGGGCAGCGGCUUGGGCCUGGCGAACUGGUUGUGGGCGACGAAGCUUCAUGGCCGCGUGCGGCGUGGUUGGUGAGCAGCGGCGGCGCACGAGUUGGUCGUCGCUGGUGGAGGCGCGAGGUGGGCGCUGCCUCUGGUGCUGCUGGAGGCGGAUGAGCUGGGUGGAGCAGCGAGGUUGGAGGCGGACCGAGGAGCUGUGGAGGACGCCAGGGGGGAAAGGAGGCACACGUCAAUGGCGUCGGGCAGCGGCGUCUCCGUGGGCGAAGGAGAUGGCGGCGGCCAAGAGGUGUGCUCGGCCGAAAGAGAAGAAGAAACAGGGGAGAAGAAAGGAGGAAAAGAGAAAGAAAAAAGAAAGAAAGAAAAAGAAAGAAAAGAAAAGAAGGAAAAAGAAAAAGAAAAAAAAGAUUUUUUUUUAGGCUCCAUUGGAGCUACGGUGAGAAAUAUUUUUUUUCUUUCUUUUUUUUCUUGUUUUUUUUUUUUUUCGUCGGGAAUCAAUUUUUUAAAAUUUUUUUUUUUUUUGAAUUUUGGAAACUAAAGCUACGGUGAUAAGAAAAAUUCUCUUUAUAUUUUUUUUUUUUUUUUUUUUUAGUCAAAGAACUACUAGCUACGGUGAAGGAAAAAUUUUUCUUCUUCUUUUUUUAUUCCUUUUUUUUCUUUUUUUUUUUGGUUUUUCUAUAUUUAAUUGAUUAUUAUUAUAAAAUUUUUUCUUUUUUUUUAAUUAGUCGAAUAAAUGAAAUAAUAAUAAUAGUUUUCCUAUAUUUUUUCUUUUUUUUUUUUUUAUUUGAAUCCUUACCUUUCCCGCGAACGUGACGCGGGCACGUCAUGAGGGCAAGAGAGCUCCCAGAAGUUUCAGAAGUUUCUGUUCGUGAGCGUCCUACACAUCACCACGCGGGCACGUCAUGAGGGCAAGAGAGCUCCCAGAAGUUUCAGAAGUUUCUGAUCGUGAGCUUCCUGCACAUCACCACGUGGGCGCGUCAUGAGGGCAAGAGAGCUCCCAGAAGUUUCUGAUCGUGAGCUUCAUGCACGUCACCACGUGGGCGCGUCAUGACUGAAGGUCACCUACAAAUCAGCAAAAACGAAAAUUAACACCAAAAAUCAGUCAAAUUCAAGGAAAACAAAUUUAAACUAUGACACGAAACCAACAAACAACUAAAAGAAACAAUUGGGUUGCCUCCCAAUGAGCGCCUUUCUUUAAUGUCUUUGGCUAGACAUUAUCACGUUUUGCUCAUGGCGGAUAAAAUCUUGUAGCUCGUCUUAAUGUUUCAUCCUCUAUAUAGUCCUGAUAACCCUCGUAGAUGGAGUAAUUCUUGGGCACACGAGUUACGGGCUUCCAUGGAUUAAUAAAUGGCGCUAAACAAGUCAACAAUGAUCUGCAUUCUCCACUCACUCCUCCAUCACACGCAUUCAUUGGUUCAAGAUAUUUUGCCAUCUCCACUCUUAACUUAUUCCUGUCAUGAAAUUUUAAAUUUUCUGGUAUAAUAAAAUCAAUUUCAGUAACAGGAGUUGAAGAAUAGGAGUCAGGAAAAUAUUGAUUAAGGAGUGGAGAAGAUGUCACCGCAUUUGGAGAUUGUUCACUGGAAUCGUUCACUUGAAUGAGUUGAUCCUGGAGUCUCAUUUCUUGCACUUCAGCUUCCUUUUCAACUGCAUCUUUAAAUCCGUUUUCUUGAAACUCUUGCAGUUCCAUGUCAUUUGGCCGGACAAUUGCACUCUCAUCUUCUUCUAGAUCAACAAUGGUUUCCGAGGGCAAUUCUUCCCUUUGAGAAGCCAAUCGAUUCACUCUGGAUGUCAAUAGACAUAGUUGAUCUGCCAGAUAAUUCAUUGCAUCCUUCAUCAUCUCAUCCUCCAUUUGUGUCUCCUGUUGGAAUUGGUAUGUGUUAGUAGCUAUUGGUUCAACUAUUUCUUCAGGAUACAUACCUGACAUAGAUGACGAUUCUUGAGACUCAUACUGCUGAAAAUUCAUUGGCCCCGUUGAAUAAUUAUAAUUGGAGUUAUCCCACCAUCCUUGAUCAUACCCGUAUGGAUUAGGGUCAUACCACGUUUGAGACCAGGGUGAAAAAUCUCCGUAAUUAUUGAAUGGGACACUCUGAUUAUCUUGAUAUUCAGGGCACAUACCUGUUGAAUGAUCCCUGGCAUAACAAAUUUUACAGGUUGCAGCAGCCAUUCUUUUUCUAAUAGAGUUUACUGCCUCUGCAUAUGCAGACUCAGCAAUAAAACUAGUCAUAUCGCAUUUCCCGGAAAGAAAAUCCAGUAUUUCACCAAAAUACGAAGUGUUAGAAGCCAUAAAAAAAAUAAGAAAAAAAAUAAAUUAAAAAUGAAAACAAGGUGAACUCAAAAAGAAACAAAUUAAUCUGACACCAGUCCCCGGCAACGGCGCCAAAAAUUGACAGGUCGUCAGCCUGUGCAAUAAUAAAACCUGCUCAAACUAAAAGUAAUUUCUGUAGAUAGCAGUAAGCAGGGUCGAAUCCACAGGGACUGGGAGUAAUUGUUCCUUUCCAAAUUCACAGUGACAAAGGGGGGUGUUUUAUAUCUCAGGGGUGACAAUUUAAGCAAUCCAACUAAAAGUAAAAUAAUAAAAAUAAAAUAGCCAACUAGAAAUUAAAAUAACAAUUUACCAAAAUCAAAGGAUCUAGCCAAAGAAUAACUUCAGCAAUGGUUCACCUAAUUGAUCAUCGAUAAGCAAAGGGAAUUCCAAUUAUUUACUAAUAAAUAGGUUAUAACUGCCAAACAAGCGAUGACAGUCAACCCCUCCUUACUGUGUCGGUGAUCAAGGUACGCCCGUUAAUCACUGCCCUAAUUAAGAAAUAAUUCUAGGUACGCCCGUAGAAUUUAAUUCCCCAAUUGCCUUACAUAUUAGAGGAGCCCUAUUCUAACCAAAUAACACACUACCAGGGUUAUUUUAGAUUAGCCCGCGUAUCCCCCUGACACGAAUCCAAUCAUGCCAGUUAUCACUAUUUUGAGACAAUUAAACAAUUACGGAUUUAACGUCCCAAUUGACAAUAGAUUAUUAAAUUAACUAAUUAUCCGGAUCCAAGACAAUCAAUUAAUUAAACAACCAUAAGCACUACAACCAGGGAAUAUGCAAAUACCAAUAAAUAAGAGAAAAAGAUAAAAUUAAAUCGAUCUCACAAUUUUAGAUGACCCAAAGCAUCCGUUGUCCCUUGACUAGAGUGAAGAAAUUUAGCUCAUAUUUGAUGAACAAAAUCCGCGAGAAAUUGGAGCGACACUAGCGGCCAUCGGCCUCGUUCGUGAGAAAUCAAAUUAUGCGAGUGAAUAAGAAGAAACCAGCAACUACAAACAAUGAUGCAAUUCCUCGUAAGGCUCCUGACAUGCACAGGAGAACUCCACUAUCAAAAGCUAAGGAGGAAAAGUUCCUACUAGAUGACGAAAAGAUGGAAAAGUCAAAGAAAAACUAGGCUAAACUAAAAGAUGAGAAAUCAAAAGCUAAGCUAUUGCUCCUAUUCUAAUGCCUACUGUGCGGCGUCCGCCGCCCAGCCGAGAGAGAAAAGAAGACUUCGGCCUCCUCCUUUUUAAUGCUGUCCUCGGGCCAAUUACCAAGAAGGGUUGUGAUCUGAUAUUCCAAAAAUGUCCCUAGAUGCCUGCUACUUGAAAUCUUUCUUGAUAAUUGUCAAAUUGGCCCUGAUUGUGAUAUUUUUGUUCUACUCCCUGAAAUAAAUAUAAAUUACGAAAAGUGAGUAGAAUCUAACAAUUAAUUCACAUCAGGUCAAGUAAUAGGGAAAAUUAAUAAUAAAAUAAAUGAUAAAAUUGCAACCUAUCAAUUUCCCCCACACCUAAACCAUGCUUGUCCUCAAGCAUAAGAAAAGUACACAGACACCAAAAUUUGAUAAUGGUCAUUGCUCUAUCCAACAAAUUGCCAAGGUACCAAGAAAAAUAAUAAUCAAGAAUCAAUGGUCAAGUCCAAGAAACAUCACCUCGGUUAGCUUCUAAACCACAAACUCCUCUAAUUUCAUGUUAACUAAUUUAAGAAAAAGGAAUAACGCAUAACAUUUAUCAGCAAAUGGUCCAACUAUUAACCAAAAUCUCAACAUUAAGUCCAUAAUUCGGCAAGCUGACUUUUAUUACACACUAACACAAUCUCCACUUUUUUUCACAUUUUUUUUCCUCUUUUUCUCUUUUUUUUCUUUUUUUUUUCAAUAGUAACAAAAGACUUAGUCGCUAGCCAUUAGAGCCUUUUGACGCGAACUCCAACAUUGGCCAGAUGAAAGAGCCCGGUUACUCAGCUUUUAUCGCCACGUGACCACGUACUCAUAGCAAUUACUACCUUUUGACGCGAGAAUCAACACUUUUGGUGAAGAUCCCCGGUUACUUAGUAGUAAAGACUAGCGGAGUACAGUCAAAUUUAUUCAUAGCUAAAAAAUCACAAAAACUCAAUAUAACACAAGAACCAAAAGAAAACUUGCAUCAGCUAGCCUCAUUUUCAAACAUGGAGAACUAAAGUUAAUAACCGGACCAAUUCACAUGAAAAUGUCAAUAAUCAUUCCCUAUGCCUAGGAAAGUUAACCAAAAAUUAUAAGAGUAAAACAAUCAUCGAUAUUCACCAAAGAGAUAUUCUUGGAUUCAACCACAUGAACUUGAUACCUUUUUAUUAUUAAAACUUGGCAAAAGUAGAAAUAGAGGCAAUAAUCCAACAUCAAACUUGGUAGAGCUAGACAGAUAAAUGACAAAAAAGUAGGCGAAAACUAGACAAAUAACAAACUAAAAAUAAAAGAAAAAUAUCUGAAAACUAAAAACUAGAAAAAGAAACUAGCACAGCUGCCCCCCCCCACACCUAGACCCUACAUUGUCCUCAAUGGAGGAAUUAAAGCAAUUAAAGUGAAGAGGACAACGAAACUUCCCUCUCAAGUGGCUACGGGGUAGGCGGGGACGAUGGAGGGAAACCGAUGUGGUGGAAGUACGCGCCCAAGUUCUGAGACAUCAUAACUCAAUUCAACCAACAAAUGCCAAACUCUGUCCACCCAAAAUCUCAACAAAGGCUCCAAUUGGUCAGUGAGUAUCUCAACUCAAAAUCGACAAUUCUAGCAAUAGUAGAUCCAAAUUUUGACAAGAACAAAACAGGCCAGCUACCACAAUUGAAACCACAGCCCACCAAUUCAAAUGUACUCUACCAAUUGCUAUCAAGCAAUUCAAGGAAAAUCCACCCAACCACUAGUUGCGAACAUUCCCAUAAAGCAUAACCGCUCACAGUAAUAAGCAUAUGACCUUCGAAACCAACAUAAUCCAGCAAAGUAGCGCACAACUUUGACCUCAGUAUCUCAAUUACAAACUCGUAGCUAUUAGGCAGGCAACCAACCAAAUAAAAGUAACAAAUCCAGGUCCAAUUACUCCAACCAGUACCACUGGUGGAGGCACAGGGAAAAAUUAAAGCAAAUGACCAACCCAAAGUAUUGAUAAUUCCAAGCAACGCCAAGCAGUACCAGAAAUCGAAAAGACCAAAAUGGUAGUCAAUUGGGCAAAUAACUCCCAAGGCAAAUAGAGGCAACCUACUUCAAUAAGCAACGGAAAUGGCACAGGAGCCGUCCAAUGCAUCAAUUAAAUGCAAUAAACCCCAACCAAAGGCAGCUCAAUAGACUCCAGGCAAAAAGUACCAAAUGAUACUCGAUUGACACCAAAAACGAUCCCAACAAAGCAGAAAGAUCGAAGGAUACUCAGUCACAGAUGCUCAAUCAUAUCGAAAUAAGAAAUUGUAAGCAAAUUAGCACAACCAGUACCACUGGUGUAUACACAGGAAAGGAGGGAACCACAUGGCCAACCCAAUGAAUAAAAAGCACAACUGAGGCACCCCAAAGGCUAGAAAAGUACCCUAACAACACCGCAAAUUGAAUGAAUAUGCACUGGGUCACCCAUUCAGUCAAAAUAAGAUUAAGGGGCAUGAUACAGAAACUAACAAAGCAGAACUCAAGUGAUACCAACAGGGACCCCAACAGAGCAAAGAAUUCAACCAAUUGGAGCAAGUGAAAUUCAACAAAUGUCACCAAUUGGACAUUUAAUUACCCAAUUCAACCGACCAAAAUUAUUAAUUGAGCCAAGCAACUGGCAAUUCUAGCAACCACCGUUUAGAAUUUGAGAAACAAUUUAAGCACUAAAACCCAAGAAUCAAGUAGGCAGUCAAGCAUAAAGGAUUAAGAAAUUUUAGUCAACACCACAACCAGUACCACUGGUGUACACACAGGGAGGAUUUAAAUCAAACAGCAGCAACUCAAUAAAUAUCAGGAAAUAUCCCCACGUAUGGCAGCAAUUAAACCCAAUUCCGUCCACAAUUUUACCCUAGAAUUUUCCCAAAACAACACCUUCUUCUAAUCAUCAGAAACCCAAACACAAAUUCCAGAAAUUUAUGCUAAUCGGGGAAGAAAUUACAAUACCUCCACCUGUCAAUUUUGACAGGUGAUGACGUGCGGCAAUGGAGGAGAACGGGAGAUGCGCUGCUGGGCAGGAGGAGAAGUGGUGGUUGUGGUCGUGGAGCCUGGGCAGAGUGGAGGAGAGCUAGGGGAGAUUGGUGGCGCGUCUUGGCUGCGAGGGUGACCGCUGGUGUGGGCGAUGGCAGCGUGGACGUCGAGUGAGGGAGAGGCGGCGGCGGACUGGUCAGCGAAGGGGGAGAUGGGCGGCACUCUGUCUGGCUUGCGGCAGCUCCUGGCCGCGAAGUGAAGCUGCCCGUGGUGGAGGUAGAAGCUGCGAGGAGCUGGUGGCGGAGCUCGCGGAGAGAGAGAGAUGAGCGCGGGCAGCGGCUUGGGCCUGGCGAACUGGUUGUGGGCGACGAAGCUUCAUGGCCGCGUGCGGCGUGGUUGGUGAGCAGCGGCGGCGCACGAGUUGGUCGUCGCUGGUGGAGGCGCGAUGUGGGCGCUGCCUCUGGUGCUGCUGGAGGCGGAUGAGCUGGGUGGAGCAGCGAGGUUGGAGGCGGACCGAGGAGCUGUGGAGGACGCCAGGGGGGAAAGGAGGCACACGUCAAUGGCGUCGGGCAGCGGCGUCUCCGUGGGCGAAGGAGAUGGCGGCGGCCAAGAGGUGUGCUCGGCCGAAAGAGAAGAAGAAACAGGGGAGAAGAAAGGAGGAAAAGAGAAAGAAAAAAGAAAGAAAGAAAAAGAAAGAAAAGAAAAGAAGGAAAAAGAAAAAGAAAAAAAAGAUUUUUUUUUAGGCUCCAUUGGAGCUACGGUGAGAAAUAUUUUUUUUCUUUCUUUUUUUCUUGUUUUUUUUUCGUUUUUUUUUUCUACGGGAAUCAAUGUUUUUAAAAAUUUUUUUUUUUUUUUUUUUUUUUGAAUUUUGGAAACUAAAGCUACGGUGAUAAGAAAAAUUCUCUUUAUUUUUUUUUUUUUUUUUUUUUUUUUUAGUCAAAGAACUAGCUACGGUGAAGGAAAAAUUUUUCUUCUUCUUGUUUUUUUCCUUUUUUUUUCUUUAUUUUUUGGUUUUUCUAUAUUUAAUUGAUUAUUAUUAUAAAAUUUUUUUCUUUUUUUUUUAAUUAAUUGAAUAAAUGAAAUAAUAAUAAUAGUUUUCCUAUAUUUUUCUUUUUUUUUUUUUUUUUAUUUGAAUCCUUACCUUUCCCGCGAACGUGACGCGGGCACGUCAUGAGGGCAAGAGAGCUCCCAGAAGUUUCAGAAGUUUCUGUUCGUGAGCGUCCUACACAUCACCACGCGGGCACGUCAUAAGGGCAAGAGAGCUCCCAGAAGUUUCAGAAGUUUCUGAUCGUGAGCUUCCUGCACAUCACCACGUGGGCGCGUCAUGAGGGCAAGAGAGCUCCCAGAAGUUUCUGAUCGUGAGCUUCAUGCACGUCACCACGCGGGCGCGUCAUGACUGAAGGUCACCUACAAAUCAGCAAAAACGAAAAUUAACACCAAAAAUCAGUCAAAUUCAAGGAAAACAAAUUUAAACUAUGACACGAAACCAACAAACAACUAAAAGAAACAAUUGGGUUGCCUCCCAAUGAGCGCCUUUCUUUAAUGUCUUUGGCUAGACAUUAUCACGUUUUGCUCAUGGCGGAUAAAAUCUUGUAGCUCGUCUUAAUGUUUCAUCCUCUAUAUAGUCCUGAUAACCCUCGUAGAUGGAGUAAUUCUUGGGCACACGAGUUACGGGCUUCCAUGGACUAAUAAAUGGCGCUAAACAAGUCAACAAUGAUCUGCAUUCUCCACUCACUCCUCCAUCACACGCAUUCAUUGGUUCAAGAUAUUUUGCCAUCUCCACUCUUAACUUAUUCCUGUCAUGAAAUUUUAAAUUUUCUGGUAUAAUAAAAUCAAUUUCAGUAACAGGAGUUGAAGAAUAGGAGUCAGGAAAAUAUUGAUUAAUGAGUGGAGAAAAUGUCACCGCAUUUGGAGAUUGUUCACUGGAAUCGUUCACUUGAAUGAGUUGAUCCUGGAGUCUCAUUUCUUGCACUUCAGCUUCCUUUUCAACUGCAUCUUUAAAUCCGUUUUCUUGAAACUCUUGCAGUUCCAUGUCAUUUGGCCGGACAAUUGCACUCUCAUCUUCUUCUAGAUCAACAAUGGUUUCCGAGGGCAAUUCUUCCCUUUGAGAAGCCAAUCGAUUCACUCUGGAUGUCAAUAGACAUAGUUGAUCUGCCAGAUAAUUCAUUGCAUCCUUCAUCAUCUCAUCCUCCAUUUGUGUCUCCUGUUGGAAUUGGUAUGUGUUAGUAGCUAUUGGUUCAACUAUUUCUUCAGGAUACAUACCUGACAUAGAUGACGAUUCUUGAGACUCAUACUGCUGAAAAUUCAUUGGCCCCGUUGAAUAAUUAUAAUUGGAGUUAUCCCACCAUCCUUGAUCAUACCCGUAUGGAUUAGGGUCAUACCACGUUUGAGACCAGGGUGAAAAAUCUCCGUAAUUAUUGAAUGGGACACUCUGAUUAUCUUGAUAUUCGGGGCACAUACCUGUUGAAUGAUCCCUGGCAUAACAAAUUUUACAGGUUGCAGCAGCCAUUCUUUUUCUAAUAGAGUUUACUGCCUCUGCAUAUGCAGACUCAGCAAUAAAACUAGUCAUAUCGCAUUUCCCGGAAAGAAAAUCCAGUAUUUCACCAAAAUACGAAGUGUUAGAAGCCAUAAAAAAAAUAAGAAAAAAAAUAAAUUAAAAAUGAAAACAAGGUGAACUAAAAAAGAAACAAAUUAAUCUGACACCAGUCCCCGGCAACGGCGCCAAAAAUUGACAGGUCGUCAGCCUGUGCAAUAAUAAAACCUGCUCAAACUAAAAGUAAUUUCUGUAGAUAGCAGUAAGCAGGGUCGAAUCCACAGGGACUGGGAGUAAUUGUUCCUUUCCAAAUUCACAGUGACAAAGGGGGGUGUUUUAUAUCUCAGGGGUGACAAUUUAAGCAAUCCAACUAAAAGUAAAAUAAUAAAAAUAAAAUAGCCAACUAGAAAUUAAAAUAACAAUUUACCAAAAUCAAAGGAUCUAGCCAAAGAAUAACUUCAGCAAUGGUUCACCUAAUUGAUCAUCGAUAAGCAAAGGGAAUUCCAAUUAUUUACUAAUAAAUAGGUUAUAACUGCCAAACAAGCGAUGACAGUCAACCCCUCCUUACUGUGUCGGUGAUCAAGGUACGCCCGUUAAUCACUGCCCUAAUUAAGAAAUAAUUCUAGGUACGCCCGUAGAAUUUAAUUCCCCAAUUGCCUUACAUAUUAGAGGAGCCCUAUUCUAACCAAAUAACACACUACCAGGGUUAUUUUAGAUUAGCCCGCGUAUCCCCCUGACACGAAUCCAAUCAUGCCAGUUAUCACUAUUUUGAGACAAUUAAACAAUUACGGAUUUAACGUCCCAAUUGACAAUAGAUUAUUAAAUUAACUAAUUAUCCGGAUCCAAGACAAUCAAUUAAUUAAACAACCAUAAGCACUACAACCAGGGAAUAUGCAAAUACCAAUAAAUAAGAGAAAAAGAUAAAAUUAAAUCGAUCUCACAAUUUUAGAUGACCCAAAGCAUCCGUUGUCCCUUGACUAGAGUGAAGAAAUUUAGCUCAUAUUUGAUGAACAAAAUCCGCGAGAAAUUGGAGCGACACUAGCGGCCAUCGGCCUCGUUCGUGAGAAAUCAAAUUAUGCGAGUGAAUAAGAAGAAACCAGCAACUACAAACAAUGAUGCAAUUCCUCGUAAGGCUCCUGACAUGCACAGGAGAACUCCACUAUCAAAAGCUAAGGAGGAAAAGUUCCUACUAGAUGACGAAAAGAUGGAAAAGUCAAAGAAACUAGGCUAAACUAAAAGAUGAGAAAUCAAAAGCUAAGCUAUUGCUCCUAUUCUAAUGCCUACUGUGCGGCGUCCGCCGCCCAGCCGAGAGAGAAAAGAAGACUUCGGCCUCCUCCUUUUUAAUGCUGUCCUCGGGCCAAUUACCAAGAAGGGUUGUGAUCUGAUAUUCCAAAAAUGUCCCUAGAUGCCUGCUACUUGAACUCUUUCUUGAUAAUUGUCAAAUUGGCCCUGAUUGUGAUAUUUUUGUUCUACUCCCUGAAAUAAAUAUAAAUUACGAAAAGUGAGUAGAAUCUAACAAUUAAUUCACAUCAGGUCAAGUAAUAGGGAAAAUUAAUAAUAAAAUAAAUGAUAAAAUUGCAACCUAUCACAUUUCAACCGCAUAGGCAGGGACAUUUUGGGAAUGUAAAAUAUUAUGUAGUGUUUUACAAGCUAUAGGUACAAGUAAGGAAAGCUUGUGGUUAGGUAUAUUAACCAAAAUACCCUUAUUUAUAGACAUUUAAAACUUUAUGUUGUUGAAACAUCUGGGUAUUUAUGGUAUGUGCAAUUAAUCUGCAACCAUUUGUUGCUUUUGGUACAACACACAUAAGCCUGUGGGUUUGUGAAAUUACUUAAAUGGCUUUCACACAUCAUAAGUGCACUCAUUAUGAAAAGAAAAAGUCAUGACCAUAAAUACGGCAAUUGAAUCGCACGGUCAUUACUGAAAUGGCCUUCACACAUCAUAAGUGCGCCGUUUGACUAAUGAUCACUGAACUUGGAAAUCACUUGUAUAGGGAGUCCACAAGUGAAAGGAAAUAUGAAAGGCCAAUCUUGCUCAACCGUCACCGUGGUUAGAGCUUUCAGAUCUCUUUCUCUAUCAUUUAUACCUGAAUUUAAUGGCCAGGAAUGUGGGCCUACUAAUGGCUCCUGAGGUUCGGGGAUUGGGUUUUCUCUUGCAACCUUUGUCUGAAACAGAAUGCCGCAUCGUUUCCCCUCUCACCCGAGCUUAUGGCCGAAACACUCUAUUCCUUUCUCAUUAUAGCCUCAAUUAAAUAGCUAGACGUUGGUAAGUUAAUGCCCAACGGCUGCGUCGGUUAUGAUUGUUUCCAUGCCUCCUCUUCACCUUCUUCAGUUUCAGCCUUUUCAUAUUCUGGGAUUGGGAUAUUUUUUUAUACCCUUACACUGCGUAAAUCCUAGGCAUGGAAACAAUCACCGCCCAUUGAAGCAAGAAGUUGUGGAGGGCCCGACUGACAAUCUUUACGAGGGUCAUUAACUUAAUUUGGGAUUUGAUGAGGCUUUCACUUGGCCUCUGCUUCAUUUUGGUCCCAUGGUUUCUUCAUUCUGCUACAGCUUGUCCUUAAUCACCUUCUAUUGGUAAGUUAAUGACUCACUCACUUGAAGACCGACUGAAUGUGGACAUUAGCAGUGCAUAGUUCUUCACCACAGAACUCCCUCAGCUUACUUGCUUCCUUAAACCAAAAGUACCAAGAGUAGCUCUCCGACAAGAAAGGGCACCAACAUCCCUGCGUUGCCUCCACUUUCAACUUCAGCAGUCAGAGUAGUUGAAGCAGUAAGUUGUGGAGGGCCCUCGAUCAUGUAUGUUCUACACUCAUCAUGUAGAUGCUGCAGUUGGGACCAAAAUGAAGAAACCACCAAGAAGCAACGCAUCUGACUGCUGUCUAUUACAGCAUCUACAUGAGUUUACUACUAUUCGUAUCACUAAAUAAGUAGACAUACAUGAUGUCUUAUUCAACUACUCUGCUAUCUAUCUCAUAGUUUUUACCUGAAACAAUUUCAUAAAUAUUUGUCCGUACACCUUUGGGAACUUGUUGCAUCUAAUUAUUUGUCUUCAGGAACUUCUUGAUUCUAAUAUUGGAAAACUCUUAUGUUGUUUGUCUUAUAAUCAUACCUGCUUCUAAUUAUUUAUCGCAACGUACUAUUCUGGCAAUGUAUUAUUAUUUGUCCAACCAAAAAACCUUCUUCAACCACAGGCACCAAACACCCGCGCGAUGCGCGGGCACUCCUCCCCUAGUCUUAUCAUAUCUUAACGAGUGCACUAUGAGCAUCCGUUAGACAGAUCAAUAUUUAAAUAUUUGCUUGGUACUCGUAGGUCAUCUAUGUCACUACUCGUAGAUCAUCGUAGAUAAUCUAUAUCACUACUUGUAGAUCAUUUGUAUUACCGUAUGAGUUAUAAGACUUCUAUCGGUUAUCUUUGGCCAAUAGCCAAUAUAAAGAGGCUAAGCCUAUCCCAUCCCUGCAAGCCUCCCUUUUACUCACCCCAGUUCUUUAACCCAAAUUUAAUGGUUAAAGUUACUCAAUUAUAUGAUUUUUCAUAAACUCAAUUACACAUGAUUUUCAUUAUUGGCUAACAUAGUACAAAAGAAUAGUAGUACAAAAAUUAGUACUACUUGACUCGCCCUACUUGGAUCACACUUGCAAAAGAAAGAAGAAACAAAGAUGUGGAUUGACCCAAAAACAAAGAAGGAAUUUAUAAGAUAUGCGGGAUGUAUGUGUAUCAAUCCCAAUUGGUGGGUGUCAAACCAGCAAAAAUAAAAUUCCUACUCUUAAGUCACGAAUUAAGUCCACUAUGGUACUGGAGCAGGGACUUAGGCUGUGCAAUGGGUUACUAGCUUCACCCUGAUGCCAGAGUUUGCUUGAUCCGAUAUACCAAAGUAUAUUAAUUACGUGAAAGACAAAAUUCGAAUAUAGCAGUGAGCAGGGUCGAAUCCACAGGGACUUGGGAAUUUAUUUUGAAUGAAUGUAACAUUAAAUAAAAAUGGGGGGAAUUGAUAUGGAACUGUCUAAUUUAAUUGCUCAAAUUAAAAAUAAGACAAUCGCAGAUAAAAUAAAUAACAAUAAAUAUAAAGUAAAUUAACGGAAGGAAAAUCUCUAGUCAAAGGUAUAAUCUCCACUAAUGGUUCGAAUCACUGAUCACAGAUGCAGAGAUAAAAUCUUUCAUUUACAAAUAAACUGGUUAUGGUUGUCAACAAGCUCUGACAACCUGCCUAACCUUCCUGAUUCGAUAACCACAACAAGCUCUGUAGUUAUUGCCCUAGCCAAUUAAGCAGUCCUAAACACGCUCUUAGGAUUUAACCUAUUGACAGCAUUAAUCAUUAGACUGGCCACCAAUUAUAACCAACAAACACACAUGCUCGGUUUAUUUAGGCUAUAUCAUAUAUUUUCACAACAACAACUCAAAAGUUUCUACUACAAUUGAAUCAUGUCACUUGCCACAUGCACUAAAAUUACCCAACAAUUACGGAUUGAGCACUCUUAGAUGGCUGUUAAUUACUCACACAAUUAAACAGUGAUCAAGUAUUUAAUUGCAAGAAAUAAUCAUAUGCAUAAGUGAACAGGAAAUAUAUAAAUACUUGCAAAUUAAAGAACGUAGGCAAAUGAAUUCGAUCUCACAGUUUUGUCGAACCAAAGCUUCGAUUUAACCUCUGACUAGAUAAACUUAGCCACGCCUCAUGAUUAAAUCACCACACGAAGUAAUGGAUUGCAAAGGCAUUGCGUUUUUACUAGAAAGCAAGGAAUAAAAGAUGUUUUUCCCGUUGGGGAAUAUUGUCGAACACCUGGCGUGUGUCAGAGGCCAGUCAAGAGAAAGGAAACUAGAACUAAACUAAAAAGCUAAACUAGAGGUGUCCUCUUGCUUCUGUACGUCCUCCCCUUAAAAAGCCAAAAGUAAGAUGACUAAAAGCUAUCUCCGGUGGUCCCCACACAUGUGGACAAAGUCUCCAAAAUUACUUCUUCUUCCAAGUCUCUCUACGUUGCUUUCUUUGAAGAGCCCAAAUGACCAAAUAUCUUUUACUAGCUUUGUGGUCCCCCACCAAUUCAAGGGCCCAAGGUUUGAAGCCCUUAGAAGUCUCCAUAUUCUCCAUAAAGUCCCUCCUUUUUGGUAGUUUUCUGCUUCAUUCCCUAUCAAAUGGGAUGCGUGCUUUCUAGUAUCAACUAAGAAACUUGUAUCAAGAUUUUCUUAAUGGAAUUUCCUCAAUUAGGCUUCGAUUUCUCCUUUUCUGCCUCAAUUAACUUGAAGUUCCUAGAAAUCACACAAAAAUUCAAUUAUAAGUAGAAUCUAGCAAAUUAUCACAACAUUUGGUCAAAAUAAAGGGGAAAAUAUUAACAAAUAAACUGCCUAAUUUGCGCAUUAACAAAUUCCCCCACACCAAGACAAUGCUUGCCCUCAAGCAUUCACUACCCAAAAAUCACAGUCAAGAUCACAAAUACUUGAAUAGCUCCAUAAACUUGCACAAGUGUCACAUCUUCUCAACAAUUUCACCAAAAUGAGGAUGUUAAAAACUUGACAAACCUCACAUGGAUAGCAGUGUAUACACUCAACCACUCAAAAUAUGGAAAGGAUGUUUAUAUCACUCAAAUCAACAACAUGGAAUGAUUUUACCAUAUGCUUGCUAAUAUAUCAAAUCUCCACCACUUUAAUGAACUUGAUACAAAAAUCAAAGGGUCUUUUAAUAAGGAUGUAAUGGGGCUUGGGUUAAAUGUUAGACAAAAUGGACCUUUAGGCUAAUAAUGUCAAAAGAAAUACCAAUAGCUCAUUGCAUGAAAUGAAUCGCCCCUUUUUUUUUCAAUCCCCUCACUCCAAGGCACAUCAACAAUCGAAGCCAACUCAACAUAAGAACCUUUACACAGGCAUCAACCCAACUUUCUCAACACUACUACAAGGACACUUCCAUAUUUUUUUUGUUUUUUUUUUCUCUUUUUUUUUUGUUUUGUUUUUUGUUUUUGUUUUUGUUUUUGUUUUUUUUGUCUGCAGCAGAACAGAACUAACUUGAAAGAUAAACACAACUGCCAAAUCCUUGUAGCAAUACUUGAUAACUUUCACGCAAUAAAACUCAGGCAUUCUUUUGACUCAAGGUUCAAUAAAAAGGCUUAGAGUGCAAAUUUGGGUAUCAGACAAAGAAACAGUCAAGGCUUAGAUUGGUUAACUAGGUGAAAUAUGAUCAAGGUAGGCUUUUAGAAAGUCAAAAGGGGUUAAACCUAAUUGCCCUUCUCAUAUUAAUGCCUCAAAUUCAAACGUGGUCUCGACAUGCAUAACAAAGCAAGUUCUAGAAUAUCAAACCAUGUGUGAUAUCACUCAUUCAAAGCAAAUAGAGCAAUUAUAAAUGUAAUGCUCAUUAGGCCCAAAAGCUCACAAAGAAAAAAAAAUGAAAAUAGGUCAAAUUUUUAAAUACCCUUCAUUUGAAUCAAUAGUCAAGAAAACACAUUACUUGCACUAGCAAUAGAAUACCAUUCACACUUGCAUCUUGACUGAAUCAAUACGAAUCUCAAAAAGUCUUGAAAAAUCAGAAACUAGACGAAUUAACUCAAAAACUGACCAAAAAUACUUAAAAUUUUUUCUCUUUUUCAUUUUUUUUUUAAAAAAACAAACUAGAAAUUAAAAACCAACAUGAUCUCCCUCCCCCACACCUAAACAUUGCCUUGUCCUCAAGGAAAAAAUAAAAAUAAAGUGUAGAAAGAAAGAAAUACUCCCCUGAAGAAAUACUAAGUUUCCGGUGGGAAAGGAGGCUGGAAACGAACGUGCUCGAAAUAAGCUGCCAGGUUAUGACCCAUGCGGGACAAACGUCGAUCCAUCUGUUGCUUAAUUUGAUCCUACCUAUCACAAUGAAAUUAUAUCACGUAAAUCACUUUUAACAAAUCAACAAACACAAUCAAACUACUAAAAACAAUAACUCUUGGGUUGCCUCCCACGCAGCGCCUUUCUUUAAUGUCUUUGGCUAGACAAAAUAAUGCUUCAAUCAGAGGGUUCAGGCACUGCAAGGGUCACCUCCUCAACAUUAUUAACUUCAAAUCCUUCAUAAAAAGGUUUGAGACGAUGACCAUUAACCUUAAAAAUCUUGUCAGUGUGAAGACUUUGAAUUUCUACUGCACCAUGAGGAAACACAUUAGUCACAAUAAAAGGUCCAAUCCAACGAGAACGCAAUUUACCAGGAAAAAGUUUAAGUCUAGAGUGAAAAAGAAGUACUUUUUGACCAAUACAAAAAAUUUUCCUUGAAAUUGCUUUAUCAUGAAAUGCUUUUGUCUUUUCCUUAUAAAUGCUAGAACUCUCAUAUGCAUCAUUUCGGAUUUCCUCCAACUCUUGCAAUUGCAACUUCCUAUGUUCUCCAGUUUCAUCCAUCCGCAUAUUGUAAUUUUUAACUGCCCAAUAUGCCCUAUGUUCCAAUUCCACAGGUAGAUGACAAGGUUUGCCAAAAAUUAAUCGGUAAGGAGACAUACCUAUGGGGGUCUUAAAAGCUGUACGGUAAGCCCAAAGUGCAUCAUCUAAGCGUAAACUCCAAUCCUUUCUAUUGGGAUUCACCGUCUUUUCAAGUAUCGACUUGAUUUCUUUAUUGGAGAUUUCUGCUUGACCACUAGUCUGCGGAUGAUAGGACGUAGAAACCCGGUGAGUGACGCCAUAUUUCUUCAUUAAUGCUUCCAUUACUCGAUUGCAGAAGUGUGUCCCUUGGUCACUGAUAAUUGCUCUUGGCGUGCCGUACCUGACAAAAAUAUGAGAUUUAAUAAAAUCAACUACAACCUUAGCAUUGUCAGUCCUAGUUGCCUUAGCCUCUAUCCAUUUUGAGACAUAAUCAACUGCAAGUAAUAUAUACAUAUUACCAAAAGAGGAAGGAAAUGGACCCAUAAAAUCUAUACCCCAUAUAUCGAAAAUUUCACAAACCAGUAUGGGAGUAAGAGGCAUUUGAUCUCUAUGGCUUAAAUUACCUGUCUUUUGACAAUUUGCACAUGAUUUACAAAAUAAGUAUGCAUCACUAAACAAAGUUGGCCAAAAUAAACCACACUCUAAAACCUUUCUUGCAGUUCGCUUAGGGCCAAAAUGUCCACCACACGCAUAUGAGUGACAAAAAGAUAAAAUUGAUGGAACCUCUUCUUCAGACACACACCUGCGAAUAAUUUGGUCAGAACAAUAUUUCCACAAGUAUGGUUCAUCCCACACAUAAUAUUUAACAUCACUUUUAAUUUUUUUCCUUUUGAGCUCUAGACAAAUCAUUAGGUAGCGUUCUAGUAACAAGAUAAUUCACUAAAUCAGCAUACCAGGGAGUUGUCUUUUGAACUACAAAAAGAUGCUCAUCUGGAAAAUUAUCCUUCAAGGGAGCAGGUCCUUCACUAUUGAUCAAACGACUGAGGUGAUCAGCAACCAUAUUUUCAGCACCCCUUUUGUCUUUAAUUUCCAGAUCAAAUUCUUGGAGUAGGAGAAUCCACCUUAUAAGUCGUGGUUUGGCCUCUUUCUUGUUGAGCAAAUAUUUCAAAGCUGCAUGGUCAGAAUAAAUAAUGACUUUAGUGCCAAGUAAAUAAGAACGAAAUUUUUCUAAAGCAAAAACAAUAGCUAAAAGCUCCUUUUCCGUAGUCGAAUAAUUGCACUGGGCACCAUCCAAGGUCCUCGAGGCAUAAUAAAUGACAUAAGAAGCUCUGCCCUCUUUCUGGCCAAGUACUGCACCAACAGCAAAGUUGCUGGCAUCACACAUUAUCUCGAAAGGAAGACUCCAGUUUGGUGGUCGAACCACUGGUGCUGAAGUCAAUGAUCCCUUGAGCGUGUCAAAUGCACUCUUGCAAUUAUCAUCAAAAUGAAAUACCACAUCCUUUUGAAGUAAUUUGCAUAGAGGAUGGGAUAUCUUUGAAAAAUUUUUGAUGAAACGCCUAUAAAAACCUGCAUGGCCAAGAAAAGAGCGAACUUCCCGCACACUUGCAGGGUAAGGUAAACAUUUGAUAAUUUCUACCUUAGCCUUAUCUACCUCAAUUCCUUUUGCAGAUACCACAUGGCCUAAAAUUAUGCCUUGGUCUACCAUAAAAUGGCAUUUCUCAUAAUUUAAGACAAGAUUAGUCUCAAUGCACCUUUUAAGAAUUUUUGUGAGGUUAGUUAAACAUUCAUCAAAAGAAUUACCAUAGACAGUAAAAUCAUCCAUAAACACUUCUAUGAUAUUCUCCACAUAAUCAGAAAAUAUACUAACCAUACACCUUUGGAAUGUAGCAGGCGCAUUACAAAGACCAAAAGACAUUCGUCUAUAGGCAAAUGUACCAAAAGGGCAAGUAAAUGUGGUUUUCUCUUGAUCUUCAGGCGCCACUGGAAUUUGUAGAAAACCUGUGUCAAGAAGUUUUAAAACUUCUUUCUUCACUACCUCCAUCAUUGGUGGGUUCAAUCUCCUUUGAGCCUCUCUCGAAGGCUUAGCACCAUCUUCUAACAAGAUGCGGUGCAUGCAAGUGGCUGGACUUAAUCCUUUUAUGUCAGCCACUGUCCAUCCUAUUGCCUCCUUGUGGUCCUUUAACACCCGAAUUAAUUUUUCUUCCUCUAAAGCAGUCAAUUUACUGGAAAUUAUUACUGGGAGUGUAUCUCCAUCUCCCAAGAAUGCAUACUUUAAAUUAUCCGGUAACUGCUUUAAUUCCACCUUCGGGGCUUGCACAAUAGAUGGCAAAAGCUGUGAAUGAGACAAAGGUAAUUCCAAGUAAGACACAUUGGAAAAUUCUGGACAAAGAGAAUUCAAUUCAAAAAUAACUUCCUGCAAUUCAAAAGGAAAAACAAACUUCCCUUUUAUCUUUUGCAAAUUUUCCUGACAGAGACCAGUAGAAAUAGCAACCUUCAACGCAUCGUCAUUAUUAAAUUCAAAAUUUUGCUGCGCUAAAGAAUCAAUUACAUCUAUAACAAAAAUUGAAUGAGAUUCACCAGGAUAUUUCAUAGCAUCAUAAAUAUUAAAUUUAAUAACAUCACCAUCAAAUUCCAUAGUCAAUGUGCCAGUGAAAACAUCAAUUUUUGUUCUAGCAGUUUUCAAAAAUGGUCUCCCUAACAGCAUUGGAGAUGAAUUAGAAUUAUCAUCCUCCAUAUCAAGCACAUAAAAAUCUGCAGGAAAAAUCAAAUUAUCAAUUUGCACUAAAAUAUCCUCCAAAACUCCAUCAGGAUAGGCAUUUGAUCGAUCAGCAAGUUGAAUUAUUACGCCCGUCUCUUUUAAAGGCCCAACGUUCAUCAAAUUAUAAAUAGAACGAGGCAUAACAUUUAUCGAAACACCCAAAUCCAACAUAGCUUUUUCAAUUUUAAUAUUGCCUAUUUUGCAAGGGACAGUAAACAUACCCGAAUCCUUGCAUUUAGGAGGCAAUUUUUUCUGCAGAACUGCCGAGACAUUUUCUCCCAUAUGCACUUUCUCAUUUCCUUUCAACUUUUUCUUACCAGUGCAUAACUCCUUCAAAAAUUUAGCAUAUCUAGGAAUUUGUUUAAUUGCAUCUAAAAGAGGGAUAUUUACCUCAACUUUUCGAAAAGUGUCCAAAAUCUCCUGUUCUUGUUCUUGUUUUUUGGACUUUGCCAGUCGACUAGGAAAUGGAGGCAGAGGUGUAACCACUUGUGUUGAUUUUUCUCCAAAAUCUGGUUGUUCUAAGGCCCUAGGUUGAGACACAUUCCCCUCUUUUUUGAGCUCUUCCUCGAUUGCUUGUUCAGAAAUUCUCUUGCUCGGCUCAGGCAACUCUUUGCCACUUCUUAAUGUGAUGGCACUGGCAUUUUCCUUGGGGUUGACAAUUGUCUGCGAAGGUAGUUUUCCAGAUAAUUGGGACUCCAAUCUAUUGACUGUGGAAGCUAACUGGCUCAUUUGAUUCUCCAAAUUAUGAAUGCUAGUUUUCGUCUCCUGUUGAAAUUGUUGAGUGUUAGUAGCCAAAGAUUUCACAAUAUCCUCAAGUGACAUACCUGAUUUAGGAGUAGAUUGUUGCUGUGAAAGUUGAGGUCUAGGUUGAUAUUGUGACUGUUGUGGAAAUCCUGGUGGCCUUGCUGCAUAAUUAAAAUUAGGAUGAUCCCUCCAUCCUGGAUUAUAGGUGUUUGCAUAGGGAUCAUACCGCCUCUGAGGUGGUCCUGGAAAUCCAACUGCAUUAGCCUGCUCAGUCGAAUCAUCUUGGAGUGUGGGGCACAUAUCUGUUGGAUGACUCGAACCAUAGCAGAUUCCACAUGUUUUCAAUUGCUGCAUUUGUCCUAUAGCUAACUUUUCAACCAAAGAAGUUAGACAAUCUAAUCUUUGCUCUAUUGAAGAAUUACUUACCUCAUUGACUCUACGAGUUGUGUUAUCCUGCCUGUCUCCAAAUUGUUGAGCAUUUGCAUCCAUACUCGAUAUCAAACUUCUUGCCUCCGUGGGUGUUUUAUUCACUAAGGAGCCCCCACUGGCAGCAUCAAUAAUUCUUCUGUCAGUUUGGGAUAGACCCUCAUAAAAAUACUGGAUGAGGAGUUGGUCAGGAAUUUGAUGAUGAGGACAACUAGCACAUAGUUGCUUGAAUCUUUCCCAAUAUUCAUGUAGAGUCUCUCCAUUGAAUUGUCGAAUUCCACAGAUGUCUUUCCUAAUGCUUGCAGCUCGGGAUGCAGGAAAGAAUUUUUCUAGAAAAUGCUUCUUCAUGUCUGUCCAUGUGGAUAUUGACCCAGAGGGCAGAUAAUAGAGCCAAUCCUUAGCUUUAUCGGCUAAGGAAAAUGGAAAGGCUCUUAAUUUAAUUUACUUCUCUGUGACUCCCUGAGGUUUCAUUGUCGAGCAAAUCACAUGGAAUUCUUUGAGAUGCUUGUGGGGAUCUUCACCUGGUAAGCCAUGAAAAGAAGGAAGUAAAUGGAUUAGUCCAGAUUUUAACUCAAAUGCAACCUCUAAUGUAGGAUAAGUAAUGCAUAGGGGCUGUUGAUUUAAAUCUGGUGCAGCCAAUUCUCUCAAUGUCCGUUCAUUAGCCAUGGUGCUAUUUAUCUCUUCCGUCUCACUAAAUGAAUCCACAAAAUCUACUACUGAAUUAUGUCCAGUAGAUGAGGAGGAUGCCUCUGCUCGUUCUCUUGUUGCUUUUCUCAAUGCACGAGCAGUCUUCUCUAUCUCAGGAUUAUAUUGCAGUUCACCUGUACGAGAAGAUCUAGGCAUAAACCAGUAACAAUAAAAAUAAAAAUAAAAUAAAUAAAAUAAACAAAGAAAAUAAAAUUCAAAGAAAAUAAAUUUAUUUUGACACCAAGUCCCCGGCAACGGCGCCAAAAUUUGUUGGGUGUCAAACCAGCAAAAAUAAAAUUCCUACUCUUAAGUCACGAAUUAAGUCCACUAUGGUACUGGAGCAGGGACUUAGGCUGUGCAAUGGGUUACUAGCUUCACCCUGGUGCCAGAGUUUGUUUGAUCCGAUAUACCAAAGUGUAUUAAUUACGUGAAAGACAAAAUUCGAAUAUAGCAGCGAGCAGGGUCGAAUCCACAGGGACUUGGGAAUUUAUUUUGAAUGAAUGUAACAUUAAAUAAAAAUGGGGGAAGUUGAUAUGGAACUGUCUAAUUUAAUUGCUCAAAUUAAAAAUAUAAAGUAAAUUGACGGAAGGAAAAUCUCUAGUCAAAGGUAUAAUCUCCACUUAUGGUUCGAAUCACUGAUCACAGAUGCAGAGAUAAAAUCUUUCAUUUACAAAUAAACUGGUUAUGGUUGUCAACAAGCUCUGACAACCUGCCUAACCUUCCUGAUUCGAUAACCACAACAAGCUCUGUAGUUAUUGCCCUAGCCAAUUAAGCAGUCCUAAACACGCUCUUAGGAUUUAACCUAUUGACAGCAUUAAUCAUUAGACUGGCCACCAAUUAUAACCAACAAACACACACGCUCGGUUUAUUUAGGCUAUAUCAUAUAUUUCCACAACAACAACUCAAAAGUUUCUAAUACAAUUGAAUCAUGUCACUUGCCACAUGCACUAAAAUUACCCAACAAUUACGGAUUGAGCACUCUUAGAUGGUUGUUAAUUACUCACACAAUUAAACAGUGAUCAAGUAUUUAAUUGCAAGAAAUAAUCAUAUGCAUAAGUGAACAGGAAAUAUAUAAAUACUUGCAAAUUAAAGAACGUAGGCAAAUAAAUUCGAUCUCACAGUUUUGUCGAACCAAAGCUUCGAUUUAACCUCUGACUAGAUAAACUUAGCCACGCCUCAUGAUUAAAUCACCACACGAAGUAAUGGAUUGCAAAGGCAUUGCGUUUUUACUAGAAAGCAAGGAAUAAAAGAUGUUUUUCCCGUUGGGGAAUAUUGUCGAACACCUGGCGUGUGUCAGAGGCCAGUCAAGAGAAAGGAAACUAGAACUAAACUAAAAAGCUAAACUAGAGGUGUCCUCUUGCUUCUGUACGUCCUCCCCUUAAAAAGCCAAAAGUAAGAUGACUAAAAGCUAUCUCCGGUGGUCCCCACACAUGUGGACAAAGUCUCCAAAAUUACUUCUUCUUCCAAGUCUCUCUACGUUGCUUUCUUUGAAGAGCCCAAAUGACCAAAUAUCUUUUACUAGCUUUGUGGUCCCCCACCAAUUCAAGGGCCCAAGGUUUGAAGCCCUUAGAAGUCUCCAUAUUCUCCAUAAAGUCCCUCCUUUUUGGUAGUUUUCUGCUUCAUUCCCUAUCAAAUGGGAUGCGUGCUUUCUAGUAUCAACUAAGAAACUUGUAUCAAGAUUUUCUUAAUGGAAUUUCCUCAAUUAGGCUUCGAUUUCUCCUUUUCUGCCUCAAUUAACUUGAAGUUCCUAGAAAUCACACAAAAAUUCAAUUAUAAGUAGAAUCUAGCAAAUUAUCACAACAUUUGGUCAAAAUGAAGGGGAAAAUAUUAACAAAUAAACUGCCUAAUUUGCGCAUUAACACCAAUCAUAUAUUGAACUUAAAAAUAGAGGUUUAAUUUUUUGUGCUUAAAUAGUUUGAUGUACGAGAUGAAUAUAGUGUUUGGAUUUAUUAUUUAUUUACUGCUCUCUUUUUGACUCGUCAAAACUUGAGAGACCAUCCCACAUUUAAGACAAGAACAGCUUACUACUAGUAGUGACUACUUGUUCUUUCUUUCUGGCAAAAAGUUUUGGUUUCAAAUCUUGGAGAGGAAAAUUUCUAAAAUGAAAAUGAAGAAAAUUAACAGCCGAAGCCGAUAAAAUGACUAGAUCCAAAACCUGCAUUAAAUUCAAUGGAAAAAACUCUAAAAACUCUUCUCUGGCUCUUCCCUAACUAUUAUAAGUAAACUGUUCCAACAGCGAAUAAAGACCUGCUCUAUGUUUGAUGGAAGUAACUUUGAAAAGAAAUUCUAAAUCUAUUUUUUUUUUUUUUUGGUAAAUAUCUAAAUCUAUGUAUGUACACAUACACGUUUUUGAGGAAUUGAUAUUUCACGAUAUGAUUUGAUACAAAUAUGACAAGCAGUAGAAGGGAAAAAGCAAACGAGAACUCAACGAAACACAAGGAAAAGCGACGUCGUACUUUGAAGAGAUGAGUUAACUGGAUACCAGUUAGCAUUGAGAACGGCAAGAGUUGUCUUUCAGCUUCUCUUCUCUUAGAGGAACUUGGGUUCCCACCGACCGUUAAUCCAGUGACCAGUGAAAACUUGAGGGAUAUGAGAAAUUGUCUGAUAAUCUUCACUUUGUUUAUCCAAAUUCUGUACUUUGUGCAUCAGCUCAUCAGACGUAUCAAGGAACCCAAGAGAUUCAAGUCUGGUCAAGUUUUGGAUGCCCGAAGGCAACUCUUGCAUCAGUUUGCAAUCACCUAAGCGCAGAUUUCUGAGACUAGGCAUUGAUUCCUCUUCCACUCUCACCCAUUUCAGUCUUGUUAAUUGCCCAAGCUCUAAAGUCUGGAGUUUUUGAAAUCCUCCAACCUUGAAACAUAAUGUCUCCCCUUCAUAAGCACCAUAGAGACUAAGUGAUACCAGAUUGGGCAAAUGUUCGAGGGAGCCUAUUACAUUCUCAUCUUCUCUCAACCUACUGUUAAACAACCGUAAGGUUCUCAAGGAUUGAAGUGAUGUCACCCAUUGCGGCACUCUCUCUAAACGCCCAUUCAAUAACAGAGAUGUGAGGAAUUCAAGUUUUGGAGAGACGGAAUGUUGGAGAUCAAGGGUCUCAUCUUCUUCAAUACAGGAGAUGAUCAAAUCUCGAACGUUGGUCAGCCUUAAGAGGGAGGAGAGCAACUCCUUUCCAUCUUCACUUCUGAGCCCUGUGAUGUCUAAUCGCCGCAAUUGCGUUAGGUUUCCAAUCUCUCUUACUAUUUUAUCACUAUCUGCUUCUAUACCAUACAGCUCCUCCAAACAAAUAAGCUUUCCAAUUCCAAGUGGACAUUUACAGCCCCAAACUGCAUAGUCAUUUGAAUAAUCUCCCCUGCCGCCAAACCUAAGAAAACGGAGUUUUCUUAGCUUUAGAACUUCCACAGGCAACUCUGUUACAUUGGUCCGUCUCAGAUUUAUAGCUUCAAGGUUUUGAAGCUUCCCAAUAGAUUUUGGAAUAAUUUUAACUCCAGUUCUUGCAAAACUAAGAUACCUGAGAUGAAAUAGUUUGAAGACUUGCUUUGGGAUGUUGUCCAAUUUAGCUCCAUCCAAAUCCAACGCCUUCACCAACUUGGGAUCACCACUUAAGAACUUGGAUAAAAAUGUAGUUGUGAGAGGAUCUUUAUACCCAAAUAUUACCACAGAUCGAAGACACUUCAAGCUACUAAAUUGUUGUGGAUUAUCAGUGAAGUUGUGGAUUGCUAGGUGUCGAACUUUUUCAGGCCAUCUUGUGUAAUACCUGGUGGCUACAGUCGUGAAGUCCUGCUCUUUGGAUUUUGAAACUAGGAUUUCACGCAGAAAAUCGUGGAGACCACAUUUAUUCAAUCUGCCAUCGUUCAAUGUGGAUUUAACUUGGAUUAAGCUUCUGUUGAUGAGUUCUUUCAUAUAACUCAUAGCAAUAUCGGUGGAUGUUAUUCUUUCUCUCUCUUCUACAAAUCCUAGUGCAAUCCACUUCAGAAGUAUAGAUACCACAUCAAUUGGAUAAUCUUCAGGGUAGAUGCUUAGAUACAAUAGGCAGCUUUUAAGAUAGUGAGGCAAAUCAUUGUAGCUAAGUAAGAGUACCCUUUUGAUUCUGUCAAGCUUACCACUGCCAUCUGCCUCGCCACCAAAACCAUGAAGAAUCAUCUCCCAUUCAUGUGUCUUUUCGUUGUCCUUCAGAGCCAAAACACCACCUAUUGCAACAAUUGCAAGCGGUAGGCCCUCACAUUUUUUCAGUAUUUUUUUAGCAACUUCUUCUAGAUUUGGAGGACAGUUAUUGCUCUGAAAUGUUCUAUUGCAAAACAGAGUCCAAGACUCUUUAUCAGAAAGAGGCUCCAUCUUAUAGACGAAGUCAAGUGAUCCUAAACAGAACGCAGAAGCUACAUCGGCUAUUCGUGUUGUCAAUACAACACGACUAGCAGUAGUGCAGUCAGGCAAUACACAUUUGAUAGCUUCCCAGGCAUCUAUACUCCACACAUCAUCAAGGACAAGGAUGUACCUUCUUUCUCGGAGGAAGUCUCUGACAAAUUCACUCAGCAUAAUAUCAUCCAUGGAUUCCACUCGGCGAGGGACCGGCCAUCUGAUUUCAUUGUACAACUGUUGGAUCAGGUUCUUGAUGAUGUCACUGAAUUGAAAAGUUUGAGAAACAGUUAUCCAGGCAUGGCUCUGAAAUUGUUUCUUCACUGCAGCGUCAUCGUAGACUUUUUUCACCAGGGUAGUCUUGCCGAGUCCCCCCAUUCCCUUAACCGAAACUACUUUCAAUUGGGAAUGGUCAUCAAGGAUUUUUGAGAUGAGCUCUGCUUUUGGCUUAUCAAUCCCAACAAGUUGAGCUUCUUCAAUGAAGAGUGAUUGAGCACGAGUGUCAAAAUCUGCAUUCGCCUGUCGGGAAGAGCUGAAGCCUCUCUCUUGAGUACCAUAUUGGGACAGGUACCUCCGAUGCCUUUCUGAAAUCUCUCCAAAUCUGGCCUUGAUCUCUUUUAUCUCCAAAGAAAUUUGAUGGCGAGCUUUCAGAUUCUUUAUUGAGUUAUAGAUCUUUCCAGCCUUGCCACGGAAUCCAUCCAUGUAACCACGAGCAAAGCGGAAGGUAAAAUCAUCGAGAACAUCCUCUGUAUCAUAAGCAACUUCUCGAACCUGCUUUAGCCAUGCUUGGAGUUGAGAAUCAUUGUCUUCCUUUGCUUCAGCUUCUCUGAGGAAAGCCUUCAUGCUCUCGAGUUCAUCUUUGAUGAAUUGAACAUCUGAUUUAAGCCCCCCCAAAAGUGUGAUCUCUUGGGAAAGCAAGGUUGAGAGCUGUUCAAUCAAAAUACCUACGACACUCUCUGCCAUGAUGCUCAAUCAAAUUUCUCAAGAGUCGGUUUUCUUAUCAAGGAAAUUUUGAGAGUUGUUCCAAAAUUCAGAAAAUAUGCUGUUUUUCUUUUUUUCUUUUCUUUCUUUUGUAGUACACAGGAUGUGGUUUAUAUGAGCAAUCAAAUUCUAGAAUUUUAUGAAUUUGGGAACAUAUGCAUUUUUUUUUGGUCAUAUAGACGAUGAGUUUUACUUGGCACUUUGAUAGUACAAUUAUUGUCGAAAGCUCGCAAGCUACAAUUAAUGAAAAAGGCAGUUUUUUGUUUUCUUUGUAUAUUUUUUCAAUAUUGGUCAUUGAUCAAUUAUGUAAUGAGUUAUAAAAAUAAUCUUUUCAAAUAAGAAUAAUCUUUGUACUAACCAAUUCCUAAUAUAACAAGAGAAAUAAAUAAUUCACGGAUUUCUUUUAACCAACCAUUGAAGGUCUUGGAUUCUUAUCCUAAGCCGACAGGCCAAGAGUUCACAGUGGCAAAUGGUCAAUGUAAAAAGGAACGGUUGUGAUGCUGUAUCUUCCAAUAAUGCAAGGGACAAUGAAAUAGUCUCCAUGGUCCAUGGUCAAAAGUUUCCCAUUAAUUUUUGCAAGUGGAUUUCCCUGUACAAGCAUAUUGAUCGUCAAUCGGACGACUCAAUGUUGGCAUUAAAAAGGGACAAUAUAUCACUGGAAAAGUUAUUAAAAUUAAAUCUUUAAAUGACUGAAAAAUGAGAUAUAUACAGAAGUGGUAGAUAACAACUGGAAGAGGCUCAUGCUACGAGUGCAGUGAAUCAUUAGUUUUAGUAUCAAAAAUGAUGGUGAUCUAUCGUCAUUCUUGACGGUUUGUUUUUCCAUUAAUUUGUACAAAAUCUGAUUGACUUUUAGCACUUUUGAUUUUAGAAGAAUGCAUCUUGCAUUAGAACUUUUUUUCAAAUUAGGUUCCAUCUUAAUAGCUGUAUUAAUUUAUGAAAUCUUGUUUAAAAGAGUGACAAUUAGCACAAGGAUAAAUCAGAAACUGAUUGUACAACAGAUGGUCUAGUGGCAGAAUACUCGAGUUUGGGAGCAAUUCUGACAUAAUUGUUUGAUGUGAUUGUUAGCAGAGAAAUUGCAGUUAAAUGAAAUCCAGUUAUUGAAGACAAUUGCCUUUGGCUUUUAUAUACUUAUGCAACCGAACUUGUGCAUCAGCAUGAAUGAUAUUUUUCACCGUCAUACCUUUUUUUGGGGUUUAGUUGAUCUGAUCGGUUCAUCCAAUUUCAUAUAUAUGAACUAUCUCAAUGGGAAAGCCUGCUUGCAUCUAGAGGGUGUAAAGUGUAGUAAUCAGCUUAGUGUCUUGUUACCUAACUGCAGUACAUUUUCUUACAUGUGAGAUGUUAAUUCAAGUUAAGUCACAUUUAUGUUUUGUGAGAUGUUGACCAGUUAUAUGGUUAAAUACUCUUUGCAGUAUUUCAGAUCUUUGAGUGGUCUAAAUGCUGUAGGUUUUGAAAGUUUGGAUGCGAAUAUGUCAGCUAAAGGGGUGAGAAUAUCAGUAAGUACGGACGAGGAACUUGGCAGCAGUAUGGAGAGGAAAGAUGCGGCCGAUGACUUUGGAGAACCUGAUAAUAGUUUAAGUCUGGUAUUUUAGUUUAUACACAUGCUUCUACAAAUAAUGCAAAUUAUAAUGUAUAACUACGUACCUGCAAAUCCCUCAAAUAUAUAUAUAUAUAUAUAUAUAUAUAUACAGCCACGGAUUUAAGGGGGAGCUGGUGGGGGCUUAAGCCCCCCCCAAGCCGCCGGAAAACCCCCUAUAUAUAGGGGAUUCCGGCGGCCAGCCCAGCCAUUCCGCAGAGGGCAAGCUCAGGCUCCUGCUUGAUGAUUUUUUCUUUGUCUGAUGAGGUCAGACAUUCCGCAGAGGGUUGCACGUAUCCAUACCCAAACCCUAUGGCAGAGUUGCAAUAAGUCUCUACGGUACCAUCCCUAGAUUCUAGGUUGAUGUUGUUCAGCACAAUGUGGCUGCAAGGAACCGUGUCGCUGCAUGCAAAUUUCAUGGCGUUUUUGCUUUUGGAAGUCCCGCUAAUGUUCUUGUACAUGAUUUCACUUAUUUCAACUGCAGAACUCUGGAUAUAAAAAGUCGUUGUCAGGAUAUUUUAAGGAUGAGUAGAUAAACAAUUGCCUGCAUUUUUUUUUUUUUUUGGUCGAAUUUUAGUAUCAUUCAAAGUUUAUUCACCAAAGAGAGCAGAAAAUACAAAGUCCGUCUGGUUCCCAAUUAACCAGCUAUUCUGGAAAACCAUGAAGCUAGAGGGUGAAUCAUACCUGGUUCUGGCAAGGCGUUGGCGAAUCACAAUAGAAUUGGUCAAUGAUAAUGGGAUUUGAAACGUCAUCUACUCUCACAUUCUGAUAUCGUACCCCUCGAACAUACCCAGAUCCUCCCUGCAGAGCUACCAUUUUUAAUCAUUCUCCAUAUAAUUAUAUGUUUUUAUUAUUUUUAUAAUUAUUGAUUCUAAAUUUUACUUAUUAAAUAUAUUUAUUUCGUCACAAAAAAAAUUUUUUAAUACACUUCGGCCCCCCCAAAAAUAAAUUUCUGGCUCCGUCCCUGUAUAUAUAUAUAUAUAUAUAUAUAUAUAUAUAUAAGUACCUGUAAAUCUACAAAGAAAAUGAAGAGGCUGGGGAUUUGUCUGCAAGAAUAGGUAAUAUGACUUGUAUGCAUGAAAUAAUAUGAACAAGUUUAGUUAUCCGUGAGGUGUGUAUCCGUGAAAGUUUUGGCUUCUUAAUGCAAGAGUAGAGUUCAAGGCAAGAUUUGGUGGAUUGCAAGUUACAAAGAAUUGCUGGAGAAAAAUUGUGCAAUCCAAAAUAUUAGAAGGCAGAGAAGAGAUGAAAUGGGAUUUCCCUCUAAAAAACUAACAGAUAGCUUCAUUUCAUUAGAAAAUUAAUUGUGAGUGCAUGAACAGAAUGUACUCUAAAAAAGUCGUACAAGUUUUAAGAACUCGUGUUGUUUUACUGCCUAUUGUUUCUUUCAACAGCCCUAUAUUGUUGUACGGUGUGAGAACUGGAGAAGAACAACAAACAAUUCUUUUCUUUAUCACAAAAGUGAUGAAAGAAUAAGAAAGAUAUUGUAAUUCGGUACUUACAAUAAAAACAUGUAGAUAUUAUGGUGUCUUAACUUCCCCAUUAAGGUAGAUAGUGGAGCAAAAUAUCUUUGAUCACACAGUACAUUCAACUAGCUAGGGCUUGAUUAUUAAGUUAUCUAUGAGUAUCAAAAUUACUGAAAUCAUGUUUAGAAAAAAAAGUAUCAAAAUGCACUAAGAAUAGAGGACAUAUUGUUCAUUAAUUAACUUGAAAAGCAAACAAAAUAUGAUUGUGCUUCCUCUAUUCACAGAGGAUUAAAACAUGAAUUUGACCAAAAAAACGAAGAACUUAAACUAUGUACCAAUUUUGGUAUGUAGUCGGUUUGGCAGAGAAUUUGAGUUGGUUUGGUAUGUAGGCAACUUAUCACAGACUGCUGGUGGUGGUAAACUCCGCGCUCGGAAAAUCGAGAAUUAAAUGCCAGCUUUAGGCUUAGAGGUAACUUUUGGUUCCUGUGGAUCCCUAAUUUAUGGUUUAGGAGGCUUCCAUUUUUUUCCUCCUCAAUAUCAUGGUCAUAGUCCAAUGCCCCUACAGCAAAUUGGCCCAAAUAAGUUUGCUACCCUUUGGCUCGCAACUGUGGGGCAAAAACCACCACAUUGUGCUAGGUUGAGCGUGUUCACCACUUCACCACUUGAGGAGGAGGAGCAUUCUGCUACCCCUCUUUGGGAGGGGAAGAAAGAUGAUUCUUCUUAUAGGAAGGGGAUGAAGAAGGAAUCUUGUUUUGUUCCCAACAUUGUAUUAGACAAUAGUCUUCAACUCGAGGUAGAGGAGCAUGUUCAUUUCUAUAUUGACGCUAUUGACGCAAAGACAGGAUACAAAUCAAGGACAGAUUUUAUUUCUAUCUUCAUGACAAUCCUCAUCUGGAAGAAGAACAAAAUCUAGUAGUACACAAGAAACUGCUGCAAAAAUCUGGUAGAGCUAAUCUGAAAGCAUCUAAGCUAAUUUGAUACAAACUGGAUGAGGUACUCAUCAAGUGUGGUGUAUUUAACAUCAGGAUAGAGCUCCGUUGCCUCCAUGCCAAAAGAAGCCUCGAUCUCAAAGUUGGCAAUUUCUCCCUUCACGAAAAAUGUGUAUGCCAAAGACAGGAGCAAUUUUAAUGGCAUUGAAGCCUCUGCGAAAGAUACAAGAAAAGAAAGCAAUUUGAUUAGAACGUGGAAUAGUAGAUGCUAUUGUAUUAAAAAUUAGCAACUUGUGCACUUUUUCUUAUUGUUAGAUGACCUUGAAUUUUCUUAAGAACUUCGUCCCCUGGAACGUAGAUCUUUUCGAGGGUCUUGCCAAUUUUCUUUCCCACAAUGAUACUAUUUCGUUGUAGGACAAGGCGUUGGCAGGGGGUGUAAUGUACACACUCUUGUUCGGAGUCCUUGGGUCAUCUGCUGCUUUGAUGGUGUAUGCAGCAAUGUCUUGGCAAUUGCGAAAGAGAAAGGUGGCCAAAGUCAAUUGAAUGUGCUUGUGAAACUACUCAUAUGGGAGAUUUAGCGGUAGGAUUUCGUCCCUGAAUCAGUGAUGACCAAACCUGAAGUAAGCGCUGAUGUUAAACAAAAUGUUGAAGCGAACAAAAAGAGCAUAAACUUAGCACUAAACGUUAAACAAUGUGCUAGAAAAAAAAAAUUAAAAGAACAACAUUAUUUUUGAGGGGAAAAUUUGUCAAAUCAUAUUUCACAUAAUCGAAUUGAUAGGCGUGUUCUCAACCCUGUUAAGGUAGCUCCUUUGGGGUAAAAUCAGAAAAGAAAAGAAAUGCAACAAGAACCUUCAAGUCUGGACUUUGGACUUCAAAAGGUGUUAUACAUACGAACUAAUUUCACUAACUGCUUCAUACACUUCAAAAUUAACUUAAUGAAGACUGCCUUCUCUUUUACUUAACCAGAGCAAGUUUGAUGGGGCCAACUAUAAAAAGGAAAUCUAAAUCGAUAUAUAAACACAUACUAUUUCGAGGAAUUGAGGGAGAUUGUAGCUAUUUCAUGAUAUGAUUUGAUACAAAUGUAAUAAGCAGUAGAACGGAAAAAGCAAACGAGAACUCAAUGAAAUAAAAGGAAAAGCUAGUAAGCAACCUGAGACUUAUAGAAGAGAUGAGUUAACUGAAUACCAAUUCAUGUUGAAAGCUGCAAAGAGUUGUCUCUUAGCUUCUCUUCUCUUAGAGGAACGUGCCUUCCCACCGACCAUCAAUCCACUGACCAAUGACAACUUGAGGGAUAUGAGAAAUUGUCUGAUAAUCUUCACUCCGUUUAUCCAAAUUCAGUACUUUGUGCAUUAGCUCAUCAGACAUUUCAUAAAACCCAAGAUAUUCAAGUCUGGUCAAGUUUUGGAUGCCCGAAGGCAACUCCUGCAUCAGUUUGCAAUCACCUAAGCGCAGACUUCUGAGACUAGGCAUUGAUUCCUCUUCCACUCUCACCCAUUUCAGUCUUGUUAAUUGCACAAGCUCUAAGUGCUGGAGUUUUUGAAAUCCUCCAACCUCGAAACACAGUGUCUCCCCUUCAUAAGCACGAUAGAGAGAAAGUGAUACCAGAUUGGGCAAAUGUCCGAGGGAGCCUAUUACAUUCUCAUCUUCUCUCAACCUACUAUUGUCCAACCAUAAGAUCCUCAAGGAUUGAAGUGAUGUCACCCAUUGUGGUACUCUCUCUAAACGCCCCUUCAAUAUCAGACGUGUGAGAAAUUCAAGCUUUGGAGAGACGGAAUGUUGGAGAUCAAGGAUCUCAUCUUCUUUACUACAGGAGAUGACCAAUUCUUGAAGGUAGGUCAGCCUCAAGAGGGAGGAGAGCAACUCCUUUCCAUCUUCUCUUCUCAGUUUUGUGAUCGAUAAUCGCCGCAGCUGCAUGAGGUUUCCAAUCUCCCUUACUAUUUUAUCACUAUCUGCUUCUAUAUUAGUCAGAUUUUCCAAGCAAAUAAGCUUUCCAAUUCCAAGUGGACAUUUACAGCCCCAGUUUGCAAACUCAUUUGAAUAAUCACCCCACCCGCCUAACCAAAGAGAAUGGAGUUUUCUUAGCUUUAGAAUUUCCACCGGCAACUCUGUUACAUUGGUUUCCAUCAGAGACAAAACUUCAAGGUUUUGAAGCUUCCCAAUAGAUUUUGGAAUAAUUCUAACUCCAGUUCCAUUGAGACUAAGAUACCUGAGAUGAAAUAGUUUGAAGACUUGCUUUGGGAUGUUGUCCAAUUUAGCUCCAUCCAAUUGCAACACCUUUAGCAACUUAGGAUCACCAUGUAAAAACUUGGAUAAAAAUGUAGUUGUGAGAGGAUCUUCAUACCCAAAUAUUACCACAGAUCGAAGACAGUUUAAGCUACUAAAUUCUUGUGGAUUAUCAGUGAAGUUGUGGAUUGCUAGGUGUCGAACUUUUUCAGGCCAUCUUGUGUAAUAUUUGGUGGCUACAGUCGUGAAGUCCUGCUCUUUGGAUUUUGAAACAAGGAUUUCACGCAGAAAAUCGUGGAGACCACAUUUAUUCAAUCUGCCAUCGUCCCACGUGGAUUUAACUUGGAUUAAGCUUCUGUUGAUGAGUUCUUUCAUACAUCUCAUAGCAAUGUCGGUGGAUGUUAUUCCUUCUUUCUCUUCUACAAAUCCUAGUGCAAUCCAUUUCAAAAGUAUAUCAUCCACAUCAAUUGGAUAAUCUUCAGGGUAGAUGCUUAGAUAUAAUAGGCAGCUUUUAAGAUAGUGAGGCAAAUCAUUGUAGCUAAGUAAGAGCACCCUUUUGAUUCUGUCAAGCUUACCACUGCCAUCUGCCUCACCACCAAAACCAUGAAGAAUCACCUCCCAUUCAUCUGUCUUUUCCUUGUCCUUCAGAGCCAAAACACCACCUAUUGCAACAAUUGCAAGCGGUAGGCCCUCACAUUUUUUCAGUAUUUUUUUAGCAACUUCUUCUACAUUUGGAGGACAGUCAUUGCACUGAAAUGUUCGAUUGCAAAACAGAGUCCAAGACUCUCUAUCAGAAAGAGGCUCCAUCCUAUAGACGAAGUCAAGUGAUCCUAAACAGGACGCAGAAGCUACAUCGGCUAUUCGUGUUGUCAAUACAACACGACUAGCAGUAUUGCAGUCAGGCAAUACACAUUUGAUAGCUUCCCAGGCAUCUAUACUCCACACAUCAUCAAGGACAAGAAUGUACCUUCUUUCUUGGAGGAAGUCUCUGACAAAUUCACUCAGCAUCAGAACAUCCAUGGAUUCCACUUGGCGAGGGACCGGCUGUCUGAUUUCGUUGUACAAAUAUUGGAUCAGGUUCUUGAUGAUGUCCCUGAACUGAAAAUUUCGAGAAACAGUUAUCCAGGCAUGGCUCUGAAAUUGUUUCUUCACUGCAGCGUCAUCGUAGACUUUUUUCACCAGGGUAGUCUUGCCGAGUCCCCCCAUUCCCACAACUGAAACUACUUUCAAUUGGGAAUGGUCAUCAAGGAUUUUUGAGAUGAGCUCUGCUUUUGGCUUAUCAAUCCCAACAAGUUGAGCUUCUUCAAUGAAGAGUGAUUGAGCACGAAUGUCAAAAUCUGCAUUUGCCUGUCGGGAAGAGCUGAAGCCUCUGUCUUGAGUACCAUAUAGGGCUUGGUACCUCUGAUGCCUUGCUGAAAUCUCUCCAACCCUGGCCUUGAUGUCUUUUAUCUCCAAAAAAAUUUGAUGGCGAGCUUUCAGAUUCUUUAUUGAGUUAUAGAUCUUUCCAGCCUUGCCACAGAAUCCGUCCUUGUAGCCACGAGCAAAGCGGAAGGUAAAAUCAUCGAGAACAUCCUCUGUAUCAUAAGCAACUUCUCGAACCUGCUUUAGCCAUUCUUGGAGUUGAGAAUCAUUGUCUUCCUUUGCUUCAGCUUCUCUGAGGAAAGACUUCAUGCUCCCGAGUUCAUCUUUGAUGAAUUGAACAUCUGAUUUAAGCCCCCCCAAAAGUGUGAUCUCUUGGGAAAGCAAGGUUGAGAGCUGGUUAAUCAAAAAACCUACAACACUCUCUGCCAUAAUGCCAAGUCAAAUUUCUCAAGAAUCAGUUUUCUUAUCAAAAAAAUUUUGAGAGUUGUUCCAAAUUUCAGAAACUAUGCUGUUUUUCUUUUUCUUUCUUUCUUUUGUGGUAAAGAGGAUGCGGUUUAUAUGAGCUAGCAAAUUCUAGAAUUAUAUGAAUUUGAAAGAAUAGCUGUUCAAGAAUGAUAUUAAUUUGGGAACGUAUGCUUUUUUUUCCCUAAACAAGGAGUCCUAUUUGGCAUUUUGGUAGUACAUAUCAAAAGUUAUUGUAGUCAAAAAGUGAGAUGUCAGUCUACUCAAAAGAAAAAGUAUACAGAGCAUAACCUAAAAAAAUAGGUAAAGAAUAACUAUUCUCUUGGGCUAAGAAAGGCAUAGAGAAAAUUUUGGAUUUCUUUUGAUUGUUUAAAUUGGAAAGGAAGGCAUUUGUCAUGUGGAAUCUAACAAUCUUCAGAUAAUGUUCAGCUCCCUUCUAAUGUUUUCUUAAUUUGCUCCAAAAAGAAAUGGCUAGCUAUGAUUCUAAGUAAAACUAAUAGAUAGGAAAAAAAAAAUAUGUUGUCCCUAAGAUCCAACUUACUUUGGUAUGGAUGAUAAUCACGUAAAGGUAAAAGCCUUGAUUUGUCUCUUAUGCCCGAAGAUCGUUCUUGAAAUUGACACUUUGGUAAAACUUGCAAAGUAACAUAAAUUCAUUGUAACGAAACAAAGAAAGAUUUGCCUACCUGCAACGAAAGCAUAUUGAGCAUAACCUAAGAAAUGGGCCAAGUUUAUUAGAAUACACAUAUUCUCAUGCUAAGAAAGGCAAUGACAAAAUUUUGAUUAGUUAAGUUGGAAAGCAAGGUAUUUGUCAUAGUCAAUCUAACAAUAUUCUUGAGAAAUGUUCAACUCCCCUUCUAUGUUGUUUUGAUUGGCUUCCAAACGUGUAGCUAAUAUGCUAAAUAAAACCGGCUGAAAAGAAAAAGUUGACAUGAAAAGACGAUCUACAAAUUAUAAGGAUUUUAGCAUGAUAAUAACCACAUCAUAUUUCAUUUCAAAUGCCAAUGGAGAUUGGAAACUGAAAUAUUUGGAGUGUAUUUAGUAAAACAUCUAUAGGCAGUUGCAAAAAAACUUGUAUACAAGAACGUGCUUUUUUGCAGAAAGUCCCCCCCCCCUCUCUCUCUAUUUCAUAUAUAAUCACAUAACCAUAUAAAUCUAUAUAGUUUUAUAUAAAAUGGAAAUUGAGAAGAAAAUAACUCCAAUCAUAACAAAUGACCUAAACGCGCUCCAGGAACACGUGUAAUGAAGUUAUAAUAUUUACUUAAUCCUUCUAUUAUUUCAUAUAUAUCUACAAAAUUUCCCAAGAAUUUUAUGAAAAGUUGUUCCUCCCCUUUUCCCCCUUCCCUCCCCCAAUAUUUUGUUUGGUACCUAAGUAAGGGCAAUACAAACAUUUCAAAUAACGAUUGUAGGAAGACUCCUUUAUGUCAAAUUUUCACUUUAUAUAAAAUUAUAGUAGAGAUUAUGUGAAUAUUUUGAAAGGUUAAACUUCAUAGUUUUUUUUUUUCCGGGUCUGAAGGCUACCUCCCCCAGGCUGGACAGACUUUUGGCCCAAAGAUACCCAACAAUGGUAGCGCAUGGAAAUCGAAUCUAGGACCUUGCUGUAAUUACAGACGACCAGUCCCAACCGACCUACCCACCAGAGGCAGGUGCAUAGUUUUUUACCCUGUAUGCUAAUUAUGGAUCUUGUUUUUGCACUGCAGCAUUAUGACAGCCAAGUUAUAAGAUAGAUUUUUUUCUUGUUCGGCUGAAAAGUACUGUCAAGAAACUAGCUUCAAACAUCUGUUUCAUAUUUCACACCACUCCAUCCCACUCUCGUUGCUCCAUCUCUCUUAAAAGCCUCAAUGUCCACCGAUCACGAAAAUUGCAUAUUCAAAAGUCCGAAAGUGUUCAAAGCCACAUUUAUCAUAACCACCAGUGUAAGACUUCAACAGGUAAAGGCAUUUGCCUGAGCCCAUCUACCAUAAACGUUUGCAAGCAACUUGCAAUGGAGUUUCUUUUCCUUUUUUAAAAAAAUGUGAUGCAGUAUAUGAGCAAAGUACUAGAAAUAUGGCACAAUUAUCACAAAUAAACAGCAUGCUUUUCGUUUAUAUAAUAUGAACUGUUAGUUACAUGUAGUUUCUUAGCUAUCUUAAUUUUUUCUUGGUAUAAUAGAUUUGCAAGUUAAUUUUUUUUUUUGUUUAUUUGUGUGUUUUUCUAUUUAUUUUGGUAGACUUUGGACCCCAACUUCUACUAAGGUUAUGAAGUGGUGUCUUUGAGUUCAAUAACACAUCAACAUGCAUCAACGAGCAUUCUGCAAGUAAGAAGAAAACUUGAUUAAUCACUUAAUCUUAUAUUAGUUUGACAAGGCACAGAAUCUGCAAAAUAAUGAUGACAUCGACCUACAAGUUGCUAAAGAUUAAAAAAAAAAAAAAUUGAAUGAAGUUGCUUUUGAAGAAAUGGACUAUGAGAUUGUGGUCAUGGGUUAGUUGUGCCUGUCAAUGGAUUAAACCAAUUUGAUUUUUGUCAGUUGUUCUAUAUUUGCCUAAAAUCACAAAUUUUAUGGAGAAGAUUUUUUUUUUUUGUCAAAAUAUUAAGGAUCUUUUUGGUACGCAAGCUAAACAUUAGGAAUCAAAACUGCGUUUCUUCCUUAUUUCACUAUCUCUUCUUUGAUUUUCUCAAAAGAAUAAACCUUUUGAAUUGAUUUUUUAAACAAUGGUGAACAUACUUCUUGAACUUGCUUUUUCUUUCUUUACAUGCGAAGAAAGAACUUCAUUUAAAAAUGGAAAGAAGAGAAAUGUUUGAAUAACUUCUAUUCAUGUCAGGCUUAAAUUCUUUUCAUCAAUUUUCUGAACUACCAAUCUCAGUUAAAAAGAAAAGGUUUCUUCAAUGAAGAACCCUACUAAAACUUGCGUACCUAUAGCCUCAAAAGUAAUCAAACGAAAUCUUCUUAUCGUAAUCAUGACUUAAGAUGCACAGAAAGAAACCCAAGAAUCACGAACGCAUGAACACAUUGUAAAUCCCAACUAAUCAAAAUCUGGUAGAGUUUUAACUACAGGUUCAAUACUUACAAUGCAAACAAUAAGAAGAACCUAAAAACAACCCUUCAUAUUGUGUGACAAGGUGGUACCUAUUGGAGUUCUCUCAAUAGCAACAAAUGAGAGAAGGAAAGUUGAAACCAUUCUUUCCCAAAUUUGGAGUUUUCAAAAGGCAAAUAAUAUUAGCAUUCCCAAAAAAAAGGUCUCGCGCACUCUUUCUCUUCUUUUUACUAUGUAAAAAGGCAAUAUUGUCCAUUUAUCGGUUGUGUCUAUUCGUUAACUACUGCAAUUGCCCUAAAGCUUCACAGUUGCUAUAAAAGAGUUCCUUUGCCUCUUUCUUCACUACCAAAACCGUUCUUUCCCUACCAUUGUACAUUUUCUAGCAAUGGCAAAAGAUUAAAAUUGCAAGGGCCUACUAGAUCACAUGAAACUGGAGGAAAUCAAUGAUAUUUGAAAACCACAAGUCUGGAAGAAUUCUUGAAUUUUGUCAAUUGCUUUUAUCUUCCAUAGGUAAUAUUUUUAAAGAUUGAUCUUUUUCAUUAUUUUGUUUGUUUUAUUAGAAACAUGAUGUUACAAGUUUGAACAUAACAAUUCAAUAUUUUGAUUAGAGAUUUUUUUUUUGGAUAGUUUAAGUUAUUAAAAAUAAUAUAUUUGUAGAAAAGAGGACAAUUUGCAGUAGUAUGCCAAUAUACUGGCUUUUUUUGGAUUGCCAUUCUCUGGACAAAAUUUUCAUGUUUUUUGGGAAUAUUUCCUUGAUACAUUUUUCAAUGAACUUUUUAUUUUAUAUAUAUCAUAUCUAAAAAAGUAUUACAAUAUACCCUUCCAAAAAAUGCAAUCCAAACAAUAUACUUCCAUGAUCAAUCAUAGUAGUAUUGCGAUUAGAACCUUUUUUUUUACAAUUAGAAUAAAAAACUAAAAAAGAAAAAUAGAACCUAGACAAGAAAAUCAAUUAUGUGACUUGACUUUCAAGAUUACUUGAAAUAAUUCUAAUCUAGGUGAAGAUAACUUGUAGUAUUUUGGGUACUUUUUUUCAAAGGUCAAAAGGCUGUUUUGGUACAAAGGAAUAUGAGUACUAAACUAUAGGUUUAAAUUUAAUUUCAUUUAAAUCAAAAGACGGAAAGGACUUAGGCCUGUCAAUUGGACCAUUUGAAUCGAUGUUUAACAAACUCAGGUUCGCUUUUAUAGUUAGUAGUUAGUACCACUUUUGGAUUUCGAAUUAUGAGUUUUGGAUUGAUAAAUAUGAAACUCGUACUUGACUCACAAAAUAUUCAAAUUGUGAGUUUAAUUCGGAUUUAACUCAAACUCACUUAUAACUCCUUAAUUUCCUUAAUGUAAUUACUAUAAUUAUUAAGUUUUAAACUAAUUUAAUAUCCAUAGGACCACAACAUUAAAACUAUACAAGAAUCGGUAACAACUCAUUAAAAAGUAUAUAAACCAAGAAUUUUUCAACAAUAAUAUAUCCAAUUAAUUCAAUGUACAUGGAAAAUAGAAAUAAAACAUGAUCAAUAGUUAAUAUAUCUUCAAAGGUCCUCAAUUUGCUCAUACUAAGAUUUGUCCUUCUAAAUCUUUUGACAUAAUUUUGUAUAUGUAAUAGUCGUGUAUAUAUAUAUAUAUUAAUAUAUUUUGACAAAUAACUCAUAAGUAUUAGUAUUAUAUAAUUAGAUAUAUAAUUAUAUAUAUCAAAGUAUGAAUAUUAUAUACAUAUAUAUAUAUAUGCAUAUUAAAGGGUCGAGCCUAUAUCGGGUUUGCCCCUAAUAAGGCCCAAACUCUACUCAAAUUUAAUUUGGAACUAAUAUUUAGAUCCGAUUUCAAUCCAAUUCAAUGACAGUUAGACUCAUUAGACUUUUUCUCGGAGCCGAGUUCAAACUGACUAAGCCCCAUUGAUAGUCCUAGAAGGAUUGCCUCAGAUUUUCAUGCUAAUCCGUUUCCCUCUCAAAAUGAGUAAGAAAGGGGUAAAACAAUAAUUACAUAUAUAAUACUAAGUUUGAGGCCAAGUAUACCAAAGGGAAGAAGUACAUGAGACAUUAGUGGCAUGAAUAAAUAAAGUAAAAAAUAAAAAAGUUUGAUUAGAAUUGCUAGUACCAAUUUAAGACGAUUGCGUUGUGAUUCGCGUCUUAUUUUGUCCUAAUACCCUCAAUAUCACUAUGUGAAAACUUAAGCAACUAAAAUGAUUAAAAUCUCAAUCCAAAAGUACAAAGUCAAAAUUGUUAAAUAACAAUAAUUAAAUUUUGACUAUUAGUCAUUGUUGAGUUUUCGUCAUUGUAGAAUGUACCUACUACCAAAAACUUUGAGAACCAAAUUUAUUUUGAUCAGAACAUUAAAGACUAAUUUAGCACUUAAUCUAAAAAUUGGAGACUAAAACUAUAAUUCUCCCUUUUUCCAAAAGAAAAAUCUACACCUUUUUUUGGUUUUAUUUUUGGCACACAUGUGAUUUUUUUCACCUUUGAUACCACAUAAUGGUCCAAACCGACUGACAUCGGUUAAUAGAUUCAAUUGUCAAAAUGACUUUGUAAAUUGUGAGGCUGGUAAUAUGUAGAAAAAUUUUGUUUGUUAGAAUUUGGGUAAAAGGAUAGUGCAUUUGGUAAAAUUAAAGUUUGAAAAUUGAAGUUUGAAGUCUGAAUUCCAUUAAAUUAAGUUGUUGAAUUGUUAAGUAUUAACUCCUAUUUAAUAACUCAAUUUAACACUUAAAGUUAAUGGAUUUAGAUAUAAACAUGUUCAAACGCAUUUGAUAACCAAAAAAUUGUACAUCUGAAUUAAUUAAAUGACACUGAAUUUUCUAGGCAAAAUUGGGUUCGAAAAAUAAAAUGACACUAAAUUUCCAGGUAAAACUUGCUCCAAAAAAUAGGUGAUAAGUUAUUCAUUUAUCACUUAAUGUGAUAUACAUUCAAAUGUAUUACAUUUAGUACUUAACAAUUCAAUAAAUUAAUAGAUUCAGACUUUAAAUUUAAUAUUUCAUUUUGAUAUACACUCAAAUGUGUCACAUUUAGUACUUCGCAAUUUAAUAGCUUAUCUGAUUCAGACUUCAAAUUUAAUAUUUCAAGUUUUGCGAAAAAAAUUCAAUGCCACUUAGUUAAUUUAGACAUUCUAUUUUUGGUUAUCAAAUACAUCUGAAGAUGUUCAGAUCUGAAUCCAUUAAGUUUAAGUGUUAAAUUGGAUUAUCAAACAAGGCCUAAAUCAUUUAGUAUAAAUCACAUUUUAUCAGUAAAGUAAGUGGAAGAACUAGGGUAUAAAUCCUCAUUUGCCAUACAAAAGAGGGGGCGAAAUAUAAAUAUAAAUAUCCUUUGCCAUACAGAUUGCAAUUCAUUAACUCAAUAAUACUGGGAAUGAAACACCGAUAGACUCAAAAGAGUGGCUGAAAAAUUUGUGACAGCAAAAACAGAAGAAAAAGCAAAAGAAUUGGAACUGAAAACCAAGGAGUAGCUGAAGCCCUGGGAGCAGCACUCUGUUGUGAUCAACAUUCCUCGUUUUGACUACAACGCCUCUUCUUCUCUCCUGAGUCAUUCCCACUCCGGAUUCCUCAUCACCUGCCCCAUCAGUAAGGCCUCUCAUCCCAUCUCUUCUGUCCAGAAAGUUAUGUUUUUUUUGUUAUUUUUGUACUUUAUUGGCAUUUAUUUAUGUAAUUUGCUUCUGGGUUUUUGAAAAUUUUCAAUUUGAUUGUUUGGGAUAGUCCGGGCAGUGUGGUGAUUGAUAAAAAUGCUUCCUUUGUUAUGUAGAGAGGGAGAAAAGUGCAACAAAAGAAGCCAUGUCAAUUUUUGAAAAAGGUAAUGAAUUCUGCUGGUUUUGUCUCUUGUCAGUUCUUUGGAAUAAUGUCACAAUAAGGAAAUUUUAGACAUAAAGAAAAUUCAUGCUGACUUCAGAAUCAGGACAGUUAAAUUGGUUUAGUGAACUUGGUUUUAUGGGAUUCUUAGAUUCUGGGCAAGGUUGGGAACUUGGGGUUUUUGUAAGUGAAUAAGACUGUAGCGGGCUUGAAUUACCUGUGUAAUGUGUUUGCAGCUGUAAUUGUUUUGGUUUAAGAUGAAGAGUAGCAAUUUUAUGGAAUAGAUGUUUGAAUGAUUAAGCAUAAGUAAACAGCAAAUGGGAUGGCAACAAAUUGAUAAACUGAUGAAGUUUGGAGAACUGGGUGAGCUAUGCAGAAGGUAGGCACAGGCAUGUUGUGUUGUUCAAAUGCAAUAGGUGUUGAUGGGGGAAAAACAAACAAACUAAAGUUGUUUACCGUUUUAAACGUGAUAACUUUUUGGAAAUGAAGUGUAAUCCUAAUGGUCUUCAUUUGUGAGAAUAAUGGCAAAAUUAUGCACGCAACAUUAUUUCCAUCUGUUGAACUUAGUCUAGGAAAAACAUUGAUGAUUUUUGGGUUCUAAACUUGAUUAAGAUUUCAGUUUGCAGACAAACAGAAGGAUAAGAUGUCAAUUAUCCUGCCGAUAGGUUUUUAACAUCUGAGUCUAGUAGCUGGCUUCAAAUUUUUUUUCAUAUGCUCUUCCACUUCAUCCAUUUAUUUGUAGCCUGUGCAUUUUUGGGUCACAGAUUAGUAUGGUUUAGUCCUUGUUUACAAGUCUUAUUCAAUAUGUUUUGCUUACACACUGUCAUUUGUCACUUGGUUCAAUCAAGUGACUGCUUAAGUCUGCUGUGCCUUCUUGAGUAAAUGACAUGAUCCGACAUCCAAAAUGCAGCACUGGUUAAUCACUCACAGCUUUCCAGAAUAUAUAUAUAUAUAUAUAUAUGACUUACCAAUUUCCUUGAAUUUGAAGAGGCUUAUGGAUACAUAGUAACCUUAGCUUAAGCUUGAGUACAUAACUGAUACAGGUUAAGCACAAAUUCACCUUACUAAUAUGGAACCUUUGCAUUGUUUUCUUUGAAAAUAAAUCAUAAACAAUAGAUAGAAGAUAUGCAAUAUUUUCUGCCGUAAGAAAAUUUUUUUAAAUAUAAAAGCAAUUUAAUAAGUGUAUCGUUAUAUUUCUCUAAAGAAUGACAUGGUCUUAAGUGAUCAUAUUUCUGGAAGGAGAAGACCAUUAGUCCAAUUUUGUUCGGCAUUUGAGACAUCAGAUAUUAUAUGCAUGAAAUAUAUAGCUGAUUGCCAAUCACCUAUUUUGAGUUCUCAAGAAAUAGAUAUAUAAGCUUCAGUUUGCUUUUAAUAUCAAAAAGGCAUUCUCCAUUGCAGCAGCUUUAGAUAAUUGUCUUUCAUUCAUACCUAAAGGGACUUGUAUAGGCAUGAGAUGUUGCACUCUUCUAGGGCCCAAAUAAUAAGUGGACAAUUUAGAGUUAGUUUAAAAUCUUGUGGCAGACAACUUGUUUGGAAUUGUUUUUGGAUAUAUUUACACCAGAGGCCAAGCGUUGCUGAGGCUUAUCACUAUGUGAAAGAAAUGAAUGAGUUUCAGUUAUAUUUGAAGUCCUCUCCAAAGCCUGUAUCGUUUUUAUUUCUUGGACCUCUCUCGUUGCAAAGGGAAGACAAAUGAUAAACCAACUUGGAGAAUGGGGAGGUGUGCAUCUAGUGCUUGCAAGAUUCUAUUCCUUUGACUUCACGGAGUUUUUAUAAAAGCUGUGUGUGCUGAAUGUUUUCUUAGGGCUUCAAACUGAUGUUGAUAUAUUGAUACAUUAUGCGUUCCAUUCGUUUUUUAUGAAUGCCAUCAAUAUUCACGACUGAUGCAACCAAUGAAGAGUUUAAGGGAAGAGUAAAUUUUAAUAUUCUUGGGAACUUGGCUGAAGAUCCAAUUUACCCACUUUGAAGAAUGGGUAAUCUUUUUAGGAUCUAGAUUAUUUAAUAAAAAUUUAAAUUCUACAUAUUUCAGUAGACUUAAAAUUUAUGGUCCUUUAGUAGCUUAUGGGUAUUGGGUAAACUGACAGUGGAGGACACUUCGGCCAUUGUUUGAGACCAUAGGCUUAUUCGUUGACUUUGUUGGAAGGGCUUUUAAUUGGAAUGUUGGGAUUCAUCACCUCAAUUUCCUGUCAUAAGAUAUUCUGGUCCCCAGGGCUGAGCUGAAGCCCAGUACAUAUUGCAUGUACUAUUGUACACACACCCCACAGACCCAGGUUUGUUAGGCCAUCCAUGAAGGAGUUAUUUAAGUUAUUCACUGGUGAAUUUUUUAUGCAUCUUUGUCUUGGAAGUGAUGUCCUAAACCUUUGUGUCAUAUGUGGCUUUCUUCCUGACAUUUUACUCUCAUCUUCCAUUGCAUGUGGUAGUUUCUUUUCCCGUCCUUGAAUAUACACCAAUGUGAAAGUAAGAGUUCAACCUGUCCUCCCCACUGUCAAAUAACAUUCAGUGUUAAAAGCUUGUGUUCAAAUUUUGUGUGAAUGAGUUUGCUGCUAUUAGUUAAAAGAGUUCAGGACGUUUUUACUGAGUCAGAAGCUAUUUUAGUGUACUUCUAAUGGAUUUCAAAAGCUGGGGAAGUGCUUUGUUAUCUGGAAGCAUGCUCUAUGUUGUUGGAAUAUUGAGUUGCUGAAUUUGUGCACUAAAUAGGGCUCUAGGAUACAAUCAGUGCAGAAAAUUAGAACAGAAGUAGGGAAGAAGAAAUUUAGAAACCGUUGCGUCCAUGGGGAUACUAUUUUGUACCAGUUCUCCUUUUCAAACUGCCAACAUAGAGAUCUGAUACAUCACUCCUACAGUGGACAACCUUGCAUAUUCUCCAAAUCUCAUGUUAUUUUCAUAUGCAUCAAUAACUAUCUGUAUUCUUCUACUUCCAUCAGUUGCAGCUAUAGAAGACUUUUAUAUCCUGAUUGCUGAUUGAAACCUGAAGAAUUCCAUGAGAACAGAAAUAUCUGCUACCAAAUCGAACUAUUGACUUUUAAAGAUGAGAAUCCCUCUGAAUCCUCCUAUGGAGAUAAUAGAAUUAUGUGUCAAAUAUAGAUAAUCUUUUCUUACUGGCUAUUCUAUGUAAACUGUUUCCUCUUGGAAAAUAGUGGAGAAAUGAAGUGAGUCUGGCUAGCUGGUGGUGAUCUAUUGUCAUUCUUUACUUUUUCUUUUCAUUAAUUUUUUUUCAAAACUUGAUUGACUUUUAGCACUUCUGAUCUUAGAAGAAUGCUUCUUUCUACAACUUUUUUGCUAACCCGGUUCUAUCUUGAUAGCUGUAUUAAUUUAUGAAAUCUUGGUUAAAAGAGUGACAAUUAGCACAAGGAUAAUCAGAAAUUUAUGGUACAACAGAUGGUCCGGGGGCAGAAUACUCGAGUUUGGGAGCAAUUCUGACAUAAUUGUUUGAUAUGAUUAUUAGUAGAGAAAUUGCAGUUUAAUGAAAUGUAAUUCUUGAAGAUAAUAGCCUAUGGCUUUUAUAUACUUAUGCUACUGAACUUGUGCAGAAUCAGCAUGCAUGAUAUUUCUUCACCAUCUUUUCUUUUUUCUUUUUCUUUUUUUUAUAGAUGAUCUGAUUGAUUCAUCCAAUUUCAUAUAUCUGAACUAUCUCAAUGGGAAACCUGCUUGCAUCUAAAAGGUGUAAAGUGUAGAAAUCAGCUUGGUGUCUUGUUACCUGUAAUUGCAGUACAUUUUCUUACAUACCUUGUUGUGUAUGUAAAACUAAAUAAGUUAAUUCAAGUUGCGUUUAUGUUCUGUGAGAUGUUGACCAGUUGUACGAUUAAAUAUGCUUUGCAGUAUGUCAGAUCUUUGAGUAUUCUAAAUGCUGAAGGUUCUGAAAGUUUGGAUGAGAAUAUGUCAGCUAAGAAGAGGAGAAUAUCUGUAAGUACAGAGGAGGAACUUGGCAACAGUUUGGAGAGGAAAGAUGCGGCCGACGACUUUGGAGAACCUGGUAAUAGUUUAAGUCUGGUAUUUUAGUUUAUACACAUGCUCGUACAGAUAAAUUAACAUGUAUGACGACCCGCAAAUCUACAAAAAAAAUGAAUAGGGUGGGGAUUUGUCUGUAAGAACAGGUAAUACGACUUGUAUGCAUGAAAAAAUAAGAACAAGUUUAUUAAAACAACUAGAGCCAGAAUCUAAUGGAAGAUUCUGAAGUUUUUUUGUCAGUGGCUGUUUGGCUUCUUUACCUUUUGGUUCUGAGCCAGAGACUCCACGACUAGAGCAAAUUUUGCACCAUGGCAUGUCCUGCUUGGCAUGGUUAUAUUUUUCAUGGCAAUAUUGAGUGCUGUGACCGGCUUGAUUGAGAAAUUCAUCUUCACGGGCUUAGGAAGAGGGCAAGAAGCAUUGAUGGUCAACUUCACUGUCCUGCUCAUCCUCCUCUUUGGAGUAUCUGUUGGUUUCACUGUUCUUCUUCCAAGAAGUUAUUAAAGAAGUAGUCAUUGGAAAAUCUUGUAAUGUUUGGUUAUGCUUAUAUAUAGUUUGGCCCAAUAUUGCAGCUAGACUAAACAUUUUGUAGAGUAAUGAUUCCCAUGUUUGUUACAAGUGUUCCGAGUAUUUGAAUAGUUUAUUUGGUCAAAUAGUUCUUUUAAAACCUGCAUUUUAUGCAUGAGAUUUGUGACAUUGGCAUAUGAACUUUUUUGGGACUAUUGGAGCAGGAAAAUGGCCAUCAUUUGUGUGUACUAGUACUAAAAAUGGGCUCAGUUUUGGACUAAACGAAAACUAUAUGUGCAGGUUUGAAAAUAAGCUACAAGCUAGUAGAUCAAGUUGAUGGUUUGAACAACAAAAUCUUGCCCCCUUCAAUCUGCAAUUUGGCUAUGUCAAAUCAGUAAAACUGUCAAGUUAAUUCUGAAAAUUUCUUAAAGCUCUAUAAAAAUGCUGGUAUACAAUAAUCAGUUUGUGUACUGGUCAGUGAAAACUCAGGUCUCAAAGAGCUCAAUCAGAUGAGCAGAACUAUGCCUGUGUAUCUCAAUACAUGACAAAAAUUUAUUGUGUGUUUCAUAGAGUUAAUUGAAAAGUAUGAGUAUUUUGCUAAGUAUUUUUGAAAUCUAGGAAAUAUGGAGUUUUUUGUAUGAUACGUGAGAACGAGUCUUAUAUAAGUACAUUACAAAUGCCUGCUAACUAGGACUAAGAGAAAACAAAAUGAACAAACUAAUAUCUUCAAAUCAUUUGCCCGUAUUACAUCCCUUCUUUCUUCAAGUAUACUCUACCAGAAAAAAAUCAAUUCAGAUUAAUAUCCUACCCCUAUUUUUUUCCACUAAUUGCCCAAAUAAAUUAUUGUGGAUAUAACAAAAUGGUUGAUUAUUGUAGAAUAUAAUAAGAUGUUUCCACGACUUGUAAAACCUACCAAAGAAAUCCAUAUUCUAAAUUUCAAAUUUUUGCCUACUAAGCAUUUCAUCAUACUAAAAGAAAAAAUCACUAGGCAUUUCAUCAUACGGAGGGUGCUAUAUUUGUUCAUAUUACUCGACAAUCAAGAUUAACAUGAUAGUUUUUUGUAGUCAAUUAGAUCUUUGUACAAAUUGCUAUGUAUUAAAAGUAGAGGAAAAAAUGAGGUAAAGAACUAGUUUUGUACCAUGGAAGUUUGCGUGCAUUAAGCAUAUAAUUCAAAAAUGUGUUUACUCAGAAAUAUAAAAUUACUUGUUACAAAAACUCAAAAGAUUCCCAUAUAUAUUAAACACAUCCCGCCCAAAUUACCUUUGGUCAUGGACAGCCGAUUGAAGUUUGGGAUCAUUUGCCACCAUUACCCUCAUUUGUGCAUUAGCUCAACAGAUAUAUUAUAGAGUGCAACUCUUCCAUCAGUUUUACAUGGCCUGUGGUGUCUAAUCGCAUGAAAUGAAACAUGUUCAUUGCAACCCUGUCAAGUUUCUGUGUUGUGAUAAUGACAGAGAAUUGCUUAGAGUUAUUUACUUCAAAAAUCGAGGGAGGAUUCAAAUUCAAUUUUGGAAAACAUCGAUCCCAGCAUUAAUGGCGUGUUCUCAAUCACAUUGCUUGGCCCUUUGGGGUAAAAUCAGAUGAAGAUCUUACAUCAUGAUGAAAUGGAGUUUAUACAUUUCAAGUCCAAGAACACAAGCGCCAUAACAAGUAUAGUUGGCCGUUGUUGCAGAAGUACUACAACAAGUACAGCUAAAACAAACGACCAAAGGAAACAACAAUUUGCAACCAAAAACAAAACAUAUCAAACACAGGAAGAACGAAGAGAAAUGCCAAAGGUGAUGAAGGCAAAAACUCAAAAGACCACGUAAAUACCAAGACAUGAAAAGGAAUGAUCAUAAUUUCCAAGAGGAUUGAAAAAGUAGAAGCCAUGAGAACUCCUUACUUUUGCGAAAUCCCUUAUUUUGCCAUGACAACCUUCAAGUCUGGACUUUGGACUUCAAAAGGUGUUAUACAUCCAAGCUAAUUUCACUAACUGCUUCAUUACACUUCAAAAUUAACUUAAUGAAGACUGCCUUCUCUGUUUUACUUAACCAGAGCAAGUUUGAUGGAGCCAACUAUAAAAAACUAUUUCGAGGAAUUGAAGGUGAUUGUAGCUAUUUCAUGAUAUGAUUUGAUACAAAUGUAGUAAGCAGUAGAAAGGAAAAAGUAAACGAGAACUCAAUGAAAUAAGGGAAAAGCUAGUAAGCAACCUGAGACUUAUAGAAGAGAUGAGUUGACUGAAUAUCAAUUAAUGUUGAAAGCUGCAAAGAGUUGUCUCUUAGCUUCUCUUCUCUUAGAGGAACGUGCCUUCCCAAUGACCAUCAAUCCAGUGACCAGUGAAAACUUGAGGGAUAUGAGAAAUUGUCUGAUAAUCUUCACUUUGUUGAUCUAAAUUUUGUACUUUCUGCAUUAGCUCAUCAGACAUAUCAAAGAACCCAAGAAAUUGAAGUCCGGUCAAGUUUUGGAUGCCUGAAGGCAACUCCUGCAUCAGUUUACAACCCAUUAAUUGCAGAUUUCUGAGAGUAGCCAUUGAUUCCUCUUCCACUCACCCAUUUCAGUCUUGUUAAUGGCACAAGCUCUAAGUGCUGGAGUUUUUGAAAUCCUCCAACCUCGAAACACAGUGUCUCCCCUUCAUAAGCACGAUAGAGAGUAAGUGAUACCAGAUUGGGCAAAUGUCCGAGGGAGCCUGUUACAUUCUCAUCUUCUUUCUGUUACAUUCUCAUCUUCUUUCAACCUACUAUUGUCCAACUGUAAGAUUCUCAAGGAUUGAAGUGAUGUCACCCAUUGCGGUACUCUCUCUAAACGCCCCUUCAACAACAGAGAUGUGAGGAAUCCAAGUUUUGGAGAGACGGAAUGUUGGAGAUCAAGGAUCUCAUCUUCUUUAAUACAGGAGAUGACCAAUUUUCGAAGGUUGGUCAGCCUCAAGAGGGAGGACAGCAACUCUUUUCCAUCUUCUCUUCUCAGCUUUGUGAUGGCUAAUCGUCGCAAUUGCGUUAGCUUUCCAAUCUCCCUUACUAUUUUAUCACUGUCUGCUUCUAUACCAAACAAAUCCUCCAAACAAACAAGCUUUCCAAUUCCAUCUGGAGAUUUGCAGCCCCAAACUGCAUACUCAUUUGAAUAAUCACCCACUCCACCUAAGCAAAGACAACGGAGUUUUCUUAGAUUUAGAAUAUCCGCAGGCAACUCUGUUACAUUCGUUCCUAUCAGAUCUAUAACUUCAAGGUUUUGAAGCUUCCCAAUAGAUUUUGGAAUAAUUUUAACUCCAGUUCCACUGAGAUUAAGAUACCUGAGAUGAAAUAGUUUGAAGACUUGCUUUGGGAUGUUGUCCAAUUCAGCUCCAUGCAAAUCCAACACCUUUAGCAACUUGGGAUCACCACUUAAGAACUCGGAUAAAAAUGUAGUUGUGAAAGGAUCUUCAUACCCAAAUAUUGCCACAGACCGAAGACACUUUAAGCCACUAAAUUCUUGUGGAUUAUCAGUGAAGUUGUGGAUUGCUAGGUGUCGAACUUUUGUAGGCCAUCUUGUGUAAUAUCUGGUGGCCACAGUCGUGAAGUCCUGCUCUUUGGAUUUUGAAACAAUGAUUUCACGUAGAAAAUCAUGGAGACCACAUGUUUCCAAUCUGCCAUCGGCAAAUGAGGAUUUAACUUGGAUUAAGCUUCUGUUGAUGAGUUCUUUCAUAUAUCUCAUAGCAAUAUCAGUGGAUGUUAUUCUUUCUUUCUCUUCUACAAAUCCUAGUGCAAUCCAUUUCAGAAGUAUAUCAUCCACAUCAAUUGGAUAAUCUUCAGGGUAGAUGCUUAGAUAUAAUACGCAGCUUUUAAGAUAGUAAGGCAAAUCAUUGUAGCUAAGUAAGAGUACCCUUUUAAUCCUGUCAAGCUUACCACUGCCAUCUGCCUCGCCGCCAAAACCAUGAAGAAUCAUCUCCCAUUCAUCUGUCUUUUCCAUGUCCUUUAGAGCCAAAACACCACCUAUUGCAACAAUUGCAAGCGGUAGGCCCUCACAUUUUUUCAAUAAUUUUUUAGCAACUUCUUCAAGAUUUGGAGGACAGUCAUUGCUCUGAAAUGUUCUAUUGCAAAAUAGAGUCCAAGACUCUUUAUCAGUAAGAGGCUUCAUCUUAUAGAUGAAGUCAAGUGAUCCUAAACAAGACGCAGAAGCUACAUCAGCUAUUCGUGUUGUCAACACAACACGACUAGUGAUAUUGCAGUCAGGCAAUACACAUUUGAUAGCUGCCCAGGCAUCUAUACUCCACACAUCAUCAAGGACAAUAAUGUACCUUCUUUCUUGGAGGAAGUCUUUGACAAAUUCACUCAGCGUAAGAACAUCCAUGGAUUCCACUUGGGGAGGGACCGGCUGUCUGAUUUCGUUUUACAAUUGUUGGAUCAGGUUCUUGAUGAUGACGCUGAACUGAAAAUUUUGAGAAACAGUUAUCCAGGCAUGGCUCUGAAAUUGUUUCUUCACUGCAGCAUCAUCGUAGACUUUUUUCACCAGGGUAGUCUUCUCGAGUCCCCCCAUUCCCACAACCGAAACCACUUUCAAUUGGGAAUGGUCAUUAAGGAUUUUUGAGAUGAGCUCUGCUUUUGGCUUAUCAAUCCCAACAAGUUGAGCUUCUUCAAUGAAGAGUGAUUGAGCACGAAUGUCAAAAUCUGCAUUCACCUGACGGGAAGAGCUGAAGCCCCUUUCUUGAGUACCAUAUAGGGACUGGUACCUCUGAUGCCUUGCUGAAAUCUCUCCAACUCUGGCCUUGAUGUCUUUUAUCUCCAAAGAAAUUUGAUGGCGAGCUUUCAGAUUCUUCAUUGAGUUAUAGAUCUUUCCAACCUUGCCACAGAAUCCAUCCAUGUAACCACGAGCAAAGCGGAAGGUAAAAUCAUCGAGAACAUCCUCUGUAUCAUAAGCAACUUCUCGAACCUGCUUUAGCCAUUCUUGGAGUUGAGAAUCAUUAUUGUCUUCCUUUGCUUCAGCUUCUCUGAGGAAAGCCUUCAUGCUCCCGAGUUCAUCAUUGAUGAAUUGAACAUCUGAUUUAAGCCCCUCCAAAAGUGUGAUCUCAUGGGAAAGCAAGGUUGAGAGCUGUUUAAUCAAAAAACCUACGACACUCUCUGCCAUGAUGCUCAAUCAAAUUUCUCAAGAGUCGACAGGCCAAGACUUCACAGUGGCAAAUGAUCAGUAGAAAAAGGAAGGUACCUUAUCGCUGCUUUUUGUGAUGCUGUCUCUUCCAGUAAUGCUUUCCAGAGUGCAAAGGACGAUUCAAUAGUCUCCAUGGGCCAUAGUCAAAAGUUUCCCAUUAAUUUUUGCAAGUGGCCUUCCCCACCCAUCCCCAUCUACAUAAUUUAUAUUUUAGGAAUAUAAGAAUUUGCCAAAGGAAUAUAAUUUAUAUGUUUUGGUACUCAAUAUUUGACUUGUAUAUCAAACUGAUCCCGAAUAUUUUAGCCAAAAUAAAUCUAUUCUCCAAAUUUUUUGAUUUUGACUUUACAUUUUUAGUUCCUAAUGUUUGAGGUUAUGAUCGAUAUGGUCCCUUUAGUUUCAAGUAGUCAUAGCCAGCGGCUUUAAAAUGAAAAAAAAAUUGGUGAAUUGAAUUAUAGAUGUGGCAAAUGCCUUCAUAAAUCCCUAUACAAUUUCAUAAAAACACUUUAUGUCAACACAAUAGCAUCGUUGAACUUAAAGAGUUUUUUUUUUUUUUAAAUAAGUUACAACUGGAUGACAAUAUAUAUACAUAAUAUAUAAAAUAAAAAGAAAAGGAGAAUUCUAGUAUUAAUAUGUAAUUUAUUAGCAUUCACACUAGUCUACUACACAAGUUCUUGCAUGAAUUGUGCAUAGCGUCCUUAAUUUGUUAGAGUUAGGAAUUGUAAUUAUAAAAACUAGUAACAUAAAUACCAAUAUGAAGUGCUUUUACUCAUUAUGGUUAAUUAUCAAUUAAUUACUAAUAGUAUAAAACAAUAGUUACGUAUAUUAUACCAAAUUUGAGACCGAUUAUGCAAAAAGGAAGAAGUAUAUGAGACAUUAGUCACAUGAAUAAAUGAAAUAAAAAUAAAAAGUUUAAUUAGAAUCGCUAGCACCCAUUUAAGACAAUUGCACUGUAAUUUGCAUCUUAUUUUAUCCAAAUACGCUCAAUAUCACUAAUGAAAACUUAAGCGACUAAAAUGAUUAAAAUUUCAAACAAUAGGGAUUAAAAGAGCAAAGUCAAAACUAUUAAAUAGUGGUAAUUUGAUUUUAACCCUUUGUCAUUAUUGAACUUUCGUCAAAUGUCCUUAAUGCACCUAAUAUCAGAAAUUUUGAGAACCAAAAUUAUUUUGGUGGGAACAUGAGAGACUAAUUUAGCACAUAUGCUAAAAAUUGGAGACUAAAACUACAAUUCACCCAGUUUUCAAAAGAAAAAUCUACACCUUUUUUGUUUUACUUUUAUGCACACGUGUAAUUUUUUUUUUUUUUCACCUUUGAUAUCACACAGUGGUCUAAACCAACUGACAUAUAUUAAUAGAUUCAAUUGUUAAAAUAACUUAUUUAUGAAUUGUGAGAGCAGUAAUGUGUAGGAAAAUUCUGUUGGGUAGAAAUUUGGGUGGAAGGACUAAAUCAUUUAGUUUAAAUUACAUUUUAGUAAACUAAGUAAGUGGAAGAAUUAAAACCCCAUUUGCUCCCGAAAAAAGGGGGGAAAAUAAAUAUAAAUCUCAUUUGCCAUACAAAUUAUAGUCCAUUAACUCAAUGGAAAACAUGACCAUUGGAAGUUGCGAGGCGACAACUUAUCGCCACACAUUGCAUUAGUAAGCCAACUUGCAACUUGUGUCUCCGGUGACAUAAUAUAAUUGCUGAAAAGACCAAUUAAUUCUUGUUGUUUUCAACAAUGGGUCCUCUUUAAUUCUCCUUUAAUCACAAUGCCGAAAGAGCAAGCCUUAAUAUUAAGUUGAGCAAUGUUCCUUUUUUAAGAAAUAAAUUAACAUAGUUUUUACACGGCUAACUACAUAUUUGUUUGAUUCUUGUCAUAUGUAAAUUAGAAAUCAAGUGCUUCAGUCAAAAAAGUAGCUACCUCGGCAUUUUAUCGUACUUUGGAAAUUUACUCAAAUUUACCAAAUUUGAUGGUUAAUAUGCUUGGGUUUUAGCAUUUUAUUUAUGACUAUUAUUGUUUUCAGACUUAAAAGUUUUUUUAUUUAAAAUACAAACCGGAUAAAAUACAAAGGGGCAAAUAGUCUGUUAAUUAGUUAAUUAAUUAAUUAGAUAAUUAGUUAGUUAAUUAGUUAAGCAGUUAAUUAGUUAAUUAGUUUAACAUGCAAAUAGUUUGUUAGUUUCGGAUAGACAACAGCUUUAGUUAAUUAGUUAAUUAGUUAAUUAGAUAAAAAGAAAUUAGUUAAUUAGUUAAUUAAUUAAUUAGAUAAUUAGUUAGUUAAUUAGUUAAGUAGUUAAUUAGUUAAUUAGUUUAACAUGUAAAUAGUUUGUUAGUUUCGGAUAGACAACAGCUUUAGUUAAUUAGUUAAUUAGUUAAGCAGUUAAUUAGUUAAUUAGUUUAACAUGCAAAUAGUUUGUUAGUUUCGGAUAGACAACAACUUUAGUUAAUUAGAUAAUUAGUUAAGUAGUUAAUUAGAUAAACAAAAAUUAGUUAAUUAGUUAAUUAAUUAAUUAGAUAAUUAGGUAGUUAAUUAGUUAAGCAGCUAAUUAGUUAAUUAGUUUAACAUACAAAUAGUUUAUUAGUUUCGAACAGACAACAGCUUUAGUUAAUUAGUUAAUUAGAUAAUUAGAUAAAUAGAGAUUAGUUAAUUAGAUAAACAGAAAUUAGUUAAUUAGUUAAUUAAUUAAUUAGAUAAUUAGUUAAUUAGUUAAUAGUUAAUUAGAUAAUUAGUUAAUAGUUAAUUAGUUUAAUUAUGCAGAAAUAGUUUGAUUAGUUAAUAACUAUUAACAAUUAGAUAAUUAGUUAAUUAGUUAAUAGUUAAUUAGAUAAUUAGUUAUUAAUUAAUCAGAUUAUUAGUUAUUUAGUUAAUUAGUUAAUUAGUUAAACUAUGCAGAAAUAGUUAAUUUAGUGUAAUUUUUAUUAACAAAUGUUUUGUUGGGUUUGAUGAAAGUACUCAUCACAUUCAUUUGGUAAAAUUAAAUCAUGUCAGGGAUACUUUAGUAAAUUGACCCACUUUUGCCUAUUAAAUUGCCUCCAACUUUUGAUAGGGGAGCUCAGUGCUAUUUCAAAAUUGAUAGGGGAGGUCAAUGCUAUUACUAUAAAAGUCAGGGGAGGUUUCUGCAAUUAUCCCAAAGUUUUAUAAUCUUCCAUCAGUUUUCCUUUGCUUUCCCCCCCUUUUUGGUCAGAAAAAUUGUAGCAGCACUUGGCAUCCUUCAAAAUUCGUUUGUUUCUUUUCUUUUCUUUUCCACCUUAAUUGAAAGUCCCAAACGUAAUAAAAUCCACUUUCUGUUCGAUUCCGUUGGAAUCUCAACUCCCAAACUAGCUGUAUAAUAGCUAAUUUGGGAGUUUAGAAUAGAAAAGAAAACAAGAGAAAGGAUAAGUUAGAAAAAAAAAUGAUUGGAAAGGAUCUAAGUUUCUAUUUAAGUUGUUUGGGAGUUUAAGAAAGAAAAUAAGGUAAAUAGUUUUCUUUUGUUUGGGAGUUGAAUACAAAUGAAAAAAAAAAGAUUUUUAAACAAGUAAUUUUACAAAUUUAUCCUUUCUAUAAAGUGAAAGGAGAUGUUUUGGUGAGGGUUUUUAUAGUAGAGGAUUCAUCGGAAAUUAAAAUUUUUUAUAUCAGGAUUUUAAGGAUAGUUUUGUCAUAUUUGAAAAUUUACUUGAGACUACCACACUUUCCUUCCCAAUUUUGGGCAGAAAGUUUUCCUUUAGAAGGAAAAAAGAUAUCUUUCGAAAUCUUUUCCUUUCCUUCAUAUUUUUGCUCCCAAACAAUGGAAAAACUUUUAUCCUUUCAAAACUUUCCUUUUCUUUUCAUUUCCUUCCUCCCAAACUAGCUAUUAUUGUUAUCGACGUCUGUGACAAUACUACUGUUCUAAACGGGAAUCAAAGAGUUUUGUCCAAAACCCUCCAAGUUACUAGAAAAUUGAAAAAUUCUAAAUUUUUAGAUAUAAUUUCAAAAUUUUGAUUUUGAUAAUAGUAAUCCAAAAAACAAUUAUGGGGUUUAUUCCGAUUUUCCGUUCCGAAACACUCUUGCCAACCGCCACCUAAUAGACUCAGAAAAGAAUGGCUGAAAAACUCGGGACACCGAAAACAGAAGAAAAAGCAAAAAAAUUGGCUGAAGAAGCUAUGAAAGUGGAACUGAAAACCAAGCAGGAGCUGAGGUCCUGGGAGCAGCAUUCUGCUGUGAUCAGCAUUCCUCGUUUUGAUUACGACGCCUCUUCUUCUCUCCUCAAUCAUUCCCACUCCGGCUUCCUCAUCACCUGCCUCGUCAGUAAGGCCUCUCUUCUCAUCUCUUCUGUGCAGAAAGUUAUGUUCUUUUUUACUCUUCUGUUUUGUUAUUUUUGUACUUUAUUCGCCUUUUUUAUGUAAUUUGCUUCUGGGUUUUUGAAAAUUUUCAAUUUGAUUGUUUGGGUUAGUUUGGGCAGUGUGGUGAUUGAUAAAAAUGCUUCCUUUGUUUAUGUAGAGAGGGAGAAGAGGUAAUGAAUUCUGCUGGUUUUGUUUCUUGUCAGUUUUUGGGAAUAAUGUCAAAAUAAGAAAAUUUUAGACAAAGAAAAUUCAUGCUGACUUGAGAAUCAGGACAGUUGAAUUGGUUGACUGAAGUUGGUUUUGGUGGGAUUCUUAAUUUCUUGGCAAGGUUGGGAACUUGGGGUUUUUGUAAGUGAAUAAGACCAUAGCGGGCUUGAAUUACCGGUAUAAUGUGUUUGCAGCUGUAAUUGUUUUGGUUUAAGAUGAAGAGUAGCAAUGUUAUGGAAUAGAUGUUUGAAUGAUUAAGCAUAAGUAAACAGCAAAUGGGAUGGCGACUAACAAUAGAUAAAACUCAUGAAGUUUGGAGAACUGGGUGAGCAAUGCAGAAGGUAGGUGCAGGCAUGUUGUGUUGUUCAAACGUAUUAGGUAUUAAGGAAGGGGGAAAAAACAAAGAAACUGAAGUUGUAUUCUGUUUUAAAUGUGAUAAAUGUAUGGAAAUGAAGUGUAAUGCUAAUGGUCUUCAUUUGUGAGAAAAAUGGCAAAAGAAUGCAGUCAACACUGUUUCCAUCUGUUGAACUUAGUUUAGGAAAAACGUUUAUCAUUUUUGGGUUCUAAACUUGAUUAAGAUUUCAGUUGGCAGACAAACAGAAGGAUAAGAUGUCAAUUAUCCUGCCAAUAGGUUAUUAACAUCUGAGUCUAGUAGCUGGCUUUAAAUUUUUUUGCUUAUGAUCUUCCACUUCACCUAUUUAUUUGUAAUUAGUGCAUUGCUGGGUCACAGAUUAAUAUGGUUUAUUCCUUGUUUACAUGUCUUAUUCACCUUGCUUUGCUCACACUCUGUCAUUUGUCACUUGGUUCAAUCAAGUGACUCCGCUUAAGUCUGCUGUGCCUUCUUGAGUAAAUGACAUGUUUCGUCAUCCACAAUGUAACACUGGUUAAGUUCUUUAUCACCUAUAGCUUUCCAGUGUGUAUAUAUGAAUGAGUUACCAUUUUCUUUGAACUUGAAGAGGCAUAUGGAUACAUAGUUAGCUUAAGCUUGAGUACUUAUCUCAUACGGGUAAAGGAAAAAUUGACCUUAAUUAUACGGAAGCUUUGCAUUGUUUUCUUUGAAAAAAAAAACAGAAACAAUGUAUAGAAGAUAUGCAAUAUUUUGUACUGUAAAAAAAAAAUUUAUAAAUAUAAAAGCAAUUUAACUUGAAAAGCUAACAAAAUAUGAUUGUGCUUCUUCUAUUCGCAGAGGAUUAAAACAUAAAUUUGACCAGAAAAACAAAGAACUUAAAUUAUGUACCAAUUUUGGUAUGUAGUCGGUUUGGCAGAGAAUUUGAGUUGGUUUGGUAUGUAGUUAACUUAUCACAGGCUGGUGGUGGUGGUGGUAAACUCUGGGCUCGGAAACUCGAGAACCAAAUGCCAGCUUUAGGCUUAGAGGUGAGUUUUGGUUCCUGUGGUUCCCUAAUUUAUGGUUUAGGAGGAUUCUAUUUUCACCCUACUGAAGAUGGUUCUAAUUAUGUCAUGAAGCCUGAUGAUGAAGAGGAUUGCACGGUUUACUUUUACGGCACCUCCAAGCCCUUCCAAGCUUGAGAACGGGUGAUUCAAAAGUCAGGGGUAGUAGAAUCUAUGUCCUUAGGAAAUGAGGUAGGCAAUCCAUGGGGCAAGUAUUUGGAUCAGUCAUUUAGCCAACCAUAGCGGCAUCCUCUGAGUUGUAAAUUUCAUGUUGGUGAACCUCCCAUUGAAAGAUCUCUCCCUCCCUCCCUUGGAUCAAAAAUUUGACUCUCAGCACUACGUCCUGUUUCCUAUCGGUGCUGGGGAUCAAGUUGUUCUUGUGUGUUACAAAUCGGAGAUUGACAAAGUGUUCAAGGUUUGUCGAUGAUCGCGAUCGGUUCAUUAUUAUCCCUUUUGUGUGGAAGGGAAUUACUUGUUCACAAAUUUCGGCAUCAGUAUUUUUGCCUGUCGUGUAUUUGACAUGAGUUUAUUUCAAGGACCUGCUCCUUUCUAUGGUAAAGUUGAGGGAUUGCCUGACCACUUUUUUCCUCCUCAAUAUCAUGGUCAUAGUCCAAUGCCCUUACAGCGAAUUGGACCAAAUAAGUUUGCUACCCUUUGCCUCGCAACUGUGGGGCAAAAACCACCACAUUGUGCUAGGUUGAGUGUGUUCACCACUUCACCCGAUGAGGAGGAGCAUUCUGCUGCCCCUCUUCGGGAGGGGAAGAAGGAAAAUGAUACUUCUUUAUAGGAAGAAGAUGAAGAAGGAAUCUUGUUUUGUUCCCAACAUUGAAUUAGACAAGUCUUGAACUCGAGGUAGAUGAGCAUGUUCAUUUUUAUAUUGAUGCUAUUGAUGUAGUAUUGCCUCAAUCAGAAGCAGAUGUGCAUAUGUGGUGGUCCGUGGUGAGGAAGGUUGUUUGAGUUCAGUUCUGAAAUUGCACAUAUUCAUGGUUGGCAUUUGGGAAAUUGAUGAACUCGGAUGUUUGAUCAUUUGUUGUUAGUGUACCAAAGGACUUCCGAAUCAACCAUACUGUAUAUACUAAACAUCUUUACUAGUUUUGCUGUUUAGUAUACCAAAGGAACAUGGUUUUUCUGAUAACAAGGAACUAGAUGAGUGACUUGAGAUCAAGCCUGGGGAGCAUGCUAAUUUCUUUAUUGACCCUGUUGCUGUAGUAUUUACUCAAACAGAGGUAGAUGACAAGAAUAAGCAUGAGAUGUGUAGCUACAAACAAUGUAUCUUAAAAAGUGCUUAACCACAGGGAAUGUAUAAGGAUCACCUUUUGGGCUAAUUAAUUAGAAUAUUGGCAAAAAAAAAAAAGAAAAGUCGGACACUUAGGGUUCUGAUAGGGGUGUGGUCUCAAACUAUUGGUGCCGGGCUAUGACACAAUUUUUUUUUUUUUAAAAAAAGAUCACUGGCUGCCGGGCUUAGUCAAAGAAAAGCCCGGCAGCCCACCUGCAAAAAGUUAAAAAAAAAAAAAAAAAAAAAGCCUGGCCUAGCUACAUAAGUCGACAAAAAAAGGAAAAGGCUGGCGGAAUCUGACUAAAGUUAAUAUGCUUCAGCAUCCCGUGGCCUAGCUACAUAAGCCGACCAAAAAAAAAAGGCUGGCGGAAUGUGACUAAAGUGAAUUUGUUUUACAUUUUUUUACAUACCUUGUUGUGUAUGUAAAACUAAAUAAGUUAAUUGAAGCCGCGUUUAUGUUCUGUGAGAUGUUGACUGGUUGUACGAUUAAAUAUGCUUUGCAGUUUGUCAGAUCUUUGAGUAUUCUAAUGCUGAAGGUUCUGAAAGUUUGGAUGUGAAUAUGUCAGCUAAGAAGAGUAGAAUAUCUGUAAGUACAGAGGAGAAACUUGGCAACAGUUUGGCGAAGAAAGAUACGGCCGAUGAUUUUGGAGAACCUGGUAAUAGUUGAAGUCUGGUAUUUUAGUUUAUAUACAUGCUCGGACAGAUAAUGCAAAUUAACAUGUAUUACUAUCUGCAAAUCUACAAAGAAAAUGAAGAGGGUGGGGAUUUGUCUGUAAGAACAGGUAAUAUGAAUUGUAUGCAUGAAACAAUAAGAACAAGUUUAUUAAAACAAUAUGUGACUAUAAAAACAGGGAAUGAGAAGUAAAUAGAAGGAGAAGAGUAAAGAAAAUACCUUAUGAUAGCUGCAUCCCUGAGACAUACUUAUUUAGCCUAGUUUGACUUUGUAAAAGGCUCUAAUACUGCCCAUGUGCUUAAACACCAACCCCCUAUCCCCGACUGGGCCUUUAGCAAAAAUUAUCUGUGUACCCACUUUGCUACAAAUAGUUUAUGUGAGAGGUAUUUAUCUGUGAAGGUUUUGGCUUCUUACUACAAGAGUAGAGUUCAAGGCACAAUUAAAAUUAUUAGCAGGUAGAGAAAAGAUGAAAUGGAACUUCCCUUUGAAAAACUAAUGAAUGAAUGAACAGAAUGUACCCUAAAAAAGUCGUAGAAAAAAUUGUGUUAUUUCCAUUGUCUAUUCUUUCUUUCAACAGCCCCAUAUUGUUGUAUGGUCUGAGAACUGGAGCAGAACAAUCUAUCAUUCUUUUCUUUUUCACAUUGUCUACUCUUGCUGUUUUGCAUCUUUUGCAUAACAAAUCGGUACCAUGGAUUUCCACUGCCCACAAGUCUUUUUGAAAUAUUAUAAAUCAUUCUCUCUUUCUCUGUCUUUUUGCAACUUAAAGUUAUUCUGGAAGUUAAACAUGCAUGAAAAGUUAGUGUUCAAGAAAAGAAUAUGACUGUUUUGACGUAAUCCAAACUUCUUAGAAGUAUUGCAAGGACUGCAACUACUCAACAUCAGGCUGUAUAAAAUUUUUCAUUGCUGUAAUAAAUGGUAACUCCUCUUGUAUUCAUUUAGUGGUAAUACUAUGCAUAGAAGUGCAUCAGAGAGAUUGUUUGCUUUUCACCUCUAUGUUACUAAUAAUUUCCAUAGCCAUUGACAAUUACAAAUAGUUACUUCUAUUUGGUCAACCAACCAUGUAGUAUUCUGAGGCAGCAACAAUGAGCUCAUGCUUGAUUUUUUCUCUAUUCAACCAAAAGCAUAACUCAAUUUAUGCUUAUUAAAAAUUGAAAGUGACUCAUUAUCCAAGAAAAUUAAUGAUGGAAAAAAUUAAGAUAAACUGAAAACAAUAAGAUCGUCCUGCUAUUGACCUCAUAAUCACCAUUUUUGAGAAUGAGAUGCCAAAUAACACAAAAAAACAAGAAAUUGAGUCCUCUUAUUCUAAUUCAAUGUCAAGCAACAAAGUAAACAUCUUCAGAAUUUUCAAUUUGGAAAGUUCAUAACUCUGGGUCCUAAACUGUCAUUAUAAAUAGAAAUGCCCAAUGAAAUGACCUUUCACUGAAGGCAUUGGAAAGUUCAUGCCUCUGGGUCUCAACAGUUAACAGAAAUAUCCAAUGAAAUGACCUUCACUGAUGUUAGGCACCAUUGAAAUGCAUUAUUAGAAAAUAAAACCUGCCAUCUUUUUUUAGUAGACAGAAAUGCAAUCUUCUGGAUAAUAAAUAGCAAGUCUAACAAUUCCUUCAGCGUACUGACAUUGGUAUGAGAAACUUCUGUAGUCUUCCUUGCUGUUUCUUUAAG